UUUUCCUCAACUAAACUAUUUUUCACAACUUCAAGUCUUCAAGCAACUAUUUGGCAGAACAACUCCAGAGGCCGAUCCAUCAGCGUUGGUACAGGAAGCUUCAGCUGGUUGAUUAUUGUAACUGAGCUUCACAUCCUCCAAGCUAAUUCCAGUGCAUGGAUUCCUUGAACUGCAAUCGAGCUUUACUCCAACUUCCGUUGCCGAUGUUCCAUGAAUAUCUUGAUAUAUCACAUCACUGAUUUUAACCCCCGAAGCCUAUUGAACAAGAAAAAAAAAACAUUUAUUGAGUUGAAUAUUAAUCGCAUCAAUAUUUACGUAAUCACAUCUACAGACAUGUGAUAAGUGAGUAUCGUACCUGUCCAGGACAAUUCUCGUUGUCAGGGCAGUAAUUUUGAUCAAUUAUGAUUGGAUUAUCGACAUUGUUCAUAAGAGCAUGUUGGAAAAGAAUGUUCCUGGCAAAUCCACUGCUUGUUCUCCCCCAGGACUUAAUCCUCACUCCAUUUUGAGUGCCUGUAAAUGUCACAGAUGUUACUGUCACAUUUUGCACUCCAGCCUCUUGUUGCUCUUUGCCUAAGCUGCCAAUGCUGCAACACAAUCACAAUAUUCAAUUUAAUUAGCACUAAAUAUUUUUACGUACCACCAAAAAUAAAGAGAAAAACAAAUUAUCAUGUUUUUUAAUUUUACCUGAUCCCAUGGCCUGGGCCACAAGCAACAUUUUCAAUCCAUAAGUUGGUGGCGCCAGGUCCAACUGAUACACAAUCAUCACCAGUCCCAAUUUUGCUGUCCAAAAUUGUGACACCACUUGAUGCUUGAACAUGAAUGCCAUCGGUGUUUGGGCUGUCACCGGCGGCCGAAACUUUGACCCCCUGUACUUUCACAUCGUUGCAUCCAUUGAUGACAAUAUGAAACAUCUGGCUAUCUACGGAUGCUAAUCCGUUAAUCACAACGUUGUCUGAGUUGCUAAAGCGAAGUGUCUGCUCAUGUAUAUACAAAAGAAGGAACAUUAAUUAUUAUAACUAAAGCAGGAAGCCAAUCAAUAUGAAAAGCAAAAAGCCACUAAAUUUACGACUAUACAGAUAUAUAUAGGAUAUUUCAACUUAAUUACCGUAGCGCCACUGGGGCAAUUACUAUUGUCCGACUUUUUACAAGCCCACAAGCCAGCACCUUGGCCAUCAAGAACGCCACCAUUAAUAGAAACCCCACUAACAUGCUCAAAUAAAAUCCAGUUUUCGGCAUUUCCGAUAACAUGAUAAUCAGCUGGAGCCACCAGAGUCCCGUCAAUACGUAUGGUAAUAUCAUUGUUCUUGCAUUGGCCUUGAAACACAACAUUGCUUAGUAAGUACCUCCCCGGUGGCACGUAAAUGGUUGCGGCCUCGGCCGAGCCACAGGCUUGAGCCCAUGCAGCAAGAAAGGAUUUUACUGAGUCAGUCUGGCCAUCGGGUCUGGCUCCGAAGCUCAGCACAUUGUAACUCAAAGGAAUUGCUAAAGAUGAACUAAAGAAGAGAAUCAAAAGAAAUGGUAAAAAAUUAAUAGACAAAGACAUUGAUGUUGACAUUGUUUCAAAGCUUAAAUUUACUGAUAGAAAUGAGAGAAAUAGAUUUGAGACGUUGAGGAGUUGGGAGGAAGUUGAGAAGGUUUAAAUGGGUAUUUAUAGGAUUUGAAUGGACUGUAGAAAUGGCAAUAGCACUAACAGUGAAUGCAAUCUGCGCCGAAUUUUGGGAGUGAUUUUGGCCUUAACAAAUGCGAUCUUAGUUUACCAAAAUACCCUUUAACUUAAAUUUGGACGACGUUUGAUGACGGACGCGACAAAUACAUACAUAAGACGAGGACACGUCCACAUAUGGUUUUGUAAGAUGAGAGAUUUCAAAGGUAGUUAAUAAAUUAACAGAAAAAGGUGCUUCUCCAUUUUCUGCUUUUCUGGUGGUGUGUAAAAUUAUGCCCGUAUGUUUGCUUUGAGCACAAGGUCGUUGCCUCCUCAAUUCCCGUGGAGCGAUAUGUUUAUUUCUCUGAACUAUUUCUCCUUGUUGCUUGAAAUUACAGCAAAAUAAAGCUAUUUAGAAACUAUUCAACUAAAUUUUUAGGAUAACUUAUAAAUAAUAUUAUAUCAAUUAAUAUUGAGUAGACACAAGAUAAUUUUGUCAAAUGCGACAACUAUUAAAAGGCAUGUAAACUCCAUGCAGAUUGUUCAUUUGUUGGUUAAUUUAUUUUUCCAUUUUUCCCUUUUGGCUUUCAAGUCAAUUAUAAGGAUAAGCAUCAAUAUAUAUUCCCUGAUUUAAGUGUAACUUAUUUUUUUAUUUUAAUAAGAUUGCUCUUGUUAUUUCAAGGUAUUCCAAAAUUUAUUUAAUUAAUUAAAAAGAAUUUCGAAUACGCUAAAUCAGCUGCAAAUGAAAGCGAUCUACCCGAAAAUAAGGUUUGCCUUGUUUUACGACUUCCUUGUUCUAGGAAAUUAUUGUGUUUCAUGUGACAUUAAUUUGUUGACCUUACUUUCUUUUAGAGAAUAAAUUAGGCAAAUAAUAAAUAUUAUUCAAAGUUCAACUCUAGUUUUAUAAAGAAGAUGAAUCCAGAGGCACAAUUCCAUCAAAAUCAACUAUUGAUUUUAAGGGAAACAAUGAAGAAACCCAUGUGAAAAAAGAAAAUUUCAAUAAAAGUUGAUAAAAUGUGUUUGAAUAAUGGUUGUGUAACAAGCUACAUCGCUGUUGGACAUUUUGUUAUACUAAAAUGGAAAAUAUCCUAAUGUUUCAAAGAAAACAAAUUGCAAAGAGUUCAUUAUUCACAGUAUGUUUCUCUACCUAGAUGUAAUUAUUUUUUAAUUACAUAUUUAUACUUUUUUCCCAUUUUUUCAGAUUAUUCAAGUGGGAAGCAGUGUGACCCCAUCGCGGGCAUUUUUGUUAAUGAUAUAAUUUUCUUUUUAUUUCUUAUAACUAGCCGCAAUUUUCCUAGUUUCGGAAUGGAUGUUUGACUUGUUUCAUCACUCGGAUUAAGCAAACAAUCAAGCCGCAUUACUAGGUUAUCAAGAAAGCACAGUUACCAGUCAGGUCCCUCUUCAUGCCAAAUUCAGCACGGCCGAAAGGAUCUCACGUCAAAGACAAAAUUUAGCAGAGGUUAAUUAAUCGAUUACAAGUUCACCACAUGGGGAUUUCUUCUUCAACUACCCAACUGAAUAACGAUUGACUGUUGACCAAGGAAUUAUCUAUACGUUACUAGUUGAUUGAGGAAUUUACUUUCACACAGUACCCUUUCAUGUUUUAGCUAGCCCACCGGUAACUUCUAUUAAUGGUAUCACCACAAAUUUUGUUGUAUAACUAAUUAAACAUGUAUGUGAGCUAGACUGCCAAAUUGUUUAUUUAUUUUUUAAAAACGAUUGUCCGCCCACCCUCCAAAAAAAAGAAGCAAAAUACAAUAAAAGAAGAUUAGAUAAUCGGAGGCGUAGUGAACCCCAAAAGAUGGUUAGCAUAGAACUCACUAAUUAAUAAAGUAAUAAAUGGGAUAAAAAAUGAUCGACUAAUAGGCUAUAUAUCUCUGUGUGUGUGUGUGUAUCUAGUCUAUAAUUUUAAAGUGCGGGAAAGUCUGAAAAAGUUUUAAAACCAUGCAGUUUUAAAACUUUCCCGUACUUUCCACACUUUAAAACCCUGGAUUAGAAUAUAUAUAUAUAUAUAUACACAUACAUACAUACAUUUAUUAAAAAUGUUCUAAUCCGGAAUUUUAAAGUGCAGGAAAGUUCAUAAAAGCUUUAAAACCGCAUGGUUUUAAAGCUUUCCCAAACUUUUCCGUACUUUAAAAUUCUGGACCAGAAAACUACUUUAUAUAUAGAACCUCCAAAUAGGAAUACUCUAUAUAGGAAUAACCUCAUAGUAAUAAAAAAUCGUGAUCCCAAUUUGGGACCAGUUAUAAUAGGAAUAAACUCCACAUUGUAAUAAGUUAAUUUUUUGUAUGUCCCGUCUUAAUAAACUUACUUCCACAUAGUAAUAAUAUUUCAAAAAUAUAUUCCAUGUUACAUUAAAUAAUUAAGAUGGAACAAAAUAUCUUUCUAAAGUUACUUGUGACAAUGAUUUGUUCUUUAAAGUUGCAACCACAUCUUUUAACUUGCAGGAAUGUAUUAAUUGGUCAGCAUAGGCACUUAAUAAUUGGUCAACAAAAUAAUUAAUUUAUUAAUGUCUAUACAUUGAAUUUGAAUCACUUAUUAAUUUAUUAAUACAUGACAUAAUUUACCUUAUAUCACUUGCAUUAGGGAUAAUUAAGCAAAGACAAUAAUUUUGUACCAUACCUCUAUUAAGUUAUAACCUCUUUAUAAGAAUAAAUUUUUCCAGUCCCAAUAAUAUGACUAUAUAGAGGUUUUACUCUAUAUAUAUAUGCCACCUUGUAGUAUCGUAUCCCAUGUUUUAUAUAUAAACUUUUUCUUAAAAUAAUUAGAAAGGGAAUGAGAAAUCUCACUCAUUAAAUUAAAUGCUAAUCAAUAAGCAUCAUCAUUACUUGAACUCGACUAAUCAGAGGUGCAAGCAUUUAAAGUCAGUCAAGCUACCCCAAAAGGGAGCUUUACAUUUUUUGUUUCACAUAAUAAUCAAAGAUGUAACGGUAAUGGUCCUUUCGAAAUAUCUAAUUUAAUUUUGAUAAAUUUAAUUGGUUGAAUUUGUUCAGUGUUGAAAAUUUGUUUAAUUUUUUAAUACACAAAAUAAUAUCCUAUCGAAAAUUUAAUUAAGGUAUAUAUAGGUAAUCUUCAGAGUUCAACAAAUCACAUCUAUUUUUAAAUUAAAAAAGAGAGAGAAAGAGAAAAAAAUAAACUGAAAAAAGGAUAAGAUGUUGAAGGGGGAGAUAGUAGAUGUAUUUUGAAGUAUUGAGAAUGUUGAGAAUAUGUUUCGAAGUGUUUGUGUUGAGAAUACAUUUAGUAGAUGUAUUUUGAAUUAUUGAGAAUGUUCAGAAUAUGUUUUAUGUGUUUGUGUCGAGAAUACAUGGAUGUAGACGCACACACGCAAGGGGAAUUUUAAAAUUUGAAAUCAAAUUAAUGAAUAUGAUUUGAAGUGUUUGUGUUGAGAAUACAUUUUGGAUACAACGCACACACACAAGGGGAGUUUUAAAUUUUGAAAUUUGUUAAUCCAUUUGAUUUCUAACACAUGCAUACAUUCAGGGAAGUUCUUAUAAAAGUUCAAAAUACAUAACGUGUUUUGUCAUUAUCAAAAAGGGGGAGAUUGUUAACCUCUAUGGUUAUAUAGCAUUUUGAUUUUGAUAAUAACAAACCACGAGUCAUGGGUAAAAUAGGAAAUACACAUAUUCUUUAUUUUGUUUUAAAACAAAAAAAAAUGAAUGUUGAGUAUUUUAAGAUGUCCUUAAAAUUGUUUUCUUUGUAUUUUCUAAAGGAAAAAUUUUAUUAUGUGAAUAUUAUUUCAAAUUCUAAGUAUAAAGCGCGUUUUUGCAUAAGUUUUUCAGAUAAAACUUUUAUUAUGUGCUUAAACGUUAAAUCUUUAUAAUCUAAAUGGUAAGCUCACUAAAGUAAAACUAGCUGCUAGACACAAAUGGCAUACCGUUACAAGGAAAGCGGCAAACCGAUUGCAUCAAAUUAGCUCUCUAGAAUCAAACGGUAAACUGGUAGAGCUGAAGCAGCAAACCGAUUGCAUCAAAUUAGCUCUUUGGAAUCAAACAAUAAACCAAUAGAGUUGAAGCAGCAAACUGAUUGCAUCAAAUUAGCUCUCUUGAAUCAAAUGGUAAACCGAUGAAGCUGAAGUGACAAACUGAUUCCAUGAAGAUGACUUACUAGACUCAAAGAACAAACUGUUAUCUGCAAGCGGCCAACCAAUUCCAUCAAGAUGACUUACUAGACUCAGACAACAAACUAUUAUCUGCAACCGGCAAACCAAAUCCAUCAAGAUGACUAUCUGAAAUCAAGUGGCAAACUACUUUCUUGGAGCAGAAAAUCGUGAAGCAAAAAUUUCAAAUUACAACCAUAAGGAUAAGUGCCAUAUAAGCAAACUAUAGACUGUUUUCUUGAAAGGGCAAAUCGAUUAUGCCUAGAAAGUCAACAACAGCUAAUUUUAUCUAUCGUUCAAUCUAUAAAUAGCCAAGAGAAACACUUUUGAAAUAGGAAUUUUUUGGCCAUUUUUUAAAGAGUAUUGAGCUUUUACUUGCUUAUCCACAUUCAUUGAAUUUAUAAUUGAGCUAUCAUUUGUAACAUACACUUGCGAGAGUGCAUUCUUUGUAAUUUCCAUUUCACUAUCAAAAUUGAGUGAUUGUAAGUGUGGGGAAACACUUGGUCAAGGAGGUGUGGGAUCAUCUCAAGUUGUAAAUGUUUAUUGACACCCUAAAAGUCAAUUGCAAACUUCCUGAAGCCUUGGAUUGUAAUGCUUGAAUAGUGGAACAAUCAAGUUCGGUUUGCUUGGAGGCAUGGUUAUAAGCGGGUUUUGCCGAACCACGUAAAAAUUUCGUGUUUGCUUUCUUCUCCCAUAUCUCUUUAAACUUAUUCAUUGUUAUAUUUACUGUUAUUGAAUCUCUCAAGGCAUUAGUUUAAAUUAUUUUUUAAUUUUUAAAAACCCAAUUCACCCCUCUCUUGGGUUACUUAGCUAGAAUUUCAGCAUAGCUUGUCAUGCGUUCACAUACCGUACAAUGAGUUACGAGGUCCAAUUCCUACCAACACAAGAUUCUGAAAUACAAGUGUGCAACCCAAGAGGGGGGGUGAAUUGGAAUUUUAAAAUUUAUCCUAACAAAUCCACACAACAAGCAAUCUAAUGUCUUAAUAAAAAUUGAAAGCAAUAAGUUCAAUAAAGGCACAAUAAUUAAAAGAGUAAGGGAAGAGAAAAACGAACACAAUGAUUUUUACGUGGUUCGGCUAUCCCCGCCUACGUCCACGCCUCCAAGCACACCGGGCUUGAGGAUUUCACUAUCCAAGCCUUUCCAAGGCUUCAACGAUUACAAUUGACUUCGAGGUGUCAAUAAACCUUUACAACAAAGAGAUUAUCUCCCAAUCUCUUCACUCAAGUGUCUCACACACUCAAACUCUUACAAAUGAAAUGAAGAAAUGAAAGUUACAAUCAAACUCACUCAAUGAGUAGAUAUUCAAAGAUGAAGAACAAUGAAUGAUUCAAUGUUUUGUCUUUUGCAAGUUGUAAGCUCAAGAUAUCAUGUGUGCCUUUUGUUUUUGCUUGUUGGAGAGCUUCAAAAUGAGUUGGAUUUGAGUUUUUAUAGCUUGAGCUCAAAAACUAGCCGUUACUCACAUUCCAGGCGUAUCCGGUUUGCCGUUUAUGGAAUCUGGUAAGCCGGAUUUAUGUUACCGUUAAGGCAAAAUUCAAAAUUUUGCCUAACCGGUUUGCCGGAUUCGUUCUGGUGCUUACUGCCCCGAAUUCGGCCUGCCGUUUAUCAGUAUCCGGAAAGCCGCUUGCUACAGUAACUGCUACAGUAAAACAUUUCCCGAAAUUUACAGUUUGACCCCAAAACUUUAUAAAACUGUAGUAUAACCCAAAAAGUUAUAAAAGUUUGCACAUAGGUCCAAUUUCAGAAUUUUAAAUAAUGCUUUCUCAAUCCCACAACUUUCUGAAAUUAUGACUUCGCCCAAACUUUAUGAAAUUAUAUAAUGGCCCAAAAACAUUUAAAUAGUUUCAAAUAGGUCCAAAUCCGAAAUUUCAAGCACUACUUGUUUAUUUCAAAGUUUUCAAAAUUCUUUCAAUUAAACCAUAAACUUUGAAAAACAACCAAUUUCAUAAAAUCAUUUUUUUCAUUAAAUAUGAAACAUUUAUAAAGUGAAAAUAAUGAUUUAUUCAAAAGGAAUAAAAACAAUCAAUUGCAUAAAAUCAUUUUUCCAUUAAAAUAUAAAACAUUUAUAAUGUGAAAAAAAAUGAUUUAUUUAAAAUAUAUUUUUCAAUAAUUUGAGCUUAAAAGAUUAAUUAUUCUUAAUCUUGUUUGUUAUCAUCAAAAUCAACAUUAUGGAAACAUAUAUGUUAACAGAUUCCAGUAUGAUCAUGGAGGCAUUAUGAGGGAACAAGGAUUGUGAGGUGACGCUUACAGUUUUCAACCUUGCAAAGCCUUUGUAACUCACAAACAUGUCUUCAACAAGAAAUGGCUUUUAAUAAUGUUCCCUAUGUUAGGAAUACUCGCUCUUUUAUUCUUUGUGAUUGGAAUGAUUUUUAGAAGAAUGAAGAGGGCUUCUAGAGAAAACAAAGAAUGUUCUGUGGGCGAUCAAGGAGUGCUUUCGAUAUUAAUUUUUAAAACGUAAGUGGCGUAUUAAAAAAUCAUCAGUGCAGCGAAUAAAUUUGAUGCUGAGCAAUGCAUUUGGCAACCUAUCAUCUGGGAGAUCGUAGCGAUUGGCAAAUUUCAUCACCACUUCCAAGUGAAAUUUUAGUCCUACAAGAAUUCCCGAAUGAAAGCAAGGCACUGCCAGAAUUAUGGUAUCAAAAUAUUGUGAAAUUUUAUAGCUUCUGUUAACAUCCUGGUACUCUUUUUCAGUCUAUGAAUAUCUUGAAAAGGGUAGUUUGGCUACAAUUCCAAGCAAUGAUGCAACAAUAGAAGAAUUCAUGAGCUGGACUCUGGGAAUGUAUAUGAUAUAACUGUAGCUAAGGCCAUGAGUUAUAUGCAUCAUGAUUGCUUCCCACCAAUUGACAAUCGAGACUUAUCAAGCAAGAAUGUGUUGCUGGGUUUAGAUUAUGAAGCUCAUGUUUCAGAUUCCGGAAUCGCAAAAUUUCUCAAGCCAGACUUGUCCUAUUGGACUGAUUUUGCAGGCGCAUUUGGAUAUGUUGCUCCACAUAUGCAUUCUUAAAUUAACCCAUUGAUCACUUUUUACAUUAAUUCAAAGUUCAGCUCUAGUUACAUAUGGAAAAUCUGCUGUACGGCCAAGGCGGAUGUACGGUACAGCAGAAGCAAUGAUGCAACAAUAGAAGAAUUCAUGAGCUGGACUCUGAGAAUGUAUAUGAUAUAAAGUGUAGCUAAGGCCAUGAGUUAUAUGCAUCAUGAUUGCUUCCCACCAAUUGACAAUCGAGACUUAUCAAGCAAGAAUGUGUUGCUGGGUUUAGAUUAUGAAGCUCAUGUUUCAGAUUCCGGAAUCGCAAAAUUUCUCAAGCCAGACUUGUCCUAUUGGACUGAUUUUGCAGGCGCAUUUGGAUAUGUUGCUCCACAUAUGCAUUCUUAAAUUAACCCAUUGAUCACUUUUUACAUUAAUAAACGUCAUAUCUAACUGAUCAUUUUCAUCUUUCAGUUUUUGUAGAGCUUGUUUACACGAUGAAGAUAAUCGAAAAAUGCAACGGGUAUAGCUUUCCGAGAAUUAGCAUUAGAAGUGAUAAAGGGGAAUUAUCCAAGAGAUUUUAUGUCCUUCCAUCGGGGACAUAUCACUGAAUGAAAUUUCGGACACUCGGCUUUCAACAUCAUCAUGAAAUGUUCAGGACACGCUGAUAUUAAUCAUGGAGGUUGUCUUAUUCGAUGUGGGCCCAGAAUCAAGACCCGCGAUGUACACAAUAUGUCAUUUAAAAAAAAAAAAAGAACUCCAGAAAGUCAAAUGUUUCUUUUUUCUUCUGUAUUUUUUUUUCAUUUUUCGUUUUUGUUGGAUUAAAUAUGACUUUUGAAACUUUUGAUGGUUGUAAAAGAUUUUACACUUUAAUUAAGUACGUGAAUUACACAUUUCAAGCAUUAUUUGACUUUACCCCCAAUCUCUGCCGUAAUGUCAUUUGGCUUUUCUGUCCCUUACUUUGGAUAUGCAUAUUCUGUCAAAGGACAAAAAACUGAAAUAGGAAAAUAGAAGUUGUCAUAAAGUAAAUUAAUAUAUUCGAUAACAUUAUGAACAUCUACGCGCGAAAGCGAUGGCGAUACUUUCAACACAUUGCAGGAAGUGCCUCUAAGUAAGCCCAAUGGGCGUAGUUUUACAGAUAACCGAAAAACCUUAGUUCAAAGUAUAAUGAUCGGCUUCCUAUGAUUUUUUUCUGUUUUUAAUGGCUACCUAUCACAAAUUUAGUAACUUCAGCAAAAUUCUACUGCUUAUAUCUUUUUACUUUAAUAUUAUAAUCACGAUCGGCUUCUUAUGCCUUCUUUUUUUUCAACUCAAAAUAUUUUUCACUACUUCAAGUCUUCAAGCAACUAUUUGGAAGAACAAAUCCAGAGGCCGAUCCAUCAGCGUUGGUACAGGAAGCUUCAGCUGGUUGAUUAUUGUAACUGAGCUUCACAUCCUCCAAGCUAAUUCCAGUGCAUGGAUUCUUCGAACUGCAAUCGAGCUUUACUCCAACUUCUGUUGCCGAUGUUCCAUGAAUAUCUUGAUAUAUCACAUCACUGAUUUUAACCCCCGAAGCCUAUUGAACAAGAAAAAAAAAACAUUUAUUGAGUUGAAUAUUAAUCGCAUCAAUAUUUACGUAAUCACAUCUACAGACAUGUGAUAAGUGAGUAUCGUACCUGUCCAGGACAAUUCUCGUUGUCAGGGCAGUAAUUUUGAUCAAUUAUGAUUGGAUUAUCGACAUUGUUCAUAAGAGCAUGUUGGAAAAGAAUGUUCCUGGCAAAUCCAGUACGGCCAAGGCGGAUGUACGGUACAGCAGUGCACUCCAGCCUCUUGUUGCUCUUUGCCUAAGCUGCCAAUGCUGCAACACAAUCACAAUAUUCAAUUUAAUUAGCACUAAAUAUUUUUACGUACCACCAAAAAUAAAGAGAAAAACAAAUUAUCAUGUUUUUUAAUUUUACCUGAUCCCAUGGCCUGGGCCACAAGCAACAUUUUCAAUCCAUAAGUUGGUGGCGCCAGGCCCAACUGAUACACAGUCAUCACCAGUCCCAAUUUUGCUGUCCAAAAUUGUGACACCACUUGAUGAUUGAACGUGAAUGCCAUCGGUGUUUGGGCUGUCACCGGCGGCCGAAACUUUGACCCCCUGUACUUUCACAUCGUUGCAUCCAUUGAUGACAAUAUGAAACAUCUGGCUAUCUACGGAUGCUAAUCCGUUAAUCACAACGUUGUCUGAGUUGCUAAAGCGAAGUGUCUGCUCAUGUAUAUACAAAAGAAGGAACAUUAAUUAUUAUAACUAAAGCAGGAAGCCAAUCAAUAUGAAAAGCAAAAAGCCACUAAAUUUACGACUAUACAGAUAUAUAUAGGAUAUUUCAACUUAAUUACCGUAGCGCCACUGGGGCAAUUACUAUUGUCCGACUUUUUACAAGCCCACAAGCCAGCACCUUGGCCAUCAAGAACGCCACCAUUAAUAGAAACCCCACUAACAUGCUCAAAUAAAAUCCAGUUUUCGGCAUUUCCGAUAACAUGAUAAUCAGCUGGAGCCACCAGAGUCCCGUCAAUACGUAUGGUAAUAUCAUUGUUCUUGCAUUGGCCUUGAAACACAACAUUGCUUAGUAAGUACCUCCCCGGUGGCACGUAAAUGGUUGCGGCCUCGGCCGAGCCACAGGCUUGAGCCCAUGCAGCAACAAAGGAUUUUACUGAGUCAGUCUGGCCAUCGGGUCUGGCUCCGAAGCUCAGCACGUUGUAACUCAACGGAAUUGCUAAAGAUGAACUAAAGAAGAGAAUCAAAAGAAACGGUAAAAAUUUAAUAGGCAAAGACAUUGAUUUUGACACUGUUUCAAAGUUUUACUUUACUGAUGGAUAUGAGAGAAAUAGAUUUGAGACGUUGAGUAGUUGGGGUGAAGUUGAAAAGAUUUAAAUGGGUAUUUAUAGGAUUUGAAUGAACUGUAGAAAUAUAAAUCACACUAGUAUUGAAUGCAAUCUGCGCAGAAUUACGGGAGUGAUUUUUGCCUUAACUGAUACGAUAUUAAUUUACUAAAAUACCCUUUAACUGAAAUUUGGAUGAUAUUUGAUGACAGAAGCACUGCUGUACCGUACUUCCGCCUUGGCCGUACAGCAGUAAAAGGCAUGUAAACUCCAUGCNNNNNNNNNNNNNNNNNNNNNNNNNNNNNNNNNNNNNNNNNNNNNNNNNNNNNNNNNNNNNNNNNNNNNNNNNNNNNNNNNNNNNNNNNNNNNNNNNNNNNNNNNNNNNNNNNNNNNNNNNNNNNNNNNNNNNNNNNNNNNNNNNNNNNNNNNNNNNNNNNNNNNNNNNNNNNNNNNNNNNNNNNNNNNNNNNNNNNNNNNNNNNNNNNNNAUCUUUAAUUUUUUUUUUAAAAAAAGAGCUGCUGUACCGUACAUCCGCCUUGGCCGUACAGCAGUUGAAGUUACAGCAAAAUAAAACGGUCUAAAAAUCAUUCGGACUAAGUUUUUGGGUAACCUGUAAAUACUGCAUGAAUUAACAUUGGAUAAACGAAAAGUACACAGCUAAUAAUUUUGUCAAAUGCUACAACCACUAAAAGGCCUGCAAACUCAUUCAGAUUGUUCAUUUGUUGGUUAAUAUAUAUUUCCAUUAUCCCUUUGGGCUAUCAAGUCAAUUAUAUGGAUAAGCCUCAGUAUCUAACUUCUAAUCUUACAGGUCAUUGAUUAAAUCGAACGGUUCAUGCUUAUGCAACUAUUAAUAUUGUAAUUUUUAUAGCAGCAUCAUAGAAUGACCCUUGUAUUAUAAUUUUUUUUUCUGAAAGUAAUUAAAUUAUUGUUUGGCCCACAAUUUGAGCAAGUGCCUAAUAAGAAUAUGGAAAUUUCCCGAAUUUCUGAAUGGCCAUUUCUUCAAAAUACAGAUUGUUGUUUUGGUGUCGGAAGGCUAAAUUCAUAAAUAAAGUUUCCCUUGUUUCACGGCUUCCUUGUUUCCGGAAAUUUUUGUUUUUCACGUGACGUUAAUUUGUUGAUCUUACUUUCGCUUAAGAGAAUAAAUUAGGCACACAAUAAAUGUCAGUAUUCAAAUUUCAGCUCUAGUUAUAUCUGGAAAAUGAAUCCAGAGCACAGUUCCAUCAACAUCAACUAUUGAUUUUAAGAAAAAAAUUAAGAAAGCCACGUGAAAAAAAAAAAGAAAAAGAAAAUUUCGUUGAAAGUUGAUAAAAUGUUCGUUAUCAUAGUACGUCUCUUUAUCUAGAUGUUAUUUUUGUAAUUAACAUAAAUAUUUUUUUUCUCAUUUUAUCAAAAUUAUUCAAGUGGGAAGCAGUUUCAGUCCACCGUGUGCAUUUUCGUUAAUGAAAUUAUUUUCUUCUUAUUUCUUAUAACUAGCCGCAAUUUUGCUAGUUUCGAAAGGGAUGUUUUGACAUAAAGUUCAACUUUUUUCCUUUUCUUUUUAGUGGUUACAAUUUUUGUGCACAUUACUGAUUGACUUGUUUCAAUUACUCAGAUUAAGCAAACAAUCAAGCCACAUUACUAGGUUAUCAAGAAAGAGCAGUUACCAGUUAGGUCCCUCAGGUCAAAGACGUGACUUAUUUUAGUCAAUUGCUUUAUGUUAAUCAAAAUUUGGCAGAAGUUAAUUAACCGACUACAAGUUCACCACAUGCGGAUUUCAACCGCCCAACUGAAAAAAGGUUUAUGAGUGUUGACCAAAUGAUUUUUUUAUACAUUACUAGUUGUUUAAGGGAUUUACUUUCACACAGUACCAUUAAUUGUUGGAGUUAGCUAAUCUAACGGUAACUUCUAUUGGUGGUAUCGCCUCAAAUUUUGUUUUAUAAUUAAUUUUAAAUGUAUGUGAAGAGCUUGACUGCCAAUUUCUUUAUUUAUUUUUCAGAUAAAAAAUUGUUUUACAAAACAAAAAAAGAAUAUGUUAUUAAGGAAGCUCACAUCAGUAGCAUAGACUGUAAAGCAGAGGAUAGCAGCAGCUCCAGCUUACGGUUGAGAGUUUAUGACAUGGCAUGCCAGCUGGCACCUGGUGGUUAUGUAAUCACUUGUACACGUGAUAAUCAGCUGAAGUUGUUAUAGUUAGUUAGAAUUAGCAGUAGUUUGUAACAGUCAAAAUGAUGUUGAUAUCUGCCACCUGGAAUAUCAUAUCAUACCAUUUUUUUUAUAUUUUUUUUCAGAAAAAUAAAAAUCUAUAAGGGAAUUAGAAAUCUCACCCACGAAACUCCAACCAUCACCCACUAUUAUUACUAGUACUCGACUAACCUAAUGCAUGUGGAAUAUAAAAUUUAGUUUAGAUGAAUUAAAUUACGUUGGAUUUCUUUAGGUGUUGAAAACUUGUUUAAUUUUUUUCUGUACAUACAAUAAUAUCCUUUCGAAAAUUUAAUUAAGAGUAAUUGCCAGAAUUCAACAAAUCACAUCUAUCUUUAAUUUUUUUUUUAAAAAAAGAGAAAAAUAAACUAAAAAAAAGAAAGAAAAGAAAAUGCCCGUAACAAGCCCCAAAACAUGGAAUGUAGCAGUCGCAAACCAAAAAGCUCAAUACACAUUUGUCUGCGCAUGUGAGUGUUCAAGACAUGAAUUAAUGGACUCUUGAAGUAAUUUAUAUUUACUGUCUCUGCUGUUAAUCUAAAACCAAAAACUAAAUAUUGCCAUGAAUUUAGGGUUUAAAUAAUUAUUGCUGUUUUUAAAGAAUAUGAAGGAAUCAAUAUUUAUAUAACCUACAGAGCAUGUGAGCUUAGCAAAAAUGGAGGAACGGUGCGAUAUGAAACGAUUUUUUCAUUAAAACAUCAUGCAAUGCUUUAAAUGGAGAUGCAUGUUUGAAAUAAAAAAUAAAAACAACAUAAAGAAGGAGGGUUGACUGUAUGGGGAUUUGUGCUUAUAAUUUAGGCUCACAUAGCUUCCUUUGACUGAAGAACAUACGUGCAAGCAAACUCACAAAUGGCAUUGUGCCACUUAGAAGUAAGAGAAGCACAUCAAUCAUUGAACUUCUUCUUUUUUUUUUCUGAAUCAAUUGUUUUAAGGAAGCACAUCUCAGCUGCUUAGUCAAAGAUCAGUCAAUACAAAGAGUGGCCAAUGAAGCCAAGUGAGCAGAGUGAUUAAGAGUGUGCCAGAUCAUUGACAGCUCAGCUUAUUAGUUACACAUAUCUAUUGUGCUCUAUAUCUUUCAUUUUUGUUAUUUUAUGUUUUUAGUGUUAGCAGUUAGUUACAGUUUAUAGUUAAGCUCACGAGCUUGAUAUAAAUACUUUGUUUUACUAUUUUUGAUAUUAAGUGAAAUAAACAAUAAACAUUCAUUUCCAGAAUAUUCUUUUCCUCUGUAAACUUUUUUUCUUCCAAACACAAUACGAUUUUCCUUUAUGGUAUCAGAGCCAGAUCAAUAUGGCUAGCUCCAGCAAUCCAAUUGUAAACACAAACACUAAUUCAAUAAGCUCAACAAAUUUUUCAUUCAUCACUCAUGUGAAGUUAGAUCGAAUCAAUUACUUAAUUUGGUGAUCUCAAGUAUUAGCUUCCAUAAGAGGCAACAGACUUGAAGGUUUUAUUAAUGGAACAAAAUUUGAACCAGAGCAGUGCAUUACUCGCAGAACAGCUGAGGGAUCUGCUGAUUGAGAAUCCAGAGUUUAUCACCUGGAAAUCACAAGAUCAAACACUUCUUGGCUGGCUCUUAUCUUCAAUAAGUGAAGGUACACUUGGUCUUGUUAUUAAUCUUGAUAGUUCAUAUACUGUAUGGAAAACACUUGAGAAGAAAUUUGGAGUACAAUAUGAAGCUAAGGUACUUCAAAUCAAGUAUGAAAUAAACACUUUAAAGAAAGAAUCAAUGAAUGUUGAAGAUUAUUGCAUGAAAAUGAAAGCAUUAGCUGAUAAGCUUGCUUGUGCUGGGAGUCCUUUGAAUGAUAGAGAAUUGUUGCUGCACAUUCUAAAUGGUCUUGGACCAGGCAAUCUAGAUUUAGCUUCUUUUAUCACUGCUUGUAGAAUGGAUUUUGAUGAUGCAUAUGCAUUGUUGGUCACUCAUAAACCUAGGCUUGAGCAACAAGAGCAAGAUGCUAAAACUGUUUUCAAUGCUAAUUUUGCACAAGGCAUGUUCAAUGGUAAUUUUGCACAAACAAGGGGAAACUAUAGAAGAGGUGGUUAUACAUGAGGUUUUCAAGGCAAUUAUCAUGGUGGAAGAGGAUCAGGCACUGGUAGAAGUUUUCCUUUAAGAAUUUUUUUUGGAUUUAAUGGUUUCAAUGGAGGAUACUCUGGCUUUGGUGGUUAUGGUAGCGGUCAAAACAUGCAUCAGAUGAAAGGAAAAGUCUUCAAUGGCAUGUCUCCUACUAUGCCAUCCAAUUUUUCUGGAAAUUCACAUCAAAAUGCUGCUAGCAUUUCUUAUGAAGUUAUAAUCUGUCAAAUCUGUUCUAAAUCUGGACAUAGUGCUGAUGUUUGCUGGUAUAGAUUCAAUGAGGAUUUUAUUCCAGCUCCAUCUAGAGUUUACAAUAAAGGAAAAACUCCAAAGUUUGCUUAUAUGACUAAUUUUGAACCAGUUAAUUACAUGCCAUCUUAUAUGCCUAGUUUUGAUGAAUAUUCUGCUGGAAUGUCUCCUGUAUGCAUGCCUGGUUUUCAUACUCCAUAUUCCCCUGGAACUGCUUAUAUGGCCAAUUUUGAAGGGCCUGCUGAUGAAAGUUGGUAUUUCGAUAGUGGAGCUACACAUCAUCUACCAAACAACAUGACCAAUAUACAUAUCAGAGAGGAAUUCAAAGGUAAUGAUCAACUCAUCAUAGGAAAUGGUCAAGGCCUAACUAUCACUCAUGUUGGUAAUGCUUCUCUUCGUUUGUCUGGUUCUAAAACUACUUGCAUUCUGCUAAAGGAUAUACUGCUUGUACCUUCUAUAACUAAAAAUCUUUUAAGCAUAUCUAAACUAACCUCAGAUAAUAACAUUUCUAUUGAAUUUUGUGUUAAUGUUUGUUUUGUGAAGGACAAAAUGAAAGGACAAGUUCUUCUGCAGGGACUUUCUGAGAAAGGACUGUACAAGCUGCAACUUAAACCCAGUUCACCCAAUACUCAAUCUCAUGAGUCACAUAUGUCAGUUGUUCAUUUAAAUAAGCCUUUGUCUAUGUUGUCUUUUGUCAAUAGAAACAAUCAGACCUCAAAUAAAUGUGAUUCUUUUGCUAAGGCUUGUUUCAAUUUUGUUUCAUCAAAUUGUACUCAAGCAGUUGAUCAAUUAACCUUGUUACAUAGAAAGUUUGGUCAUCCAAAUUUGAAUGUUCUAAUACACUUGCUGAAGUUUUAUAAUUGUGCUAAAGUCUCUCUGCAGUCACUCAAAAAUUCUAGUCAUAAUGUGUGUGAAGCCUGUCAAUUGGGAAAAUCUCAUAGGCUACAUUUUGCAACUACAGAUACCACAACUACUCAUGUUUUGGAGCUUAUACACACAAACCUUUGGGGGCCUUCACCAUUUCUGUCUAGGAAUGGAUAUAAGUACUAUAUUAGCUUUGUUGAUGAUUAUAGCAGAUAUACAUGGAUUUAUCCCCUCAAGCUUAAGUAAGAAGCUUUAACAGUUUUAAGUUGUUCAAACUUCAGGUUGAAAAUCAGUUCAGCACAUCUAUCAAGAUGUUGCAAUCUGAUUGGGGGGGGGGGAGAAUAUAGAGUGUUUACAGAUUUUCUAAAUCAAAAUGGUAUUAUUUUUAGACACUCAUAUCCUUAUACACAUCAUUAAAAUAGAUUAGUGGAAAGAAAACAUAGACAUAUAGUUGAACUUGGUUUAACUCUGCUAGCUCAAGCAAAUUUAUCUUUUCAAUACUGGUGGGAUGCCUUUCAUACUGCAGUAUUUCACAUCAAUAGGUUACCCACUCUAGUGCUCAAGAAUCAAACACCAUACGAGAAUUUGUUUAAACAUAAAGCAGAUUAUAGUUUUCUUAAGUGUUUCGGCUAUUUAUGUUAUCCAUUCUUGAAAGACUAUAAUAAGCACAAGUUUGAUUUUCAUUCCAACAAGUGUAUAUUCAUUGGGUAUAGUCCAUCACACAAGGGUUAUAAAUGUCUUCAUCCUUCAGGUCGAGUGUAUAUUGUCAGACAUAUCACAUUUGAUGAAACUUGUUUUCCUUCAACUCUCCUUGAUGAUAAAACCAAUAUUUCACCUUGUGUCACUGAGUCUGUCAAAUCACUUAACCAACAAUAAGUUUUUCACUUGUCUACCUUGCCAUAUAUUCCUGAUAGCAGAUUUGAAGAACCUUUCUCAGCAGGAACCAGCAGUAACAUAACUCAAUCUUUAUCAAGUUCUAAUCAUACAAUUACUGCUCAACAAAAUCAACAAUAUGAUUUACUUGGAUCUCGAGAUUACACACAAACACUAAUUACAAACAAUUCACCUGUAUCAGCUAAAAUUUUUCAACCAGAACCUCAAAAUCCAAUUUUAUCACAUGACAUAUCAACCAACACAUCUUCACAGAACCAGAAAACUAUUCAUCAACCAACACACAAAAUGAUCACUAGAGCUAAAUCAGGCAUAAUCAAACCAAAGGUGUAUUGUGCUACUCUAUCAAAUAGGGAACCAGAUACAGUUGAAGAAGCAUUAGAAGAUCCAAGGUGGUAUCAGGCAAUGAAAGAUGAGUAUGAUGCAUUAAUGAAGAACAAUACUUGGAUUCUAGUACCUAAAUUCUCUGACCAUAAAGUUGUUGACAAUAAAUGGAUAUUUAGAGUCAAGUAUAAUACUGAUGGUAGUGUUGCUAAGUUUAAAGCCAGACUUGUUCCAAAGGGAUUUCAACAAGUAGCAGGAGUUGAUUACUUUGAGACUUUCAGUCCAGUAAUUAAACCAGCUACAGUUUGAGUGGUGUUAAGCUUGGCUGCAAUGAACAACUGGAAAAUAAGGCAAGUAGAUAUUAAUAAUGCAUUCUUGAAUGGUGAUUUGAUUAAGGAUGUCUUUAUGAUGCAACCUAAGGGUUUUAUCAAUGUUUAUAAACCUGGUCAUAUUUGCAAAUUGAACCAGGCACUUUAUGGACUAAAGCAGGCUCCUAGAGCAUGGUUUGAUAAGCUCAAGGAAACUUUGAUUAAGUGGGGAUUUCAGAACUCAAGGGCAGAUACAUCACUGUUCUUGAAGAAAGAAAAAGGAUCUAUGAUUAUGGUACUAAUCUAUGUGGAUGAUAUAUUAAUUACAGGUCCUAACAGCAAAGCUCUUGAAGAUUUUAUUUCUCAUUUCAGUUUAGUUUUUGCCUUAAAAGAUCUAGGGAUUUGUCUUAUUUCCUGGGGAUUGAAGUCUCUUACUACAAUGGAAGUAUUUUCUUGUCUCAAAGGAAAUAUAUUAGAGACUUGUUGGCAGAACCAGAGCUUUUAAACUGUAAAGGUUGUGACACACCAAUGACUACAAGAACAAAGCUUCAGAAACAAGCUUAUGUUUCACUUGGUCAAUUCAUUGAAGAUCCUAUAGCAUAUAGAAGUUUGGUUGGAGGCUUACAAUAUGUAAUACUUACAAGGCCUGAGAUAGCUUUUGCAGUACAUAAGCUUAGUCAAUAUGUUGCUAUGCUAACUUUACAGCAUCUAAUGGCGUGCAAGAGAGUGUUAAGAUACUUAAAGGAAACUCAGGAUUAUGGACUGAAAUUUGGAACUGAAGGAGAGCUGAGACUGACUGGAUACACAGAUACAGAUUGGGCUUGUGACAUUGAUGACAGGAAUUUAGUUGGUGCAUAUUGCAUAUACUUGGAAAAUAAUCUAACUCAUGGUCUUCUAAGAAACAAUCAGUUAUGACAAGAUCUAGUGCUGAAAGUGAAUAUAGAUCUCUUGCUUCAGCUUGUGCAGAAAUUACUUGGCUUCAAUCAUUAUUCAGUGAAAUGAAUCUGUAGUGCACUUCAACUCCAGUGAUAUGGUGUGAUAAUAAAAGUGCCACUGAGCUUGCAAAGAACCCAGUUUAUCAUUCAAGAACCAAACAUAUUGAAUUGGAUAUGCACUUCAUUAGAGACAAAAUUGUUGCCAAAGAAUUGCAGAUCAAUUAUAUACCCAGUGAAGAACAAAUUGCAGAUGCUUUAACCAAACCCUUAACCUUUAAUCAUUUUAAUUUUUUCAGAAGCAAACGCAAUGUGCAACCUUGCCCAUUGAGUUUGAGGGGGGCUAUUAAGGAAGCACAUCUCAGCUGCUUAGUCAAAGAUCAGUUAAUGCAAAGAGUGACCAAUGAAGCCAAGUCAGCAGAGUGAUUGAGAGUGUGCCAGAUCAUUGACAGCUCAGCUUAUUAGUUACACAUGUCUAUUGUGCUCUGUAUCUUUCAUUUUUGUUAUUUUUUGUUUUAAGUGUUAGCAGUUAGUUACAGUUUAUAGUUAAGCUCACGAGCUUGAUAUAAAUACUUUGUUUUACUAUUUUUGAUAUUAAGUGAAAUAAACAAUAAACAUUCAUUUCCUGAAUAUUAUUUUCCUCUGUAAAUUUGUUUUCUUCCAAACACAAUACGAUUUUCCUUUAAAUUGUGACGGUGGCUUAGUUUGGCUGCGUUUAUUAUAUCAGGAUAGGGGCCAAAUCCUUUUGCUUGUUUCUAAUUUUCGAUGUAUAAAGUGUCGCCUUUACCUUUCCCAAGAUACAUAGUUCUACUUUUGGGUCGAUCAGGACCUUUUUCUUUUCUCAUUCCUAAUUUUUAAGCACUUUAACCCUAGCUCACUUUAUGCACAUGUGGAAAUUAACCUCUUUGAAAUUGUGGGUGAGAGAGAUGAUCAUUUUAUUUUUCGAAAUUAAAAUUUUGAUUCGACAAAGGUUAUAAAGGAGAAAUAACAAACUUAAAGAGACUGUAACAAAAAAUGCAAAGUGAUACAAACUCUUAAAAUAAUUUAAAUUAUUUAAUUUAUUUAUUCAAUUUUAUGGUAUUAGUUAAUUUUGAACUAAUCAAAAGUAGUUACACUUAUUUUGUGGAACUACAUGUAAGUAGUGGAGCAUUAUGUGAGAACAUCUUAGUGUUACUAAUUUUUAAGUUGUAAUCUUAAAUAAGCUUUAUUCUACAAAGUUUGAUAUUAUUCAACAAAAAGCAUCAUGAGUUUAUUAUUUUGGCAACAUAAAAGUUGUAAUUGAGAGUUUAUUGGUUACUCGAAUAACCAAUACUUAUUUGGAGGCUUGGGUUUCCUCGAAUUAACCCCAUUUCGUUGGUAAAUUUGGUGGGUGAAGCAGACACACAACUAAAGUGAAAUUGAGAAAUAAUGAUCACAUAGGGACACCAAAAUUUAUGUGGUUUGACUUUUAGCCUACGUUCACGGGCGAAGAUAGAAGGAAAAUUACAAGUAUUGUAAUGUUUUGUCUCACAACCCAGAACACAAUUACACCCAAACUCUCAAAAACACUAGAACUAGAGCUCAAAGAUCUCAACACUCUUAAUUUACACCUCUUAGCACUCUCACUUGAAUUGGAGAAAAUGGGAUGAAUGAAGAGGACAAAUGAAGCUGCUAAUUAUAGGUCAGGAAAUGCCCAAAAACCAACAAUGGCGGGCACUAAAGUAAUAUAAAUUUCUCUCAAAUUUCCACUUUGGUGCUGAAGUCAAAGGUUGCAUGUGAAAUAUAAGUGUGCAACCCAAGAGGGGGGUGAAUUGGUAUUUUAAAAAUUAUCCUAGCAAAUCCACACAACAAACAAUCUAACUUCUUAAUAAAAUUGAAAACAAUAAGUUCAAUAAAAGCACAAUAACAAAUGAGUAAGAGAGAAGAGAAAGAAACACACGAAUUUUUACAUGGUUCGGCAAUCCCCGCUUACGUCCACGCCUCCAAGCGAUCCAAGCUUGAGGAUUUCACUAUCCGAGCCUUUCCAAGGAUUCAACCGUUUACAAUUGACUUCAAGGUGUCAAUGGACCUUUACAACAAAGAGAUUAUCUCCCAAUCUCUUCACUCAAGUGUCUCACACACUCAAACACUUACAAUUAAGAUGAAGAAAUGAAAGUUACAACAAAACUCACUCAAAGAGUAGAUAUUCAAAAAUGAAGAUUAAGAGAUGAUUCAAUGUGUUUUGUGAUUUGCAAAUUGAAAGCUCAAGAUAUCUCGUGUGCUUUUUGAUUAUGCUUGCUGGAGAGAUUGAAAAUGAAUUGGAUUUGAGUUUAUAUAGUUUGAGCUCAAAAACUAGCCGUUAUGCACAUUUUGGUCGUAACCGGCUUACCGUUUAUAGAAUCCGGUUAGCCGCUUUUAUGUUACCGUUAAGGCAAAAAUUUAAAUUUCGGAAUAUCCGGUAUGCCGCUUUUCAUAUCUGGUUAGCCGCUUGCAACAGUGAAAUAUUUUCUAAAUUUAUAAUUUGACCCCAAAACUUUAUAAAAACUGUAUUAUAGCCCAAAACGUUAUGAAAACUUUUAAAUAGGUCCAAUUUCAUAAUUUCUAAAUAAUGCUUUGUCAAUCCCAAAACUUUCUGAAAUUAUGAUUUCACCCAAACUAGGUGAAAUUAUAGAAUGACCCAAAAUAUUUAAAUAGUUUCAAAUAAGUCCAAAUCUGAAAUUUUAAAACAAUUUCAAAGAUUUUAAAAUACUUUCAUUUUAGUCCAAAACACUUUAAUUCUAUAACAUCAUUUUCUUAUUAUAAAAGCACAAUUCAUAAAUCUUUGUUUAAUCAAUACAUGUGGUUUGUUAUCAUCAAAAUCAAUAUCUAUAGCCAUAUAGGCUAACAGCAUGCCUCCUACUCACUCAACAAAUUUAUGCCAAGAGUCAAAAGUUGCAUGCUAGUCACAUGCAAUUGUUUGCCACAUGCAUGCACAUGUUCAACACAUUUGUCGUCUAAUUUUUCUAUUUCAUUUGAUUUCUCCUUAUAAACAUUAGUGUUCGUAUCAUUUGGUAUUAGAGAUUGGUAAUAAAAAAGGAGUAAAUCCUUACAGUGGAGCAGAGAAUUGAGAGCAUUCAGAAGAUGAUGGAGGGUAUAAUUCUUAAGUAGAAGGAACUUACCAAGAAAUUAUUGUGCAAAAUGGAUGAAAUUUCAAGAACAUGGGAUGCAAGGUUGAACUCAGGUAGCCCUCAUAUCAAACUUGUGAAAGAAAAUUCUACGUCUUUGGUUGAAGUUCAACGUCUCCAACAAAGUGACAAUUUGGCAACUGCAACGCAUGAUGGAGGUGUUAAACAAUGCAGCAAAGUAGUGGUGGCAUCAUCGAAGAAAAUUCCACAAAUCAACAUUCAAAAGGUUUGAGUUUUCGAAAAUUCCAUAAAUCAACAUUCAAAAGGUUUGAGUUUUCUCUUACAAGUCAAAGGUGCAGAGUGUUUAUUUUAAGGACAAAGCCAAAUUGCCUAGCCACCAUGAUGAGAAAUUAUUCAUCCGUAAAGUGCCAAAAAUUGAGAUGAAGAACAUGGUUGGAUCAAUGGUGAAUUUUCAAAAGAGCUUCAAGGCAUCAUUAUAUCUAAUUAUGAAUUGGAAACGGAAGAGAAAGCAAAUUAUUUCAAAAAAAUCUACCCUUGAGGACAACAGUAUUUUCAAGGGGGAAGGAAUGAUACAAACUCUUAAAAUAAUUAAAAUUAUUUAUUUUACUUAUUUAAUUUUAUGGUAUUAGUUAAUUUUGAACUAGUCAAAAGUAGUUGCACUUAUUUUGUGGAACUACAUGAAAGUAGUGGAGCAUUAUGUGAGAAAAUUACCUAUUAAUAAACCAUAGGUAAUUUUCUAUUUGUAGGUAAUAUAUAUGCUUGUGGAUAGAAUUUUAUUUUAAUUAAAUGUAAAUAUUGUCUUAAUCACUAACAAAUAAAAAUAUUAAACAUGCAAAUAUACAUAUUAAUUUAGAUUUAUGCAUAAUAAAUAUUGAAAUAUUAUUUAACCUUCACCAACACAUAUUAACAGUGAUCUCUUUUUAUUAUUUAUAAUUGGAACAAUACAAUUUUAAUUUCUUGGCAUUAUAUUUAUUAAUCUACUAAAUUUUUGGUGAGAAAGAAAGAAAGAAUAUUAUUAAAAAUAAUUUUCAAUUAUGUUAGUAUUAAACAAUAGUUUAAAAAAUAUAUAAUUUUAGAUAGAUUGUAACUUUUUUUAAAUCUGGUCGGAAGGCUAAAUUCAUAAAUAAAGUUUCCCUUGUUUCCGAAAAUUUCAAAGUUCAGCUCUAGUUACAUAUGGAAAAUGAAUCCGGAGCACAGUUCCAUCAACAUCAACUAUUGAUUUUUAAAGAAAAAAAAAGUUGAAAAGCCAUGUGAAAAAAUGAAAAUUUCAAUGAAAGUGGAUAAAAUGCGUUGCGACUAUGGGUUACAUAGCAAGAUACAUCAGUGCUGACGAUUUUUUGCUUUUACUAAAUUGAUGGAAAUAUCAUAAAGUUUCAAAGAAAACAAAUAUGUUUUCUCAUUUUAUCAAGAUUAUUCAGAUGGGAAGAAGUUUCCUAGCCGCAAUUUUCCUACUUUCGAAAUGGAGAGAAAAUUACCUAUUAAUAAACCAUAGGUAAUUUUCUAUUUGUAGGUAAUAUAUAUGCUUGUGGAUAGAAUUUUAUUUUAAUUAAAUGUAAAUAUUGUCUUAAUCACUAACAAAUAAAAAUAUUAAACAUGCAAAUAUACAUAUUAAUUUAGAUUUAUGCAUAAUAAAUAUUGAAAUAUUAUUUAACCUUCACCAACACAUAUUAACAGUGAUCUCUUUUUAUUAUUUAUAAUUGGAACAAUACAAUUUUAAUUUCUUGGCAUUAUAUUUAUUAAUCUACUAAAUUUUUGGUGAGAAAGAAAGAAAGAAUAUUAUUAAAAAUAAUUUUCAAUUAUGUUAGUAUUAAACAAUAGUUUAAAAAAUAUAUAAUUUUAGAUAGAUUGUAACUUUUUUUAAAUCUUUAAAUAGAUUGGUCUGAUAGCCUGUUAAUUUUAAAUUAUUAAAAUUAAAAUAUUGCACUAACUGGCUUCUAAUUUUAUAAGCCAUUGAUUAAAUCCAACAGUUCAUAUUUAUGCGACUAUUAAUACUUAACAGCAUCAUAGCAUGACCCUUGUAUUGUAAUUCUUUUUCUUUUUUCUGAAAGUAACUGAAUUAUUGUUUGACCCACAAUUUUAGAAAAUGCCUAAUAAGAAUAUUGAAAUUCCUGAAUUCUUAAUGGCCAUAUCUUCAAAACACAGAUAGUUGUUUUGGGUCGGAAGGCUAAAUUCAUAAAUAAAGUUUCCCUUGUUUCCGAAAAUUUCAAAGUUCAGCUCUAGUUACAUAUGGAAAAUGAAUCCGGAGCGCAGUUCCAUCAACAUCAACUAUUGAUUUUUUAAGAAAAAAAAAUUGAAAAGCCAUGUGAAAAAAUGAAAAUUUCAAUGAAAGUGGAUAAAAUGCGUUAUGUAGCAAGAUACAUCAGUGCUGACGAUUUUUUGCUUUUACUAAAUUGAUGGAAAUAUCAUAAAGUUUCAAAGAAAACAAAUAUGUUUUCUCAUUUUAUCAAGAUUAUUCAGAUGGGAAGAAGUUUCCUAGCCGCAAUUUUCCUACUUUCGAAAUGGAUGUUUGAGAUGAGUUCAACCCCCUUUCUUUUUUUUUUUUUUAUUACAAUUUUUAUGCAUAUUACUGUUUUACUUGUUUCAAUUACUCAGAUUAAGCAAACAAUCAAGCCACAUUACUAGGUUAUCAAGAAAGAGCAGUUACCAGUUAGGUCCCUCAGGUCAAAGCCAUGACUUAUUUUAGUCAAUUGCUUUAUAUUAAUCAAAAUUUGGCAGAAGUUAAUUAACCGACUACAGAAAGGUUGAGGGGCUACAUGAAAUUUUACAAAAAAAAAAUUAGGUUUUAAAAAACGUGGCUUUAGAAGAGUAAGUGGGGGCGGCUGAUACAAAGAAAAAAAGCACAAAAAGACGAGAGAAGAAAAGGAAGAACAGUGGCUAACUAUUAUAAUUUGGGGGUAAAAUUUUUAAUCUUUGAUUAGAUAAUCAUAAGGUUAAAUUAACUUCGUUUUCUCCCAAAUUUUGAUGGUAAGUUUCUGGCAUCACCCUCUAUAAUUCUACUGGUCUUGAUUUUUAUUCUAUUUUCUCGUUGACUAUUAUUUGAGAUAACCACUUGUUAGAGAGAUAGAUAUUAGGAUGUUACUGUAAGCUAGGAAUAUUGAGAUUUUUUAUAUUGUUAGCCUCUAGUAUUAUCUAGAAAAGAAUUUGUAUUGUAUCUCUUGUGGUUGAUUUAUUACUCUGGAUUUUGUUGGUUUAUUUUUCUGCCUAUUUAUUUGUGAUACACAUCCUAUUUUAAUCACAUAAAGAGGGAAAUAGUUUUAUUUCCGCUUAAUUUGCAACUGCUUGUGUGUACUGUUAGAUCAUGGAUUGAUCAGAGUGUGUACCAUCAUGUCGUGAAGGAAUCCACGGUUGAUGUUCUUUGGAGAAAAUUAAAGAUAAUUUAUGAGCAGCCGACAACACAUAACAAAGCCAAUUUGAUGAAAAGGUUUGUUAAUUUGAAACACAAGAAGGGGUGUAGUAUAACUGAACACACUGAUGAGUUUUAGGGCUUGGUUAUCAGUUGACUGCUGUUGUGCAAAUUUUAUUGAACUCGCAAGUGCACGAAUCUAUUGUAGUAUAAAUCAAUGGUGACGAGUGUCAAUCCCACGAGGAUGUGGAUUUUAAUUAUAUGUAGAAUUAAUUUUGUAUGAAGGUGGUUGGAUUUGUGGUGAAAAUGAUUUGGAUUAUCCUAAAAUUGGAAUUUAAAUGGCGAGAAUAAAUUGAAUAGAAAUCUAUUAAAAUGACAUACUUGGGUAUCUGGAUCCGUAUCAACAUGCAUCAUGAGCUAAAUAUUCCUUAUUAAUACCAAUUAAAUCAUGAGGGGGGAAUCUACACCUCAUGAACCACACUCUAAUCAAUAUGGUGCUAAUGGCUUAUCAUGCCAAAUAAUAAUAACCUUGUACUAGGGGGCCGGUGAAACCAAGACGGUACUAGACAAGAUUAGUAUUAUUUGUCGACGAGAAGUCAAAACAUCCACAAAAAUUAGAGGGGAAGAGAAAAUAAAUUUACCAAAUAAAGCCCAUGACACAUGUUGAGACUUCACAUUCAACCCAAGCUUGAAAGAAAAUUAGCUACUCAUAAUUAAACUAGGGGUAAAAUGGGAAUUUAUUAAAAUACGUAGAAAAUACAAGAUGGAGAGAGAAUUACAGAAAAUAGAGUCCAAAAAUGGAUUCAGAGAUAUCAAAUUAGGGGGGGAAGGCCCCCUUUUUAUAGAUACAUUGAGUAAAUCGUGGCCAUCGGAUUAAAAACAAUUUGGACACUCAGGAUUGCGCCACGUCAUCAGUCAACAGUACGUAAGAAUUUUAGUCCAACAGGAUCGUGACACCUCAUCAGUCAAUGCCACAUCAUCGAUCAAUGCCACGUCAUCGAUCCGUCUAUGUGAACAGUGUCGUAAACAGUAACGUAGACAGUUCCGUACACGUGAAUAGUACCAUAUAUGUGAACAGUGCCAUUUUUCCUUUUAUGCUCCUCCUAAGGUUUUCGACCAUCCUAAGUUCAAAAGUGAUGUCCGUUUUGCCGUCUGAUCUCUCGUUUAUUGUGAAAUGACCAUGUUGCCCCUAAAAUACAUAAAAUACUUAAUUAAAAUAAAAACACACAUAAUUAAAUUACAAGAAGCUUAAAUACAUAAAAGUAAGGGUUAUUAGUAAGACGUGAAAUGUAAAAUGACGAUUUUCUCCUUUAUAAAUAUACAUUUUCUAACACUCAACAACUGCUAUGAAAAUUAUUUGAGAUAACGAGUUACAAGGAUUGUUGUUACUUAGUUCUUUACCUGACAAUUGGGGGACAUUAGUGGUGUCAGUGAAUAAACCAGAGCUGAACAGGAAAUUAACAUUGGGUAUAGUUACAAAGAGGUUACAGAAUGAAGAAUCUAAAAAAAAAAAGUGUUGAAGCAGUUCUCUCUAAGUUAGAUGCACUCCUUUCAGAAAAGCAAGAAAGACGGGGGAGAAGUCAAACUAGAAAUUCCGCCCAACAGAACAAUGAUAACUGUAGAGAAAUAUUUAAAUCCCAAAGGAGAAACAUGAAGUGCUUUCAUUGUCAAAAAAUGGGUCAUGUUAAAAUGGAGUGUAGAUUGUGGAAAAGAGAACAGGCGAAAGAAAAGGGCGAUGCUCAGAAAAAUGACAAAGACAACAUUGCAGCCAUAGUUGAUGGUCAUAUGUGUAUUGUUUAUGAUGAGUGCUCGGUAAAUCUCACUUGCCACACCAGUGAUUGGGUGAUUGAUUUGGGUGCUUCGCUUCAUGUUACUGCACGUCGUGACUACUUCACAAACUAUGUUAAUGGCGAUUAUGACCAUGUUCGGAUAGGAAAUGAGAGAGCAUACAAGAUUGUGGGCAUAGAAGAUAUUUGCUUGGAAACCAGCAUUGGUUGUAAGUUGUUGCUUAAAGAUGUCAGACAUGUACUAGAUAUUCACCUUAAUUUGAUCUCUAUAUGUAAGCUUAAUGAUGAUGGUUAUACUAACCAAUUUGGUGAAGGAAAAUGGAAGUUCACCAAAGGCUCCCUAAUGUUAGCUAAGGGGGGAAAGUAAACACUCUCUAUGUGAUAGAAGCCAAGAUUAAGAAAGAAGAUAUGAAUGUGCUGUAAAAGAUUCUGACAUUGAGACAAGGCACGAAAUGCUUGUUCACAUUGGUGAGAAAGGGUUAGAAACUCUUGCCAAAAAAGGAUUUAUACCCAGCUUCGCAGGUAUGUCCCUCAAGACCUGUGUUCAUUGCUUAACUGAAAAGGCACACGAAGUAGCUUAGGAUCGUGACACCUCAUCAGUCAAUGCCACAUCAUCGAUCAAUGCCACGUCAUCGAUCCGUCUAUGUGAACAGUGUCGUAAACAGUAACGUAGACAGUUCCGUACACGUGAAUAGUACCAUUGAGAUUUUUUAUAUUGUUAGCCUCUAGUAUUAUCUAGAAAAGAAUUUGUAUUGUAUCUCUUGUGGUUGAUUUAUUACUCUGGAUUUUGUUGGUUUAUUUUUCUGCCUAUUUAUUUGUGAUACACAUCCUAUUUUAAUCACAUAAAGAGGGAAAUAGUUUUAUUUCCGCUUAAUUUGCAACUGCUUGUGUGUACUGUUAGAUCAUGGAUUGAUCAGAGUGUGUACCAUCAUGUCGUGAAGGAAUCCACGGUUGAUGUUCUUUGGAGAAAAUUAAAGAUAAUUUAUGAGCAGCCGACAACACAUAACAAAGCCAAUUUGAUGAAAAGGUUUGUUAAUUUGAAACACAAGAAGGGGUGUAGUAUAACUGAACACACUGAUGAGUUUUAGGGCUUGGUUAUCAGUUGACUUCUCCUUUAUAAAUAUACAUUUUCUAACACUCAACAACUGCUAUGAAAAUUAUUUGAGAUAACGAGUUACAAGGAUUGUUGUUACUUAGUUCUUUACCUGACAAUUGGGGGACAUUAGUGGUGUCAGUGAAUAAACCAGAGCUGAACAGGAAAUUAACAUUGGGUAUAGUUACAAAGAGGUUACAGAAUGAAGAAUCUAAAAAAAAAAAGUGUUGAAGCAGUUCUCUCUAAGUUAGAUGCACUCCUUUCAGAAAAGCAAGAAAGACGGGGGAGAAGUCAAACUAGAAAUUCCGCCCAACAGAACAAUGAUAACUGUAGAGAAAUAUUUAAAUCCCAAAGGAGAAACAUGAAGUGCUUUCAUUGUCAAAAAAUGGGUCAUGUUAAAAUGGAGUGUAGAUUGUGGAAAAGAGAACAGGCGAAAGAAAAGGGCGAUGCUCAGAAAAAUGACAAAGACAACAUUGCAGCCAUAGUUGAUGGUCAUAUGUGUAUUGUUUAUGAUGAGUGCUCGGUAAAUCUCACUUGCCACACCAGUGAUUGGGUGAUUGAUUUGGGUGCUUCGCUUCAUGUUACUGCACGUCGUGACUACUUCACAAACUAUGUUAAUGGCGAUUAUGACCAUGUUCGGAUAGGAAAUGAGAGAGCAUACAAGAUUGUGGGCAUAGAAGAUAUUUGCUUGGAAACCAGCAUUGGUUGUAAGUUGUUGCUUAAAGAUGUCAGACAUGUACUAGAUAUUCACCUUAAUUUGAUCUCUAUAUGUAAGCUUAAUGAUGAUGGUUAUACUAACCAAUUUGGUGAAGGAAAAUGGAAGUUCACCAAAGGCUCCCUAAUGUUAGCUAAGGGGGGAAAGUAAACACUCUCUAUGUGAUAGAAGCCAAGAUUAAGAAAGAAGAUAUGAAUGUGCUGUAAAAGAUUCUGACAUUGAGACAAGGCACGAAAUGCUUGUUCACAUUGGUGAGAAAGGGUUAGAAACUCUUGCCAAAAAAGGAUUUAUACCCAGCUUCGCAGGUAUGUCCCUCAAGACCUGUGUUCAUUGCUUAACUGAAAAGGCACACGAAGUAGCUUUUAAAAUCUUUUCUCCAUCUAAAAAGUCACAAAUACUUAAUUAAAUUCACAUUGAUGUUUGUAUGAUGCAAAGUAAAUCAAUAGGAGGUGCACUUUAUUUUGUGACUUUUAUUGAUAGAAAAGUGUAGGCCUUUACUUUGAAAUUUAAAGACCAAGUGCUUGAUACGUUUAAGUUUUUCCAUGCUUCUGUUGAGAGAGGGACAUGAAGAAAAUUAAAAUGUGUCAGGACAAAUAAUGGUGGUGGAUACAAAGGACCAUUUGAGCAAUAUUCCAGAUCCCAUGGAAUAAGACUUGAGAAUACUGUACCAAAAAGUUGCAGAAAAGAUGAAUAGAACGAUUGAAGAGAGGGUCAAACGUAUGCUUUAUGAUGCAAAGCUUUCUAUAUCUUUCUGGGUGGAGACUAUGCGUACUGUAGUUAACUUGAUUAACAUUUCUCCUUCAACUCCAUUAGAUGGCGAUGUACCUAAAAGAGUCUAGACAGGGAAAGAUGUUUCUUAUAAACACUUAAGAGUGUUUGGUUGCAGAGCAUAUGUUCACCCUCUACAAUCUUACUGGUCUUGAUUUUUAUUUUAUCCUCUCGUUGGCAAUCAUUUGAGAUACCCACUUGUUAGAGAGACGAAUAUUAGGCUAUUACUGUAGGCCAAGAAUAUUGAGAUUCUCGAAGUUGUUAGUCUCCAAUAUUAUCUAGAGAAGAAUUUGUGUUGUAAUCCCAUUAAUAUAGUGGAAGAUUAUAUCAGACUACAGCCCCGUAGUUUUUCUCGCCUUGGGUUUUCCACGUAAAAAUUUGUCUCUUGUGGUUGAUUUAUUGUUUUGGAUUUUGUUGGUUUAUUUUUCUGCCUAUUUAUUUGUGGUCCGCAUCCUAUUUUAAUAACACAAAGAGGAAAAGAAUUUUAUUUUCGCUUAAUUUGCGAUUACUUGUGUGAGUCCCUUUCCCAACAAAUUGUUUAAGAAUUGAACUACUCAGUUCAGUUUCUGAUUGAGGUAGGACGGUUGAGUAGGAUAAGCAGGGUCCUUUCUGGAGGUCAUAACUUGGGAUACAAUAGUCCUUUUUUUGUGUAUAAUAUAUCAUUUCGAAACUUGUGACAAGAUGAUGUUGAACCAGUAAUUCCAUUUCUUUCCUAGUCUUUUUUCAAUUUUAAAAUAUUUUCCUAUUUUUUCUAUUACUUUCAAGAUUUUUAUCUUUUUUCAAAUAUCAUAUUUAGGUACUUUUUGUUUUGGUUUCCUUAUUUAGUUAAGAGAAUUUUAUUAUAAAAUAAUAUUUCAAAUUUGCCAAUUUCGAUAAAUUAGCAAUAUUUAGGAUUAUUAUAAAAGGAUCCAAAAAAACUGAUUUUCUUCAUUCCGACUUUUCCUAAUAAAAUUUUGUUAUUAAAAAAUCUAGUUUCUCUUAUCUUUCAAUCUUUAUAUUUUUACAUCGUCAGAGGCCUAUUAAACAAAGACUUUCCUUUAGAGGUAACUCCAUUAUUUUAUGGUAAACUAUAAGCCUCACAAUAUACUUGCAAUUUCUCGAAUUCCAUUGUGUGUGCUAGUCAAUAUUCGACCAAUCACUUGCUAUCCGUACUAAACAAAAAUUGCAUUAAAUAGGGGAGCCCCAGGAACUUGGCAAUGCGCCCAUGUAUGUAGCCCUCGGUACAUCAAUAAAAGCACGAAUAAUUGCAGCCGUUAUCUUUGUGAUGAUUGUACGUUGCUGACAUUAAAUCGUGCUAAAAGUACUUCUAAGCACGUCAGUGUCCAUUACCCAUGAAUUGAGCUCAUUAUAUAUUAAUAUUAAUUCCUUUAUAUCCUUGUGGGAAUUGAGAACCCUCAUAUAUAUCGAAAUGAGCGACAUGGCAGCAGUGUCGUGAUUAAAUCCUGAAGAUCAAUUCGCAUUAUUUGUUUUCUUUUUUCCAUCAGGAAAUCUUCCUUGAGGAGCGGAAACUGGUCUAAAGGAUAGUACUUCGUGCACGCCUUGAUGAAUUUUGUAGUUGCUGGUGGAUGAACAGUGCUGUAAAUAGUAUCUGAUAAACAGUAUCUGUGAAUAGUGACGUAAAUAGUGUCAACAGCUACUACUUAUGGAGUUCUUUUGUAUGUUGAAAUUGAUGUUUCGGCAGGUUUUGAAAUUCAAAAAAACAAUAUUAACUCGUAUUUCCAACACCAAAAACUUGGCAAUGCACCCACGCAUGUAGCCCUCGGGACAUCAAUUAAAGCACAAAUAAUUGCAGCAUUCGUCUGUGCAAUCAGUGUACAUUGAUGACACUAACUCGUGCUAAAAGUACUUCUAAAUAUGUCUGUGGGCAGUGCCCAUGAAUUGGCUCGUUAUAUAUUAAUAUUGAUUCCUUUAUAUCCUUGUGAGAACAUGAGAACUAUCAUAUAUUAAAAUGAGCGAUGUGGCAACAUAGCUAACCCAACAAAAUAUGAUAUAAUUAUUUCCUCAAUUUUCUGUUAAAUAGUAAAAACGAACGAACAAUCAUUGAAAUUGAAAUUAAUUGAGGUAAUUACUAUGUUAUUGUGCUAUUCAAAAUAAAAAUGUCUUACAUACCUUAUUACCAUGAGGAUUUUAGAAUACGUCUCUUGCUGUAGUAAAACAAUGUCUAAAACAUAUAUUAUUGUAACAAUUAAACUUUCUAUUUUAUCAUUACACGACCAUUUUCAGAAUACAUAAAAAUUGCUUUCUAUCAUUGAGCUCACAUGGCUUGCUGUGCUAUGGCUGAUUAACUUGUAAGCUAACUCGCAAAUGAUAUUUUGCCACAUGGAAGCAACCCCCCAACCCCCUCUCAUUCUUGCCAUAUAUCAAGCAAGUAGGUCUAUAAUACGUAAUGGUAUGGGGUCGGGGGUGGGGAAGCUCUUUUCUUAAAAGUUUAUUCAUUUUUUAUUCUAAUCCAUUAUAAGCAACAAUUAUGACGGCGAUGUAAUUGAUUAAUUAAUAUGGAAUGCUUUUAGCAGAAAUGAUUAAAAUUUUAUUCAUUUUUCUUCUUCUUCGUCCUUUUUUUGCUUAUGCAGAUUCAAAUAACGAAAAAGUUUUAAAAAAUUAGAAAAUUAACAAUAAUAACAUGACAGUAAUAUAACAAUGCCACGUAUGUUUGUGAGAAUUUAUACUGGUGGUCUUACUCAGUUAAUAAGAUAUUUAACGAACUAAUAUAUAACUCUUUUAAUAAUUACAGCUUUUUAAUGAUUUGUUGUGUAUAUGCUACAUUCUUUGAUAUAGGAAUUUGAAAUUUAGCUCCGUUAACUAUGUGUGCUAUAUUUUGGCUAGCUGUUGCCAAAAAAUGUUAAUCUCUAGUAAUUUUUUGGCAUGAUGGACAAAAACAAAAUUAUGCAAAGGCUGCAAUUUGAAGCAACGAUCACAAAUAGUUCACAAAUGAAUAGAUUGAUCCACAUGAAUUGAGGAAACAAAAUGUCAAAACGAAGCAUAGGUUGCCAUUUCAAGCUACAAGGGCAAAUAGUUCAGAAAUGUGUUCCACGGGAAUUGCCUGAUCUUGUGCUUAAAGCAAACAUAAGGGCAUAAUUUUAUAUAGCAACCGACAAGCUGAAAAUAGAUAAAUACUUUUCCGUUUUUCUGUUAAUUUAAUAGAACUGCCUUUGAAAUCUCCUAUUAUCAUACAAAGUUACAAACCAUUUAUGCGCACUUGUCCUUUGUUUGCUUCUGUAGCCUUCUGUCAUCAAAUAUAUAUUAUCCAAGUCUCAAGUAAGGGCAUUUAAGUAAAUAAAGUUUGUAUUAGUUAAUUUUACAAAUUAAGUUUUCAAGAAAAUGGCAUAAUCAAUGUCUUUGCAUAUUCUUUUAGUACUAUUAUUCUUGAUUCUCUUCUUUAGUUCAUCUUUAGCAAUUCCACUGGCCACUUACAGUAUGAUCAGUUUAGGAGCCAAAUUUGAUGGCCGGACUGACUCAACGAAAGCCUUUCUAGCUGCAUGGGCUAAAGUUGUGUCUCAACCGCGGCCUCAACCAUUUACGUGCCACCUGGGAGGUACCUGUUGGGAAAAUACAGUUUUUUAAAUUUUUAUAAAACCUUUUAAGAUCGCUCUCAUACAAUAUAUAAUAAUUUGUAAUCGAGAAAUCGUACCUUAAAAAUCCGAUUUGGCUUUUUCCGCUGAAAUGAUUUAGGCUCCCAGAUCACAAUCCGUCACCAUCACGCUUGUUAGAACACGAACUGACACCAAUGAUCUUCCAGGUUAUGACUCAGGUUUGAUCUGCACUUGACGUGUGGGCGCCUUUAUCACUGCCAAAGCAACUAGCACGAGAAAAUUUUUCUCUCAACAAUAGAGAGAAAAAUCUUUUUCUCUGAUCUGUAUAAAAUGGCUGCCCCCUCUUUCUUUAGAGAAAAUAAGCUUUUUUAUAUCUCCCUUUAGUGAAAACCCUAAGCUCCAAAUAAUGAAAAUCAAAACUCACGUUACUUGCUUUUUCUAUAGGGGACCCACCUUGUAAAAUAACAUAAGGCCCCUUACACACAAGCUAAUUAAAUGGAGCCUCCCACUAAAUGAUAUAUUUAGGCUUUUGACCCAAAUAGCUAGUUAUCUUGCUUAUUAAUCCAGUAGUGGUGCAGUCAAUUAAAUGAGCUAACUCGGGGAUCAUUUGGGAAUAUACAAUAGUGGCUAUAACAAUUAGGCCUGUAAUUAAACUAGCCUAAUUAUUUAAUUCCAAAUCUACUCCACUAAAAGAUUGGAAUUGACCUCCAUAAUUGUAUGUUGGAAUAAUAAUUCGUCCCAAGCCACAUUGAUUUCUUUACUGCACAAUCCUUUGUACCACAUCAUUAAUUAAAUCAAUAUCUCAACUGUCCAAUUGAUUUAAUUACAUCUUAUUCCUUGCUGCUUACUGGUUUUCUCUAAUGAUCAUUUUCAACAUACUAAAUAUGUUGACACACUCUGGCCAGAUAAUUCUAUGAUCAAGUGCCGAAAACCAAUCAAGAGAUGUGUUGUACAAAUUCUAUAUUGUUAAUCUAUAACUCCAAUACUCAUAAAUGCUCCCACCAAGAUACCGGGUAAUCUAGACUACAAGUAUGUGUCAUGCCCAUUGGUAACUCAAAUGGAAUAACAAUUACAAUCAUGAAAUCAUAAUUAACUCAAGAUUAAGAUUACAGUAAAAUCAAUGCCUAUGAGAUUUAAUAAGUCUGACAGUUAAUUAAAUCUCAUAAGUGAUCCUGUUCAAUGUAGUCGUACUACAUCAAUAAAUUCAUACAUGAUUAAGACAAAUCAUUCAAUGAAUUUAUUACAAUCUAUACCUAAAUAAAGUGCCCAACUUUAUUUAUCAACUGCAAACUAAAUUUAUUUAAUCAUAAGAUAACUUGUAUUUAUAUCUUCUGUGAAUCCACAUGGUGAUCACAUAAAUACAUAUAAUAUGAUUAAAUGGACUUUAAUAAAAAUAUUAAUGCAAUCAAGAUAUUUGCAUAAAAUACCUCAUUAUUUUUAUUAAUCAGAAAAAAUGUUUAUUAUAAUUAAAUAAACACAUAUGCUUUUAAAGAGCAUAUUUUCCCAACAACAACGACUAUGACAAUAUCAUCAUCACCAUCAUCAUCGUUAUAUCUCAUGUCAAUAACGAGUCCCUUGAUAGUUUGAUCAAACUCAUAUGUCCUGUAUUUCAUAAUCCAUGUAAUCAUUCAAUGUCGAGUGCCCAAGUCUUCAUUUGUGAAAUGGGUGUAUUUUGUCAUUAUUGGUAAUUGAAUUAAAGCUCUCUAGUUUCUACAACAACUUACCUUUACCAGAUUAUUAAGAUUAAACUUUUUUCUUCUGUGUAACAAAAUUUUCCCAUUUGAUUCAAGCAAACAUCCCAUGAAAUACUUUGAAUAGAUAGAAGAAAUAGCUCUUUUUAGACUCAAAGCUCUAAUUUUUGGUUAACAAUCAACAUCCUCAAUCUUGUGUUUCAAGGCCAAUGCAGGAACAAUGACAUUACCAUACAUAUUGAGGGGACUCUAGUGACUCCAUCCGAUUAUAAUGUCAUUGGAGAUGGGGGAAACUGGAUUUUAUUUGAGCAUGUUAAUGGCGUUUAUAUUUAUGGUGGCAUCCUUGAUGGCCAAGGUGCUGGCUUGUGGGCUUGUAAACGAUCAGGCAAUAAUAAUUGCCCUAGCGGUGCCACGGUAAGUUGGAAGAUCGUUACUUUUAAUUAUAGCCAUAAAUUAAGUAGCUUUUGGUUUCGUUAUUCUCCUCAGAUUAAAAUAAUUGAUAACGUUCCUUCUUGUGUAAAUGAGCAGACACUGGGCUUUAGCAACUCAAACAACAUUCUGAUUAACGGACUAACAUCCCAAAAUAGCCAGAUGUUUCAUGUUGUCAUCAAUGGAUGUCACAAUGUGAAAGUACAAGGGGUGAGAGUCUCGGCCUCAGGAAACAGCCCUAACACCGAUGGCAUUCAUGUUCAAUCAUCAAGUGAUGUCACAAUUUUGAACGCUAGAAUUGGGACUGAAGACGAUUGUGUAUCAGUUGGCCCUGGCACCACCAAUUUAUGGAUUGAAAACGUUGCUUGUGGUCCUGGCCAUGGCAUCAGGUAGAAAAUAAAGAACAUGCAUGAUGAUUUAUUUAUAUCAUUUUAUUUUUUUUAUAUGUCAUAAUAUUUAGUGCUACUAUUGUGAAUUUGUUGCAGCAUUGGUAGCUUAGGCAAAGAGCUACAUGAGGCUGGAGUGCAAAAUGUGACAGUAAAAACAGUGACAUUUUUACAGGAACUGAAAAUGGAUUGAGGAUUAAGUCCUGGGGAAGACCAAGCACUGGAUUUGCUCAGAACAUUCUUUUCCAACAUGCUCUUAUGAAGAAAGUCCUAAUCCCAUCGUAAUUGAUCAAAAUUACUGCCCCGACAACAAGAAUUGCCCUGGAAAGGUUUUUAUUUAUCACAAGUUUGUAUGUGAGAAUGUUAGACGUUGAUGUGAAUAAAAUUAAACUUAAUAAUUAUAUUUUCUAUAUUCAACAGCCAUCAGGAGUUAAAAUCAGUGAUAUGACAUACCAAGAUAUUCAUGGAUCAUCUGCAACAGAAGUUGUUGUAAAGUUUGAUUGUAGUCCAAUGUAUCCAUGCUUGAGUGUCUUAAUGUCCAACCUUUUUAUCUUCUUUGGUUGCCCCUUUUAUAGCCUUCAUGAGAAUUCGACCCCCAUGGCUCACGUUCGCCACUUCACUCUAGUCUCCGGUAGUUGAUGCUUGAACGUUGUGGUUGUGGCUGAGUGAAUUUCGUGUUUGGAUUCUCAGAGAGUAGCACACGUUCUAUCAACUGCCGUAGACUGGGCCUGCCAACCUUGGCCCCAACAGAAAAUGUCCUUGGUGAUUAACAGAGAACCUGCUCAUACCAUGGCCCCAGCAAAAGGUCUCCUCGUCGACUAGCAGAAGACUCCUAUUCCUAGACGACACAUUGCUCCUCACCUACGAAAAGGAUAAAUUCUCGUUUGAACAUAGUUUUUUUUUUUUAGAAGGGAAAAAACUUCAUUAAUAAGAAGAAAUUAAACACAGAAUUUGUGCUGGGAUAUUUCCCAGCCAUACAACAGACUCUGCACCUUUUAAGGCUAUCUUAGCCAAGGUAUGGGCAUUAACAUUACUAGACCUAGGGGUGUGUUGAAAUUUAACUUCCUGGAAGUCUUUUUUUCUGCUUUUGAUAUCCGAAAUCAUCCAAAAAAUCUCAGUUUUGCUACCCUUUCUGUUGUUUGCCAAGUCAACAGCCACUUGACAAUCUGAUUCAAAAAUAACAGAGGUUAUGCCUGCACUUCUUCCCACUAUUGAAACUAUUAAAAUUAACAUUUCCUAUUAAAAUCAAAUUUGAAAUCGGGAGACGGCCUUUCACCCACCCACUCUGUUUGGGCGAUAGCCCAUUGCCCGGAUUGAGAGAUGGCUAUCGUCCAACCAUCGCUCAAAAAAAAUAAAAAAUUAAUGAAUUCGAUUUAAUGGAGUUUAUGGUAAAAAUUAGUUUUCAUCUUAUUGUCUAGUCUAAUAUAUAAUUUUACUUUUGUAUGUUAAUUUUUUUUUAAUCGUAAAGUUAAAUGAUUAAAUAAUAAGUAACGUCGUGGUGAAUAUGAAAAGUAUUAAAGAUCAAAAGAAAUUCUCCUUUCCAAUCAAUAUCCUUUUUCUUUUAUCUUAGUAAUAUAUCAUUCAUUCAUCAUAUACAUGGGUAUGAUCGAAUAAGAAAUUAAUAUGAAACAACUGUCCAAAAUGAUAGGUAGCAUAUAAUUUAAACUGCAAGAUAUUUGAGAAGUGUAGUAAAUAUCUAAGAAUUAUGUAUCCUUCAGUGGCACAUAAUUUAAUUACUUAUUUAAGAAUUUAGAAGUAAUGUACGUUUGGUAAAAUAGUAUUUAAAAAAUAAGCACAAUUAAAAUCAGCGUACUGGAUUUAAAUUUCAUGCAAACAGAGAAAUCUGAGAUCUAUGUAAGAAUUUUUUUUUUAACUAAAGUUACUAAUUAACUAAACCAACAAUUGUUUUAUUUUUAAUACAUAGUUUAAUAAUUAUUAAAGUAAAUAAUAUGUUUUCUUAAUCUAAUUUCUCCACCAUUUCUCAUUUUCUCCGGACUCUUCAAUUCGCCCUCUUUUGCUUCAGUGUGAAAAAAUGCGGUCAUACUUUAGUCAAGAUUAGGUGGCAAGCUAGCAGUUAUCAAGCACAAGUAAAACAACGUACUAUACUAGACCAUGAAAAAUGAAACAGAAACAACAACAACAACAAUAAUAAUAAUAAAGGAAUAAAAUGAAACAAAAUAUUAAAUAUAACAACUACGUAAGCAUAAAGACCAACUCGAGCCACAAUAAAAUUUUUGUUUGAUCAUUACACGAUCAUUUUCAACAUACAUAAAAGCUUAGCCAUCCACUAAAAAUAUUUCGUUAUUAAAAAUACUACAAAAGUUUGAAUUUAUUUUAUUUAAUUCAUCUUGUUUUUAGAUUGUAUCCUAUUUUUAUCUAAUCCUUCAUACUUCAUAUACCUCAAAUGACACAUUAUAACAUAAAAUAAACUUUUUAUUGCAAAUCAAAGAAUAAAAUCAACGAUGAACAAGAAUAAAAACAAUUAGACCUAACUUCAUCUUCUUCUAAUUAUGAAGGAUUUGGUAAGAACGAAGGACAGCCCCAGAAAUUCCAGCAUCAAACAUUCAUCGAAGUGGGGCAUGUUCAUCAUAGCCACUGCUGCUGCUGCUGCCCGUCAUUGCCUACUCUGUCGGCCUUAUGGACAGUUGCGACCUCCCAGAGACUCCUGAAUGGCCGGCCUUCAAAGUCCAAGGCAAGUUUUGUCAAUAAUCAAAGGUGGUUGAAGGAUUUGGUGGGAAACGAUAUUGGCAAAUGAAGGAUUUCACACAAAUUGUAUAUUUAUUUCAUGAAUACUAAAAAUUUAGAGAGAUAUGACAAGGAAGAAUAUGGCGAGAUGUUUUACUUAUUUUUGUUUUUAAUUUAAUUAAGUUAAAAAUAGUAAAGUAGUCAUUUUGUUUAGAUCCUUAUAAGUACUCUAGCAAAGUUAAUAUUUUGGUGGACGGUUGAUAUAAAUUGAAAACAAUGAGUGUAAAAUCGAACAAAUUCAAACUUUUUGAGUAUUUUUUAUAACAAAAUAUUGUUUGGAUGGAUGAUUGAUAAUUUUCCAAAAAAGAAUAUAUGUGUUGUGUCCUAAAAUAAGUUUAUAUGACUAUUUCUUAAAAUUUGAGGAAGUGUAUGCUAAAUCUUUUAAUUUUGCCAGACCACGAAAUGUCACAGUUCUUUUCCAUAAUAAACAAAAUAUUUAUUUUAAAAAAUAUCAAUUAAAUAUAUACACGUACUAUAUGAGACACAAACCUAAGACCUAGGUCUUGGUAAGGUUGCCUACUAACCAGAGGAGCCAGACCUUAGUGUGUAAUAAUGAAAACAUGUUAAUUGAAUCUGUCACACACACACACACACAUUCUUGUUAAAAAAGCAACAAAAUAACAACACAAUAAAAUUAUACCCAUCAUGCCAUCCAGGGUUGGCUUUAAGGGAUUCGGGGCCUUAGCGAAUUUCGCUUUAGGUCUUUGUACAUUGCACAACAUCAACUUUUGAAGGAUAUAUAAAAUAACUUAAAAUUUAAAUUCUUUUGGAUUACACAAGCCGUAUAUCAAUAUAAAAUUAAAAAUAAAUUAAAUUUGUAAAAAAAAAGAAUAAUAAUAAUUUAAAAUAAAUAAUGAAUAAUAGCACAUAGAAGUUGUCUAGUGGAGAUGAAUAUGAUGAUUAAUUGAUAUCAAUAUAUUUCUUAGAGAAUAAUUUUCUUUGCAGAGAAGAGAGAAAGAAAUAUUUUAGUUGAGAUUAUUGUUGAUUCAAUGUCUAUUAGUUUUGAGAUUCUUAAUAGAGUUUGAAGGAAUACUAAAAGUCAGUUCUUAUGCUAGUAAUUUUAAUAGAGUAUUCUUUUUGAAAAUGAAAGUAUUUAUUUAAUUUUUUCCUUGGAAACAUUAAUAAAUAAAGAAUUAACUAUAAAACUAUUAAUCCUACCAUAUGUGAAGAUUAUCAAAUAUAGAUUUUUUAUAAAAAAAUAAAUCUUAUUUUUAAGGUGAAGAUUAUGAAAUAUACAAUUUUUAUUGAGAAAACAAAUCUUAUUUUUGGAUAAUUAUAAAUGGGUGUAAUAAUAGGGACAUAUCUAAAAGUUAGGCUUUCUAAUAUAAAUAACUUAAAUAAAAUCUUUGAAAUCUUAGAAGAAUAAUUAUUUAUUAGCAUAUUAAUUAAACAAAUGUCAAAUAUUGGGCCUCUCUAAAAUUUGGGGCCUUAGGAGACCACCUAGUUUGCUUAGUACUAAAGCCGUCUCCAAUGCAUGCCCUAAAAGAGUCAAGAGUACAAACAAAACCAAUAAAACCAACAAAACUUGAUGAUGAAAUUAAUAAUUUUCCACAACUUAUGAUAGGAAACUUAGAGCAGAUGUUCAUAUAUAUUUAAAUUCAAUCAUAUAAACUGAUAUGAGAUAUAAACAGUGAAAUUAAAAAAAAAAUAGAAAUUGGAAAUUAAUAACACGCAGUAAGAUAACAAUGUCACAUAUGUUUGUGAGAAUUUAUAAUUUAUGUGCUGCAUACAUGCCUCUACUGAUAAACACAAAUUCUUGAUGAUUUGUUGUGUCUAUGCCAUUUAUAUUCUUUUAAAUAAGAAUUUGUUAUGAAUUUACAUGCUCAUUUGCAUAUUUAUAUAAAUGAUUUAUAACGAAAGAAAAAAGCAUGCAACAACGAAACGAGAUAAGAAUAUGGUAAAUAGCCGAGAGAAGCUUUAGGCUUCUUAUUUUUCAUUCCUUUUUCUUUCUUGAGUAUUACACACAUAUACACAAUUUGUGGGGGUGUUAUAGUAAUUUCAUAAAAUGGCAUAAUGGUGAAUCCACUAUUCACAAUACCCCCCUUGGAUUCACCAUUUAUUUUACAUAUAAUGUAAAGGUAAUAUUAAAUGUGCUUAAUACUGUCUUGUUAAAACCUUGCCAAUAAAAUUUAGUGGACCAAAAUCUAGUCAAAGAAAAAAGAGUACAGUGCACAUCUAUCUAAUACAGCUGCAGAAACUCUUAUCGUCAAAAAUAUGCUCCUUGAUAAAAUAUCUUCUCAAUUAUUCAUGUGGAAAAUCUUAUAUCAGUAAGUGUUUUCAACUGAUUUUGGGGUAGGAGAAGCCAAACCAAUCUAGAACAAUAAAUUUAUAUUUUUGGGGAGAUGGGGUACCUCACUAGUUUAUUGUGUGCGGUACGGUGUAUCUGAAAUUCGUGGGAGGUGAGAAGGGGAGAGAGAGUGGUAACAAUGGUGGAAGGUCAGAAACAAGAGAGGUGUCCUUCAAAAUGAGCUUCACGCCUGCAAAAUAGUGUAAUAGAGGUUAGAGGUGAAGCCGGGGUACCCCGGCGUUCACGCUUCGACGCUCAAGUUAGCAAACUCAAGCUUUUAUGGCAAAGAGAGCUAGUUAGCCCUCUGUAAAUUAGGGUUUAAGGGUGAAGAAAACCUCUUUUUUUGGAGUGUGAUUGUUUUUGGGUGAAUGAGAGCCUCAUGGAGAAUGAAACCUAGGCACCUUUAUAUAUGGAGUACCUCAGCUGCCACGUGGCGUACCCUUUUUGGCUAACGUCCUUUUACCUUUUUAUGAUUUUUGGGCCGUUAUGUGCAUGUUCGCGGCGUAUCUCAUCAUUUGGAAACGUGGCGCGCGCUGGAGAGUGGUCCAGGGUACCUCUGCAAUAACUGUCGGGUAGGCGGCUGAGAACCACUGUCAUUGGGACAAUGUGCUUCACUUUUGGCAGAGGUAGCAGGCGGCUGUCCCCCCCUUUUGGUACGACGUUCUUGAUUCCUAAUUCUGACAAAAUCGAAUAAUAUCUUUUAAGAGGUGGAGACGUUUCUCAUGACGGAUAUUUUCGGAGGAUUCUCUUGCAUCUGAUCUGCCAGGUACCUCGAGCUACGUGGGGUACCUCAAUUUAUGUGGGGUACCCCUAAUUGUGCGGGGUACCUCGUAUCAUGUGGGGUACCUCUAUUUGUAUGGGGUACCUCUAAUUGUGCGGGGUACCUCUAAUCAAGCAGGGUACUUCUAAUUACGUCGGGUACUUCUAAUUACGUCGGGUACCUCUAAUUGCGCGGGGUACCUCUAAUAAAGCCGGGGACCUCUAAUUACGUCGGGUACCUCUAAUCAUGCGGGGUACCUCUAAUCACGCGGGGUACCUCUAAUCACGCGGGGUACCUCUAAUCAAGCCGGGUACCUCUAAUUACGUCGGGUACCUCUAAUUGUACAGGGUACCUCUAAUCAAGCCGGGUACCUCUAAUCAUGCGGGGUACCUCUAAUUAGGCUGGGUACCUCUAAUCAUGCUGGGUAUCUCAAGUUAUACGGGGUACCCGAGUCUAUGCGGGGUACCUCGAGUUACUAUGGCGUUAUGAGGGGUACCUUUGACCGUGCCGGGUACCUCUAAUCAUGCCGGGUACCUUAAAUCAUGGCAGGUACCUCUAAUCUUGCGAGGUACCUCUAAUUAUGACGGGUACCUCGGAUUGCACUGAAGUUAUUCCAUUCGUUGACACGUGGCGUUCUGCUAUCUUUCUUAUUUUUCCCCCAAACAACAUCCCCCUAGUUUCUUUUGGCGAGAAGUAUUGGAGGCAAAAGAAACUUACAUAAAAAGUAGGAGCGACACGUGGCGAUAUGAAGUUUAGCUCGAUGGACAGCUGAAUAGAGGACGCCUCUAGGGGUACCCUCACGAAAUGAAGAUCUCUGGAGUGAACAAGACUUUGAGGAGACACUUUGAUGAAGUUUCAGAGGAGAAGGCCCAUAUGGUGGAAGACCCUGAGGAGAUUCAAGUUAAGCUUGAAGACUUGGUACCUCGACAAAAGAACAUAGUUGACAAUGCUUUUGAGCACAUCAUAACCGAGGAAUGGAGUGCUGAUAUGGGGCUAGUGGUGCCAAGAGUAGAGAACUAGGUAGAUAAGCCGGCUAUCUUGAAGGCAAUUGAGAAUAGCAAGGCUCCCCACACAUCUUGGUCUGAAAGCCCAUGGAGAUCAAUUGGGGUACCUCAGAUGAAGUCGCCAUAAGGUACCCCUGAUACCGACGCUUGUGUUUAUGCUAUUUCUAGCAUUUUUGUUGAUCCCCUUAUCCUAAAUGAUGAAGGUGAAGAUAACCAUCCUACUAUGUAACCUUGUUCGGCAUUACCGACAAGGCGUAUGGGGUACCUCAGGUACCCUUAAGCUUGGAUAUCCCCUGAGCUAUCUGUUACUUCAUGGCAGGAUAACCCAAUUUUAUCAAACAUAUGGCGAUUCCUUCAAAUAUGCUUGCUGCUUAUCUCAGGCUUUCUUAGAGUUCCUCUUGGUGUACACGAGGAAUGAUUUUCUGUCAUAGGGUACCCUGAGUACUAUGGGUACCCUUAAUCUUGUUUCAUCAGUGUAUCGCGGUUUACUUAGACAUGCUUGUUGCGGUUAAUUCAUGGCGGAACAACCCAAUUUCAUCAAACAUAUGGUGAUUCCUCCGGAUAUGCUUGUUGCUUAUCUCAAGCUCUCUUAGUGUAUUUGAGGAGUGACUUUCUGGCAUGGGGUACCUCGGAGGUACCCUUAAUUAGUGUAUGGCGAUUUUUAGAAAAAUGCUUGCCGCAAAUCUUCACAAAACUUGUGGCGAUUCCUUUUGAGAGAUGAUGGAAAACCUCCUGAUCCACCAUUCACUCUACAUCAAAUAUGCAAGACAAAUAGUAAUAAAGGUGGACUGCUGGCCUACCUUUAUGCAAGAUGGUCAAAAAUCUCAUGAUCCGCCAUUUGCGUAGAAUCAAAUAGACAACAUAGAUUGAGAUAAAGGUGGCUGCUCGCCUACCCUUAUGCGAUAUGGUCGAAAAGCUCAUGAUCCACCAUUCGCUAGAAUCAAAUAGACAACAUAAAUUGAGAUGAAGGUAGCUGCUCGCCUACCCUUAUGCGAGAUGGUCGAAACCUCAUGAUCCACCAUUCGCAUGGAAUAAAAUAGACAACAUAAAUAAAGAUGAAGGUGGCUGCUCGCCUACCCUUAUGCGAAAUGAUUGAACCUCAUGAUCGACCAUUCGCUCAUAAUCAAAUAUGGCGAACAAAUAAUGAUAAAGGCGGCUCUGAUGUUGAGUAGAUUAUCAUAAUUGGAGAUAGGUCAGGUACCUCGGGUACCCUGGAGUAAGGUGAUCUCUGGAUACCCUCUUGCAUCAUAAUAAACAAUACUUUUUCUAGUAGUAUGACUUUUCUUUGUUGGAUUGGUGGCCCAAAUCGAGACUGAAACCGAGUCUUCAACCGGGGUACCCCGUUUUUCAUCUUUGGGUAUUCGAGGAUCCAAAGGUGCCUCCAAUUCACAUUUGGGCUUAAUUUGUUCCCCGUGGGGUACCCCCGCAUAACUCUAGAGUAACUAGUUAUGGGGUACCCUACCACCGAGGCCUCGGUGGUGGCUCUUGCUGCUCUGGUGGUGGCGAUCUUGGAGGUUGGGGUACCCGUGAGAUACCCUAAGUGUUAAACACUCGUCCCCGCGGGGCAACCCUUGGAGGGCUCUGCAUUUGGGGUACCCUUGGUAUUGGGGCUUCCGGCCUCUUUGGCUUAUUCUUAUUCUUUGUGACCUCAACCUUACCUUUUUGGCGCUUCAAAUGACAUUUCUCAUCCAUCUCCACUUGCUGCAACGCCUGGGAACGGGCUUAAUCUAGUCCUGUGGGGUACCCCGUAUAACUCUAGAGUAACUAGCUAUGGGGUACCCUACCACCGAGGCCUCGGUGGUGGCUCUUGCUGCUCUGGUGGUGGCGAUCUUGGAGGUUGGGGUACCCGUGAGAUACUCUGAGUGUUAAACACUCGUCCCCGCGGGGCAACCCGUGGAGGGCUCCGCAUUUGGGGUACCCUCGGUAUACCCGAUGAUGUCGCCGCCAUUUGAGAAGUCCUUUUGGCGUUUAACUUCUCACGGAGAUCUUCGUGGGUACUCUUUGCACGCCUCGUACCCUGGCUGCUGCGGGAAUUGUAAGAGGCGGUGGAACGCUCGUCGCGGGAGCCCACGGUUUGAAAAUUAGAACGGGUACCCGAUGGCCUAUGUUUUGGUUUGCUGGCCUCUCCUUCUUGCAGGAUCGCUACCUUCAUUGCUGCUGUCAUCUCUCAUCCUUGUAGGAUCCCUCAUUAAACCUUCGGGAGGUACGUCGGGUGCCAUGUAUUAGAGUAUACACAACAACUAGUUUGGUAACCGCGGUGGAGGCUUUUUGUGCGAGUCCCUACAGACGGAGCCAAUUGUUUUCAACUGAUUUUGGGGUAGGAAAAGCCAAACCAAUCUAGAACAAUAAAUUUAUAUUUUUGGGGAGAUGGGGUACCUCACUAGUUUAUUAUGUGCGGUGCGGUGCAUCUGAAAUUCGUGGGAGGUGAGAAGGGGAGAGAGAGUGGUAACAAUGGUGGAAGGUCAGAAACAAGAGAGGUGUCCUUCAAAAUGAGCUUCACGCCUGCAAAACAGUGAAAUAGAGGUUAGAGGUGAAGCCGGGGUACCCCGGCAUUCACACUCCGACGCUCAAGUUAGCAAACUCAAGCUUUUAUGGCAAAGAGAGCUAGCUAGCCCUCUGUAAAUUAGGAUUUAAGGUUGAAGAAAACCUAUUUUUUGGAGUGUGAGUGUUCAUGGUGAGUGAGAACAUGAUGGAGAAUGAAACCUAGGCACCUUUAUAAAUGGAGUACCUCAGCUGCCACAUGGCGUACCCUUUUUGGCUAACGUCCUUUUACCUUUUUAUGAUUUUUGGGCGCCGUUAUGUGCAUAUUCGCGGCGUAUCUCAUCUUUUGGAAACGUGGCGCGCGCUGGAGAGUGGUCCNNNNNNNNNNNNNNNNNNNNNNNNNNNNNNNNNNNNNNNNNNNNNNNNNNNNNNNNNNNNNNNNNNNNNNNNNNNNNNNNNNNNNNNNNNNNNNNNNNNNNNNNNNNNNNNNNNNNNNNNNNNNNNNNNNNNNNNNNNNNNNNNNNNNNNNNNNNNNNNNNNNNNNNNNNNNNNNNNNNNNNNNNNNNNNNNNNNNNNNNNNNNNNNNNNNNNNNNNNNNNNNNNNNNNNNNNNNNNNNNNNNNNNNNNNNNNNNNNNNNNNNNNNNNNNNNNNNNNNNNNNNNNNNNNNNNNNNNNNNNNNNNNNNNNNNNNNNNNNNNNNNNNNNNNNNNNNNNNNNNNNNNNNNNNNNNNNNNNNNNNNNNNNNNNNNNNNNNNNNNNNNNNNNNNNNNNNNNNNNNNNNNNNNNNNNGGGUACCUCUAAUCAAGCCGGGUACCUCUAAUUACGCCGGGUACCUCUAAUUGCACAGGGUACCUCUAAUCAAGCCGGGUACCUCUAAUCAUGCGGGGUACCUCUAAUCAUGCGGGGUACCUCUAAUUAGGCUGGGUACCUCUAAUCAUGCUGGGUAUCUCGAGUUAUACGGGGUACCCGAGUCUAUGCGGGGUACCUCGAGUUACUAUGGCGUUAUGCGGGGUACCUCUGACCGUGCCGGGUACCUCUAAUCAUGCCGGGUACCUUAAAUCAUGGCAGGUACCUCUAAUCUUGUGGGGUACCUCUAAUUAUGACGGGUACCUCAGAUUGCACUGAAGUUAUUCCAUUCAUUGACACGUGGUGUUCUGCUAUCUUUCUUAUUUUCCCCCCCAACAGUAAGAACGAAUCUACUUGACAUCAAUUUUCUUGUUCUAUUUCCUUUAAUCAUUGGAGUCACAAAUGAUCAUAUCAAAUUAUCUGCUUAAAUGAAUCUCACCAAAGGCCAAAAUAUAUGAUUAGUCUAAAGUAAAAUCAACACAUGGUAUCAAUCGCACUUGCAUAUGGCGUACUCACCAUGUAGUUAUCAAAGAUUACCUGAUUAAGAAAAUCUGCGCUUUUUUAGACAACUUCGGUCUCUUACAAAUAUCGCGUUCAAAGACUGCAGAUCAGACAUUUAAAGCUUCUACAGAAAUAAUGGAUGAAUCCCUAGUUUGACAGCUUAAAACAAUUUGUGUAUUUUGCGAGAAUAUUUUUGAAAAUAUUUCAGAUUUUGUGAAUGCUACAAAAGAUCUGGGAAAGGUAUUAGGCAAACGAAAAAUAUGUUCAAUAUUUGGGAAUAGUGAUGUUGGGUUUAUGGGGAGUAUUGCAGAAAUUAUUCCCACAACUGGAUAUGCGACUAUCUAUAAUACAUAUGAAUGACUUCUUGAUUUGAGCAACUGUGUUGAUGCUUUUAUUGUUCUACCUCCUGGAUUUAAAACCCUGGAAGAAAUGUUUACUAUUGCCACAAGUCACAACGAAACAGAUAUCAUAAAGCUUUUGGUUUUCUCAACGUAAAUAAUUGUAGUGUUUUAAUCUGCUAUAUAACAUGCAAGACAAAUAAAACACGUCCCAGGACCUUUGAUAAAGAACUAUACAAGAUGCACAGAUUGAAGAAUGAAUCCAGCCAAGUGAAAACAAUGUACCCAAGAACUAGAAAGAACAGAGAAUCAAGAAACAAAAAAAUCACAGACAACACAAGAAUCAAUUACGUGGUUCAGUUGCACCAAAUUGGUACAACCUACAUCCACGGGAAAAGUUUUCUGCAGAGCUUUUAUUACUCAACAAUGGAGGAUCUUUCUUACAGAGAAUGGUUUACAAGAUUUCAGAGAACUCUUAACCCUUUCACUGAAAUCUCUCUCUCUCUGAUAUGAAUUCACAAGCUUAACCCAAAUCGUUUCAUCAGCCUGCUCUUAUAGCUAACAGAGCAACUAACCAGCUAAACCCAGAUCAAACUAAUUGCUUACACGUAGCGUAACAAACUUAACGAACUAAGAUGAGCUGCUUCACACAUCUGUCACGUGCAUCACUUAUAAGCUUCCUUUAAACGACAUGGUUGAACUGCCGUUUCAAUCUUUAAUCUUAAGUGACAACUGACAACACACGUGCUUUUCACGCGUCUUUUAAGUGCUCCUUCAAUUGCCAAAACGUCAUCGUUUGGUUCUGAUGAGUUUGAUUCACCAGCAAACCUCACAAAUAAUUUAUAUGGUAUGUUGUUGUUUUUCUUGGAUGGCGCUGUGAUGUAGGGCUUUCUCUCUUUAUCGGCACGAAAAAUCUUUAUUCAUGUCAAUAGCACCAACGAAUUGAUCGAUUUGUUUCAGGCAUAUGGGCUUGAAGUCCGCCCAAUCAAUCUGAACUUAGGCCAGAUGAUAAUAAGGAAAAAAAAGAUGAUGACGGUAAAAGGAGUGGCAAUAAAGACAAGAAAAAUGAUGGAGAUAAUAGUGAGAAGCGAAAAAUAUUAGACUUAAGUCUUCACUUAUGACUUUAAAUUCUUUUUCCUUUUUGUCUCAUCGAUGAUAUACUUAUGAAAUUUAAUAAAAUGAGCAUUAUUCAUAUUGAAAUGUUUUAGGUUUUUUUUUUUUUAAACAUAAGCUGAUUGAUGGAUAAUCAAUCCAUUUAUUUUGUGCUCGAUCUGUAUGUAGAGAUACUAAUUUAUUUUCAAGAAAAGCUUGCAUUUCAAAUUUUCUCUUUCAAUAUUCAGCAGUUUUAGGAGCUCUUCUGGAGUUCCAAUUAACUUCAUAUUACCAACAUAAACUGCUACAAUUACAAAUUCAGAUAAAAGCACAUAGAUAGAUAUGAUCAUUAACAUGUCAUUCGUUAGGAGUUUUAUACAAAGACCAUUACAAGGGAACAAAGGAUUGUAAGGUAAUGUUUACGGUUUUCAACCUCCCAAAGACUUUGUAAUUCAGAAACAAGUCUUCAAAAAGGAAUGGUAUUAGUAAUGUUUCCCAUCACUACAAGAAAAAGUGCCUACUAUGACAGGCAAAAACUGACAUCUAAAUGGUUUCACUCCUCUUUUCCCAGGGAGAAUGGAAGCAUACAACAUCCUGAUAAACAAUAGACAAACAAUGGUAAAGUCCAUUAAUUGGCCAAUAUGAGCUCUAAUCCCUUCCAAUAAUAUGAGCUCUAAUCCCUUCCAAUUGGAAAACACCAUCAUCCAGUAGAUAUGGAAUCCAUUCUUGGUCUAACAUCUUAGCUUCACACAUUUUUGGUCUGACAUCUUAGCUUCACACAUAGCUUAACAAUCAAGGAGUGCUCUUGAUAUUAACUUUUUUUAAGCUAAAAUUGCAUAUGAAGAAAUCAUCAGAGCGACAAAUAAUUUUGAUGCUAAGCAAUGCAUUGACUGUUGGAAAUUUUUCAAAAUAAAUGGUGUCUUAUGGUAAAGACAUGUCUAAUUAAUUGUGCCUUAUAGAAAAGAUACCUUUCACUGAAGACAUGUCUAAUUGAAUGAUGUCUUGUUGUAAGGACAUGUCCAUUUAAUUGUGUCUUAUGGAAAUGUAUCUUUUUACUAAAUGAUACAAUUUUUCAUGGUAACAUUUCACUUAGAGAUGCAUCAUUUCAUGGGACAUUUCAUUUGAAAUGGUGAUGGUUUAAUUUGAACCAUUGAUUAAAAUUAAAUAUAGAUCUAAUGGCCAUGAAUGAAGGGGUAUCAUGCAAGAUGACAACUCAAAUGAGGGGGCACAAGUAUAUCUAUAAAUAGGGGUCAUGUUUAAGCCAUUUAGACAUAAAAUUAAUGAUCCUACACUACUAUUUUCUUAGCCUUCCUUUCUAGAACGAAUUUCAACACAAAACAUCCAUUUCUUUUGUGCAUUAAAAAUCCAAUAUAUUGUUUUCUGUAGGAACAAUAUAUUGUUUCUUGGUAGACUUGCUUCAAUCAAGAGUAUUCUGGUUUUCUUUCAUCGAUGCACGAUACAAACAAACAAACAAGUGCUUUAUUGUAUCCUGGAGGCAUAUUUGCUUAACCCAUGUGCAUCACUCAAUUGGUGAGGGCAAAUAACGUCUUAAGGAAAGCGACAUUUGUAACGUGCCUUGAAGUACACAAAUUUUUCUACAGUUUACUUAUUACUAUUAUUUUUCUUCCUACAUACAGAUUUAGUUGUAAACACAUUACUUUACACAAUAAAGUUCCACCAUUAUUGUUGUAUUUCUCCACAUUUUCCAUUCCCUACAGACUUCAACGACUAACAAUCUUAAGACGUUAUUUCUGCAACAAUGGCACCAAAUUCAUCUCUUCGACAAUUCGCAAUAGAUUUUGUCAAAUUAGAGCGUUUCGAUGGUGGCAAUUUUAUUCGUUGGCAGAAAAAGUUGCAUUUCUUGUUGACAAGCCUCAAUGUGGUCUAUGUUCUCACAACACCAAAGCCUCAAGAACGUGACGAUGAGACAUUAGCGAAAACCAAAGUGCAGCAGAAGUGGGAGCAAGAUGACUAUGUGUGCAAGGGACAUAUUUGCAAUGCCAUGUUUGAUACUUUGUUUGAUCAAUAUCACAACAAACCUACAACAAAAGAAAUAUGGGACUCAUUAAAGACUAAGUACAUGAUGGAAGAUGCCACAAGUAAGAAAUUCUUGGCUUUUAAAUUUUUUAAUUAUAAAAUGGUUGAUAAUAGACUUGUGGUUGAACAAUAUAAUGAGAUUUUGUAUAUUCUUGAUCAAUUCAACCAACAUAACAUGAAUAUGGAUGAGUCUAUUAUUGCCUUUUCAAUUUUUGGUAAACUUCCUCUCUCUUGGAAAGACUAUAAGAAAAGUCUUAAAUAUAGCAAACAUGAAAUUAGUCUGGAUGGCUUAGGCCAAAGUCUUCGUAUUGAAAAGGAACUCAAGUUUAAUAAUCUUGAGGAUCAAGCUGCUAUGUCCUUUAAAAUUAAUGUCGUGGAGGAAAGGAAGAAGUUUAAGCAUUCUAAUCACCCUAAGAAUAACCAAAAGAGAAAGUUUGAUUCUAAAGAGAAUCAAAACAAGAAGAAGAAAAAAAAGGGUGCAUGCCACCACUGCGGAAAAUUUGGCCACUUCAAAAGAGAUUGUCAACUUUUAAAGAAAUAAAAGGAAGUUUCAAACACAAAUUUUGUGGCCAUGAUAUCUGAGAUCAAUGUUCUUGAAGAUGGUAAUGCAUGGUGGAUAGAUUCUGGUGCAACCAAGCAUGUAUACAAGGAUCGUAGCCUUUUCAAAUCUUAUAAAGCAAUGGAUGAUGGAAGUGUUCCUUACAUGGGAAAUUCCUCCAGUGCAGUAGUUAAAGGAAAAGGCAAUGUGCAACUAGAGUUUACUUUUGAAAAAACUUUAACUCUUACUGAUGUUUAUCAUGUUCCUGAAGUUAGGAAAAACCUUGUAUCUAGUAGCCUUCUUAAAGUUUGGCUUCAAACUUGUUUUUGAGUCAAACAAAUUUAUAUUCUCUAAGGGAGGUACCUUUAUUGGGAAAGGAUACAUGUAUGAAGGAAUGUUUAAACUCAAUAUCAAUAAUAUGAAUGUUUCUUCUGCUUAUAUGGUUGAUUCAUUAUCUUUGUGGCAUAAUCGUUUAGGACAUGUGAAUAUUAGAAUAUUGCAUGAUAUGGCUAAUUUAGAGUUAAUUCCUAAGCAUGAAAAUGAUAUGCAUGAAAAAUGUAAAGUAUGUGCACAGACUAAAAUCACAAGAUCUCCUUUUCCAAAAAUUGAAAAAAAAACAUCUUUUUUAUUGCAUUUAAUUCAUAGUGAUGUGCGUGAUAUGCAUAGUAAUCCUACUAAAGGUGGUAAAAAAUAUUUUGUAACAUUUAUUGAUGAUUUUUCAAAAUAUUGCUAUAUGUAUUUAUUACAUUCUGAAGAUCAAGUCUUAGAGAAAUUUAAAACUUAUAAAAAUGAAGUUGAGAAUUUUUGUGACACUAAAAUUAAAUGCCUUACAAGUGAUAAAGGAGGUGAAUAUGUUUUUUUUCUUAAUUUUGUGAAUAUGUUGGCAUUGUACAUAAAACUAGCACUGCAUAUACUCCACAACAAAAUAGCGUAGCUGAAAGGAAAAAUAGGACAUUAAUACAAAAUGGUUUAUGUUAUGCUUUUUAAUAAUGGGCUUAGUAAAGGUUUUUGGGGUAAAGCUAUUUUAAUUGCAUGUCAUAUCUUAAAUCGAGUGCCAAAUAAGAAAAAAAAGGUGACCCCAUAUGAAUUAUGGAAAAAGAGAAAGCCUAAUAUUUCUUAUCUAAGAGUUUGGGGUUGUCGAACCAUUGUAAGACUAGCUGAACCUAAGAUAAAGAAAUUAGGAGAAAGGGGCAUUGAAUGCAUAAGCUUAGUAAAGCUUAUAGGUUUCUUGUAACAGAACCUAAUAGCUUCGUUGAGAUCAAUACUAUAGUGGAAUCUAGAGAUGCAAUAUUCUAUGAAAAUAGAUUUUCUACUAAGUAUUGAUUCUCAAGAGAAUGAUAAACAAAUAGAAAUUGGUCAAAAGCGUGAUGCUAAUAAUGAGCAAAAUCAUUUGAGAAGAUGUAAAAGAAUAAGGACUAUAAAAUCCUUUAGACAAGAUUUUAUAGUCUAUUUAGUUGAAGGGACAAGAGACUCACAAUCAAAACAAACCAUGAUCACACCUACUAUAGAUUCUGAUCCCCUCACCUAUGAAGAGGCAAUGAAGUCUCAAGAUGCUGCUUUUUAAAAAGUGGCCAUUAAUGAUGAAAUGGACUCUAUUAUAGGUAAUAAGACUUGGAAAUUAGUUGAUUUACCACCUGGUUCUAAUCCUAUAGAUUGUAAAUGGAUUUUCAAAAAGAAGAAGAAAGUUUAUGGAACAAUUGAAAGAUUUAAAGCAAGACUAGUAGCGAAAGGCUUUACACAAAAAGAAGGCAUUGAUUAUUACUAUUAGAGUCUUGAUUGCUUUGGCUUCAAUUUAUCAUUUUGAAAUCCAUCAAAUGGAUGUAAAAGCAGCUUUCUUAAAUUAAGAAUUAGGUGAGAAAAUUUACAUGAAACAACCAGAAGGGUUUGUUAUGCCAGGACAACACUACUAGAAAAAUGGUGUUUACUGACAUUAGAAUAGUGUGUGUUUGAUACUUUGUUUGAUCAAUAUCACAACAAACCUACAACAAAAGAAAUAUGGGACUCAUUAAAGACUAAGUACAUGAUGGAAGAUGCCACAAGUAAGAAAUUCUUGGCUUUUAAAUUUUUUAAUUAUAAAAUGGUUGAUAAUAGACUUGUGGUUGAACAAUAUAAUGAGAUUUUGUAUAUUCUUGAUCAAUUCAACCAACAUAACAUGAAUAUGGAUGAGUCUAUUAUUGCCUUUUCAAUUUUUGGUAAACUUCCUCUCUCUUGGAAAGACUAUAAGAAAAGUCUUAAAUAUAGCAAACAUGAAAUUAGUCUGGAUGGCUUAGGCCAAAGUCUUCGUAUUGAAAAGGAACUCAAGUUUAAUAAUCUUGAGGAUCAAGCUGCUAUGUCCUUUAAAAUUAAUGUCGUGGAGGAAAGGAAGAAGUUUAAGCAUUCUAAUCACCCUAAGAAUAACCAAAAGAGAAAGUUUGAUUCUAAAGAGAAUCAAAACAAGAAGAAGAAAAAAAAGGGUGCAUGCCACCACUGCGGAAAAUUUGGCCACUUCAAAAGAGAUUGUCAACUUUUAAAGAAAUAAAAGGAAGUUUCAAACACAAAUUUUGUGGCCAUGAUAUCUGAGAUCAAUGUUCUUGAAGAUGGUAAUGCAUGGUGGAUAGAUUCUGGUGCAACCAAGCAUGUAUACAAGGAUCGUAGCCUUUUCAAAUCUUAUAAAGCAAUGGAUGAUGGAAGUGUUCCUUACAUGGGAAAUUCCUCCAGUGCAGUAGUUAAAGGAAAAGGCAAUGUGCAACUAGAGUUUACUUCUGGAAACACUUUAACUCUUACUGAUGUUUAUCAUGUUCCUGAAGUUAGGAAAAACCUUGUAUCUAGUAGCCUUCUUAAAGUUUGGCUUCAAACUUGUUUUUGAGUCAAACAAAUUUAUAUUCUCUAAGGGAGGUACCUUUAUUGGGAAAGGAUACAUGUAUGAAGGAAUGUUUAAACUCAAUAUCAAUAAUAGGAAUAUUUCUUCAGCUGAUAUGGUUGAUUUAUUAUCUUUGUGGCAUAAUCGUUUAUGACAUGUGAAAAUUAGAAGAUUGCAUGAUAUGACCAAUUUAGAGUUAAUUCCUAAGCAUGAAAAUGAUAUGCAUGAAAAAUGUAAAGUAUGUGCACAGACUAAAAUCACAAGAUCUCCUUUUCCAAAAAUUGAAAAAAAAACAUCUUUUUUAUUGCAUUUAAUUCAUAGUGAUGUGCGUGAUAUGCAUAGUAAUCCUACUAAAGGUGGUAAAAAAUAUUUUGUAACAUUUAUUGAUGAUUUUUCAAAAUAUUGCUAUAUGUAUUUAUUACAUUCUGAAGAUCAAGUCUUAGAGAAAUUUAAAACUUAUAAAAAUGAAGUUGAGAAUUUUUGUGACACUAAAAUUAAAUGCCUUACAAGUGAUAAAGGAGGUGAAUAUGUUUUUUUUCUUAAUUUUGUGAAUAUGUUGGCAUUGUACAUAAAACUAGCACUGCAUAUACUCCACAACAAAAUAGCGUAGCUGAAAGGAAAAAUAGGACAUUAAUACAAAAUGGUUUAUGUUAUGCUUUUUAAUAAUGGGCUUAGUAAAGGUUUUUGGGGUAAAGCUAUUUUAAUUGCAUGUCAUAUCUUAAAUCGAGUGCCAAAUAAGAAAAAAAAGGUGACCCCAUAUGAAUUAUGGAAAAAGAGAAAGCCUAAUAUUUCUUAUCUAAGAGUUUGGGGUUGUCGAACCAUUGUAAGACUAGCUGAACCUAAGAUAAAGAAAUUAGGAGAAAGGGGCAUUGAAUGCAUAAGCUUAGUAAAGCUUAUAGGUUUCUUGUAACAGAACCUAAUAGCUUCGUUGAGAUCAAUACUAUAGUGGAAUCUAGAGAUGCAAUAUUCUAUGAAAAUAGAUUUUCUACUAAGUAUUGAUUCUCAAGAGAAUGAUAAACAAAUAGAAAUUGGUCAAAAGCGUGAUGCUAAUAAUGAGCAAAAUCAUUUGAGAAGAUGUAAAAGAAUAAGGACUAUAAAAUCCUUUAGACAAGAUUUUAUAGUCUAUUUAGUUGAAGGGACAAGAGACUCACAAUCAAUGGCCGUACAGCAGCCCCAUAUGAAUUAUGGAAAAAGAGAAAGCCUAAUAUUUCUUAUCUAAGAGUUUGGGGUUGUCGAACCAUUGUAAGACUAGCUGAACCUAAGAUAAAGAAAUUAGGAGAAAGGGGCAUUGAAUGCAUAAGCUUAGUAAAGCUUAUAGGUUUCUUGUAACAGAACCUAAUAGCUUUGUUGAGAUCAAUACUAUAGUGGAAUCUAGAGAUGCAAUAUUCUAUGAAAAUAGAAGUGUCAACUCAUUCCAAAUUACUCUACUAGAAUAAUAAAAUAUUUCACCCAUUAUAUUGAUGGAGGUACUAAUCCAAAAUAUUCACAAUAAAUAUAGAGUUCAAGGCAAUUAAUAGAUGUACCUCUUAAAGCUCUGCAUAUUCUCUAUCUUUCUAAGGCAAUCUUUAAUUCAUAUAGUUCCACCCCCUUUGAAUUCACAAACCUAGACUUUACAAACAAAUGCCUUAUAUCAUUAAUCUUGAUACCGUUUUAACAAAAAUAUCACUAUAUUCAUAAAUAAAAAUCACAAGUUAACGCUUUAACCUCGUGUUGGGCUGUCUUAGUCUGCAAAUGGCAGAGGAAUCUACGAUAAUGUGUAUGUUUUCCUGAGAAGAAAAAGGAACAAAAAAUACUUUUGAUUAUUCCAGCAAACACCAUAGUCCAUAAUCACACCAAAAAAAAAAAAAUUUCUUUCGCCAUUUGCCUGCACUCUGCAGCAUCUUUAAAUAUCUUGUAUUCAUUUUAAGUAAUUAAAAUGGUGUAUUAAUGUUUGAAGGAUAGAAAGAAAGCAUACACUAGGCUAUCAACUUGCAUGGAAUUGGCCAAAUAUGGCAUCUGAACUCAAAGAAAAAAAAAAGAACAAAAUUAAAUAUCAUCACAACACACAAUGUGUCUGUCCAUUAAUUAAAAACCUAGUAAAAAAUUAACUCCAAGCAAAAAUAAAUAUUUUAUAUUAGGCUCUACUCAAGCUUCAUAGAAAACUAAUUGAAAGUACAAUUGCCAAAGUAAUAAAAAUAAAUACUCAUUUUCUAAUGACUACAAGCAAAAAUAAAUAUUUUGUAUUAGGCUGAUAAAUAACUGAAAUGAAAUAAUUUCAUAAUGAAACUUGGACCCAUUGAAGCAUCAUCUACAAAGUUCCUCACCUCUGAUGAGAGCAAAUGAAAAAGCACUUGUGCAAAAAGCAACUUUAAAGAGAAGAACUUUUAUAGGAAAAAGGAAAGGAAAGAGGGUUAAUAAUGGGACUGGAACUUGUAAGUUGAAGGGGUUUCUUGCAGCAAAGGCUUUUUAACAUCUAUAGACACUGUGGCUAUUUAUUGCAUGAAUAUGAAACGUCCAGGUGACUCAUCAAAAGAUAGAAACCCAAUUGCUUUAUAUAAUCACUAAGCUAUGGUCGGCUCCUUGGCUAUUUAGCUAAUUAAUAAUUUAUCUGUUUGAUUUUGCUUUCAUUUAAGUUUGACUUGUGUUUCAAUUUGUAUUCGGUAUAGUAAAAAAUUGUAUAAUGGGAUUAAAUUAAUACGAACCUAGCUAGUCAAAACUUAACGUACGUCAAAACUUGUGCAAAAAGCAAAUUCAAAUGCUGAUUGGGAAAAUAAAAAGCGAAAAAAAAAAUUCACAAUUCAUACCUGGCACCAGCAGUCUUGAUAGUAGCUGCAAGAGAGCCAGCCACAUGCAUGGAUACUUCCUUGCCUUUACUCUUCCUUUUAGCAGCAGUACUUCUUCUACCAUAAACAGAAGAAGGCUCCAUAGCUUCAUGCUUAUCACCGGUGCCUAAACUCCGUACACAACACACACGUUGGCACUCAGAACACAAAUAAUUUAACAUAAACCACAAAAUGAAUAAAAAGGAAAAAUACUCAUAAUGAGAAUCGUGACUUAAACUUGAUAUUAUCAUUGUCUUUGAACUCCAUCAUCAUUAAAUAAACUAUUGAGAAACCCUUCAAAUACCAUCUAUAGAAUCAAUAGUUCAAAGGGCAUACUCAUGCAUUCAAAGAAUACGAAUAAUUUCGACAAGUAUAGAACAAACCCAUCUAUAGAAUCAAUAGUUCAAGCUCAAAAUUGACAUCAAUUUCAAUUUCAGCAAAUCACAACCUCAUUCAAGUUCGCAAACCCUAGAACACCCAAAUCCAAACACACCCACAAAACUUUCUGAUUACAAAAUCACUAAAUUCUCUAACAAAAUAAAAUAUCUAAGAUAACCAAUACAACUCAAACAAGCUCAAUUCAUAAGCAAAUUACAAAAUGAAGAAUGAACCAACUGAUAACAAACAUCUCACAAGAAGUCAUCUUAGUUUCAAAAUCACUCAUAAUUUUAAAAAAAAAUUCUUGCCUGAUUAAUUCGAUCGAGAACCUCUUUUCUCUUUGCUGCUUCUUCUUUGCUUUCAUAAAGCCCAGCUUCAACCAAAAACAUCAACCCCAAAGGAAAUCAAAAUCAGGGUUUCAUAUAUAUAUAUAUAUAUAUAUACUGCUGUACCGUACAUCCGCCUUGGCCUCCUGAACAAAAAAAGCCCUAUUUUUUUUAAUCUGACUUUCGAACCCUAACUUUGGCCAAGUUCUUCACAACACUUUCUAGGCGUCUUUCUGGGGGUAUUUUAGCUCAAGGAUGGCGGCUUUGAAGGUUUACAGUAGCGGCUUGUGAGGUAAAUCGUUAUUAGAGAGAGAUGUAGAGAGAGAGAGAGAGGGGAAGAGAGAGAGAGAAGAGAGCUUCGGUUCAAAGAAGAAAAUGCAACUUGUGGUCUAGUGGUUUAACGUUUAAAAUUAGAAAGCUAAGGUUCAAAAGUCUGCGGUUCGACUCUAGUGGAGACAAAAUUAAAAUUUUAUUUUUUUAAUUACUGAUACCUUAAUGUCACAUAUCUCUGAUACUUAAUUUACAGACGCUAUAGUAUUAGAAAUUUGUGAUACUUAUCUGUUAAACAUGGAAAAUGCCCCAAUCUCAUGUAAUUACUGAUACUUGUUAAUAAAGUGUCACAAGACAAGUGUCAGUAAAAACCAUUUUCUAGUAGUGCAAGAACAUAAAGUUUGUAAACUAGUCAAGUCUUUAUAUGGUCUUAAAUAAGCUCCAAAGCAGUGGCACGAAAAGUUUGACAAAGUGAUUGUCUCAAAUGGAUUUAAUAUUCAUGAAUAUGAUAAAUGUGUCUAUAGCAUAUUCAAUGGAAAUAAAGGUGCGAUUAUUUGUUUAUAUAUAGAUGACAUUUUAAUUUUUGGUACUGAGAGUGAGAGCAUUGAACUCACUAAAUCAUUACUGUCAUCUAAUUUUGAUAUGAAAGACAUGGGACUUGCUGAUGUGAUUUUGGGGAUUAAAAUUAUAAAAAAUGAGAAUGGCCUAGUAUUGACCCAAUCAUAUUAUAUUGAGAAAAAUUUAAAGAAAUUUGAUUAUUAUAAUUGUAAGCUUGUGUCAACACCUUUUGAUUCAACAUAAGACUGUAUCCUAACACUGGCAGAUCAGUAUCCCAAUUAGAUUAUGCACGUGUUAUUAUGUGUCUUACGUAUGCGAUGACUUGUACUAGGCCUGAUAUUGCUUUCGUUGUUGGAAAGCUGGGUAGAGAUACUAAUAAUCCAAGCCAAGCACACUGGCAAGCAGUGUACAGAAUUCUAAAAUAUUUAAAAUAUACAAUGGAUUAUGGUAUAUACUAUAUUGGAUAUCCUUAAGUUUUAGAAGGAUUUUCGGAUGCUAGUUGGAUUGACCAUUACCAACAUGCAGUAACUGAUUACCUGAAUACUCUUUUCCAAAAUUCAGAUUUUGCAAAUUGUUGGUGAGAUGGUGGGUUGCCCCACUGUCAAUGUACCAGCCUUGAUAAGCCAUUUCUCUUUCAGAGGUUGUGAGAAAAGCUGCUCUUGGUGCUUGAGACUGAGCUGGAUUGUAGCCAAAGGUUGGAUAAAAGGGAACAAAAUCUCGGUUAAACCUGUUUCUGCACUCAGCUGCAGUAUGCCUUGGUUUAAAGCAGAUUUGGCAAGUGACAGUAGCGAGUCAAUCUAGUCUCAUCAAAACAGACUUGAUAAUAAUCUAAUUAGUAAAUAUUCUGACCGAAAAUUCGACAGAGUCUCCUCUAUAAAUAUAACACUCCCAAUCUGCAAAUAUAAAUAUAACACUCCCAAUAUAAUUCAAUAUACAACAAACUCCAGUGAUCAAUAUCCUCAACUAAAAUGCUGAGUUUCACUCAAAAUAUCUUCAGAAUCUCAAAAGAUAAUAUUAUAACUAAUAGUAAUAUCUCAAUUUAUUCUUAAUCCCAAAAAAAUAAUAUAACAAAAUUAUACAAUCCCAAAAGAACAAGAUAACCACCAAGAUGUCCUAACAAAUACAUCUAUAUCUUCUAACACAUGACGAGAUAACCAAAAUGUCCUGACAAAAACAUCUAUAUCUUCUAACACCAUCAUGUGGCCAAGACUCAAAAUAUAUUUACAGUCGCUGGGUCAGUCAGGUGUACCUGCAACCUCCUGGUGAGGGGGGAAAAUAUAAUAAAAAUGGGGUGAGUUUAAAACUCAGUGAGACUGCUGUACGGCCAAGGCGGAUGUACGGUACAGCAGAUCUUAGUUUCAAAAUCACUCAUAAUUUUAAAAAAAAUUACACCCCGGAGCUACACUGAUAUACAGGGAAAUACCAUCUCAUAUCUCAUCAUAUUUGUACAUGCAUAAUCUAGUCCCCAAAGGACAAAAGCGCCCAAGCACACGACCCAAAGCCUCUGUGUGUACUCAGACAAGCCCCAAAGGCCUGUAUCUCAUUUGUAUCAUCUGUAUCUCAAUAUUUGUCUGUAUCUCUGUAAUCAUCAUACCACAUACAUAUGCCCCCAAAAGGCAUAAACGCCCAAACACACAGCCCAAAGCCUCUAUGUGUGUUCAGACGGGCCCCAAAGGCCUCUCAUAUCAUUUGUAUCACUAUAUCUGGAGGGAAGGGUACUGUCUAAUGAUUUCAAAAAUAAUCAUUACACUCAUAUUCACAUACCUUUUAACCAUACUUUAAAUCAAUACCACAUUUGAAUCCACUUUUCUUAUCUUUAAAAUAUUAUCAUGCUUACUCAAAGUCGAUACGCAAAAUCAUUAACUAAACAUUUUAAUAAAAUCUCAAUGCAUGAAUAAAAUCCAUUUCGAGGAAAUCAUUAAAUCAAAACAUUUAAAAUACUUAUUUCACAAACAUACUUUACUAUCAUAAUUAACUAUGAAAAUAGGUUUUGUAUAUUCCACUCACAGUGACGGUGUUCAUGCUCGAUUAUCGUCCACGUUCGCGGAUCGGUUCUCGCUCGCGAAUCCUCCUAAAUCAAGGAAAUGACAUAAUUAUUUUCCAUAAAUCAGAAUUACGACUAAAUUUAUGCAAUAAACUCGAAACGAACAUCUAUUCAUAAUUUACAACUCCCGUGUCGGUAAAAUUACUAAAAUGCCCUAGAGUCCGUAUAUCAUUAAAAUACUUUGAAAUCGUAAAUCACCGAAUUACCCUCGGAAUUGUAAUUACAUCUAAUCCUCAAUUUCAUGUAUUACUAAAAUAUCCACAGGCUCAGAAAUUACAAAAUUGCCCUUAUAAUGUGAAAUUACUGAAAUGCCCUUGUCAGUCAACGAUCACCGAAAUUUAGUCAACGCUGGCCGGGAAGCACGGGUUAGACACUUUUGGCCAAGCUGAGUUCAAUGGUAUCGGCGGUGAGCUCCAACGCGCGGUAACGACGCCAAAAUCUAGCUCGGCAGCCGUGAAUUCCAACAAUUGACCGGCAGAAAAACAGUGACUCCCGGUGGCUAUGGAUGGUUAGAAAUGGAAGAGGGAAUCGUGCGGAAAAAAAUCCAACCGGUGGUGUCACCCAAAACCAGUGAAAAUCCUGGCGGAGCAAAGCGAAACAGUUGCGGGUUUUCAAGCUUCAAUCGCCGGUGUUCCGGUUGGUUUUCGGCGGCGAGGAUGGCAGGGGAACGACGGCUAGCUUCUAAGAUUCAGAUUGGUACCAAGCUCGCCCAAAAGGGUGGCCGGAAAUGGGAGAUAUGGCCGGGUCACGUUUGCGGGUUCCAGCUCGGGUUUUCGAGUCGGGUUAACGGCUACUCUCUCUCACCUCUCACACACGUGUGGCUUCUGUUUUUGCUUUGUUUUUUCCAGCUUUUUUUUUAUUAAUAAAAUCCUUAACCGCCUCAUUUUUAUUUUAAAUUCUACAUAUGUUACAAAACAGUACCAGGAGAAAUAACCCUAAUAAGUAGCAUACUAGUACUUAGUACUUAUACAUAAUCAUGUGACAUAACUCCACACUGAAUAUCAUACAUCAACAGACAAGGAAUUCAUACAUACAUACAUGACAAACUGCACCAAACAGUAUUAGGGGAAAUAACUCUUAAUACUCGCCGGGAUCAUCAUCGCACGAGUAGAGCGAGGGAAAAACCUCUCAAUACCUAGCGUAAUUAAACUAUAUCGCACGGGUAAGUAACCUAACUCUCAAUACGCAAGCACAUAGUCUAUGGGGAAAGGUACAUAUAUGGUGACUAGUAAUCAUAUCUCAUGACUCAAUCAAACAUACGAUAUGCGUACAUGUAACCAUAACAUGAUAUUAAAUCAUAAUAUCAAACAUAAAUGCUUCACGGAAUACAAAAUAGUAAUAAUAGUAUCCACUCACAAAUCCUGUUUCACUCCGGGGUUCGUUGGGUCUCUUGUGGGUUCCCGGAUUCUAGAGUUCCUCCUAAAAUAUAGGAUUUGUAAUUACCGGUUAGAACUGAUAUAAAAACUUAUGCAUAUCAUGUAAACAGUAACAUAACUGCUCAAACUUCAUAAAUCUAUUACCCACGAGUUUACUAGAUAUUAAUCUAAAUAUCCAAUUCUAUUUUCUGUAACUUUUCCUCUCAAUUUCUCUUUUUCCCACCUUCAGCUUCUUUCUUUUCUUUUCUUUCUCUUUUUCACUUUUCUCUCUCUUUUUCUUCUUUUGUUUUGCUCUCGGUUCUCCAAUUUGGUAAAUGAAGCAAUUAUCAAAAUGUUGCAUUUUAUAAAGCCACCGAAUGAGCCAUCGAAUGCAAGCAAGUAGCUGACUGUUGCUUUUGUAGAUUGUCAUGUUUGGCUUUUUUUUUUUUUUCCAAGUAGUGCAUGACAGUAAUACACUCUUUGCUAUCAUCCCGCCUCAAAUUGGCAACAUCUCCAAUCUUAAAUUCCUUGACAUGGGAAAUAAUCAAUUGUCUGGAGUAAUACCACAAGAAAUCGACCUUCUAACUCAUCUAAAACACCUUUACAUUAAUGUGAAUAAGUUACGCGGCUCAGUUCCACGAGAAGUAGGUCAAUUAAGCUCUCUUAAACAACUAGUCUUAUAUUGCAACGGUUUGUCUGGUUGGCUCCCUUCUUCUUUCGGUAACUUAAACAACUUGGCUAUGUUGAAUCUCAAUAAUAAUUAACUUUUUGGCUCUAUUCCUUCAUCUAUGGGAAACUUGAAGUUUCUUUCCACUUUAGACUUGAGUAUAAAUAAAUUUAGUGGUUCAAUGCCAAAUUCUUUGAGUAACUUAACCAGCUUGGUUAUUUUGUAUCUUUAUGAAAACUCAUUUCUUCUGUUCCUUCACUUAUUGGAAACUUGAAGUCUCUCUUUCAUCUAGAUUUGUCUGAAAAUCAGCUUAGUGGUUCGAUCCCCCAUUUUUUGGGCAAUUUGAGCAACUUGGCUGUAUUGCAUCUUGGUGAUAAUUCACUUUUCGGUUCUAUCCCCCCAAUUCUAGGAAAAGUCCAAUCUCUUUUGAGUUUAGGAUUUGAUCUUAAUCUACUCAAUGGUGUCCUUCCUCCUUCAAUUAGCAAUCUGAGCAAUUUAGAAGGUUUAUACCUAUACUCUAGUUUGGUUUCACCAGAAAUAGGAAAUCUCUUGCAAUUAAUUGAGCUAGAGAUAGACAACAAGCAGCUUUUUGGUCAAAUUCCUAAAAGCCCGAGAAAUUUCACAAGCUUAAACAUAGUACAUCUUGAACAAAAUCAUCUCACGGGAAACAUAUAUGAAGUUUUCGGCAUAUACCCAAACCUGACGUUCUUAGAUCUUAGUCAAAACAAUUUUUAUGGUGAAAUCUCAUCUAAUUGGGGGAAAUGUCAGUAAUUAGGCUCUUUAAAUUUUUCAAUGAAUAACAUCACUCGGAGCAUACCUCCUAAGAUUGGAAAGUUAUACCAACUUCAUAAACUUGAUUUUUCAUUGAAUCACAUAGUUGGAGAGCUUCCAAUUGAACUUGGAAAUUUAAAGUCCUUAAACUACCGUGCUUUGAAUGGUAAUAAAGUUUAUGGGAGCUUACCUCGAGUACUUGGCUCAAUUAGUGAUCUAGAGUAUCUUGACUUGUCUACAAAUUAGUUGGGCAACUCUAUCCCAGAAACUCUUGGAAACUUGUUGAAAUUGCACUACUUGAGCAACAAUGAGUUUCGAAAAGAAUUUCCAGUUGAAUUGGAGAAGUUGGUUCAGCUUACAAAGCUAGAUUUAGUCAUAACUUUCUGGGAGGAGAGAUACCGCCCCAAAUCUGUAAUCUGGAAAGCUUGGAGAAGCUUAAUCUCUCAUACAAUAACCUUUCUGGUUUAAUUCCAGGUUAAUUUGAAGGAAUGCAUGGCUUGUCAGGCAUAGACAUAUCAUACAAUGAGUUGCGGGGUCUAAUUCGUAACAGCACAGGAAUCCAUUAUAAUCUUGUGGAUGCAUUACAAGGGAACAAAGGAUUGUGCGGUGAUGUUGACUGUUUUCAGCAUUGCAAAGACUAUGUAACUCACAAACAUGUCUUCAAAAAGAAAUGGUUUUUAAAUAUGUUUCCACUUUUUGGAAUACUUGAGCUUUUGUUCUUUGUGGUUAGAAUGAUUUCUGGAAGAAUGAAGAAGGCUUCAAGAGAAAACAAAGUAAGUUGUUUGAACAAUCAAGGACUAUUUUCGAUAUUAACUUUUGAAGGUAAAAUUAUUUUCGAUAUUAAGUUUUGAAGGUAAAAUUUUGUAUGAAGAAGUCAUUAGAGCGACGAACAAUUUUGACGCUAAGUAUUGCAUCAGCACAGGUGGACAGGCCAGUGUUUACAAAGCUGAGCUACCAUCUUGGGAGAUCGUAGCAGUUAAGAAAUUUCACUCACCACAUCCUGAUAUGGUAGUGCAACAAGCAUUCUCGAAUGAGAUCAAGGCAUUGACAGAGUUGCGACAUCGAAAUAUUGUGAAAUUUUAUGGUUUCAGUUUCCAUCCCCGACAAUCAUUUUUACUUUACGAAUAUCUUGGAAGGGGUAGUUUGGCCAUAAUUCUGAGCAAUGAUGCAGCGAUAGACGAAUUCAGCUGGACUGUGAGAAUGAAUGUGAUUAAAAGUGUAGCUAAUACUUGUCUUACAUGCAUCAUGACUACUUCCCACCAAUUGUCCAUCGAGACAUAUCAAGCAAGAAUGUGUUGCUGGGUUUAGAUUAUGAUGCUCAUGUUUCUGAUUUUGGGAUCUCAAAAUUUCUCAAGCCAGACUCGUCAAAUUGGUCUGAAUUUGUAGGCACAUUUGGAUAUGUUGCUCCGGUAUAAAUUCUUAAAUUAAUUAUAUGACACCACUUGUUUCAUUAAUGAGCGUCAUAUCUAAACGAUCAUUCUUAUUGUUCACUUUGCAGAGCUUGCUUACACAAUGAAGGUUAACGAAAAAUGUCAUGCGUACAGCUUUGGAAUAUUAACAUUGGAAGUGAUACAGUGGAGUCAUCCAAUAAAUUUUAUUUCCUCAAUUUCAUCUUCAUCUCCCAACAGGAACAUUUCACUUAAUGAACUUUUGGACCCUCGACUUCAAAAAAAAGAAGCAAAAUACAAUAAAAGAAGAUUAGAUAAUCGGAGGCGUAGUGAACCCCAAAAGAUAGUUAGCAUAGAACUCACUAAUUAAUAAAGUAAUAAAUGGGAUAAAAAAUGAUCGACUAAUAGGCUAUAUAUAUGUGUGUGUGUGUGUGUGUGUGUGUGUGUGUGUGUGUGUGUGUGUGUGUGUGUGUGUGUGUGUGUGUGUGUGUGUGUGUGUGUGUGUGUGUGUGUGUGUGUGUGUGUGUGUGUGUGUGUGUGUGUGUGUGUGUGUGUGUGUGUGUGUGUGUGUGUUUAAAACCAUGUAGUUUUAAAACUUUCCCGUACUUUUCACACUUUAAAACCCUGGAUUAGAAUACACACACACACACACACACACACACACACACACACACACAUACAUUUAUUAGAAAUGUUAUAAUCCGGAAUUUUAAAGUGCAGGAAAGUUCAUAAAAGCUUUAAAACCGCAUGGUUUUCAAGUUUUCCCAAACUUUUCCGUACUUUAAAAUUCUGGACCAGAAAACUACUCUAUAUAUAGAACCUCUAAAUAGGAAUACUCUAUAUAGGAAUAACCUCAUAGAAAUAAAAAAUUGUGAUCCCAACUUGGGACCAGUUAUAAUUAGGAAUAAACUCCACAUUGUAAUAAGUUAUAUUUUUUGUAUGUUCUGUCUUAAUAAACUUACUUCCAUAUAGUAAUAAUAUUUCAAAAAUAUAUGCCAUGUUACAUUAAAUAAUUCAGAUGGAACAAAAUAUCUUUCUAAAGUUACUUGUGACAAUGAAUAUCACUUGCAUUAGCUUAUUAAUUUAUUAAUACAUGACAUAAUUUACCUUUAUAUCACUUGCAUUAGGGAUAAUUAAGCAAAGACAAUAAUUUUGUACUAUACCUCUAUUAAGUUAUAACCUCUUUAUAAGAAUAAAUUUCUCCAGUCCCAAUAAUAUGACUAUAUAGAGGUUUUACUAUAUAUAUUUAUAUAUGCCACCUUGUAGUAUCGUAUGCCAUGUUUUAUAUAUAAACUUUUUCUUAAAAUAAUUAGAAAGGGAAUGAGAAAUCUCACUCAUUAAAUUAAAUGCUAAUCAAUAAGCACUAUCAUUACUUGAACUCGACUAAUCAGAGGUGCAAGCAUUUAAAGUCAGUCGAGCUACCCCAAAAGGGAGCUUUACAUUUUUUUUUUCACAUAAUAAUCAAAGAUGUCACGGUAAUGGUCCUUUCGAAAUAUCUAAUUUAAUUUUGAUAAAUUAAUUAGUUGAAUUUGUUCAGUUGUUGAAAAAUUGUUUAAUUUUUUAAUACACAAAAUAAUAUCCUUUCGAAAAUUUAAUUAAGGUAUAUAUAGGUAAUCUUCAGAGUUCAACAAAUCACAUCUAUUUUUAAAUUAAAAAAGAGAGAGAAAGAGAAAAAAACUGAAAAAAGGAUAGGAUGUUGAAGGGGGAGAUAGUAGAUGUAUUUUGAAGUAUUGAGAAUGUUGAGAAUAUGUUUCGAAGUGUUUGUGUUGAGAAUACAUUUAGUAGAUGUAUUUUGAAUUAUUGAGAAUGUUCAGAAUAUGUUUUAUGUGUUUGUGUCGAGAAUACAUGGAUGUAGACGCACACACGCAAGGGGAGUUUUAAAAUUUGAAAUCAAAUUAAUGAAUAUGAUUUGAAGUGUUUGUGUUGAGAAUACAUUUUGGAUACACACGCACACAAGCAAGGGGAGUUUUACAGGGAGUUUUAAAAUUUGAAAUUUGUUAAUCCAUUUGAUUUCUAUACAUUCAGGGAAGUUCUUAUAAAAGUUCAAACUACAUAACGUGUUUUGUCAUCGUCAAAAAGGAAAGAUUGUUAACCUCUAUGGUUAUAUAGCAUUUUGAUUUUGAUGAUAACAAACCACGUGUCAUGGGUAAAAUAGGAAAUAUGCAUAUUCUUUAUUUUAUUUUAAAACAAAAAAAUGAAUGUUGAGUAUUUUAAGAUGUCCUUAAAAUUGUUUUCUUUGUAUUUUCUAAAGGAAAAUUUUUAUUAUGUGAAUUAUUUCAAAUUCUAAGUAUAAAGCGUUUUUCGCAUAAGUUUUUCAGUUAAAACUUUUAUUAUGUGCUUAAACGUUAAACCAAUAUAAUCCAAAUGGUAAGCUCACUAAAUAAAACUUGCUGCUAGACACAAAUGGCAUACCGUUACAAGGAAAGCGACAAACCGAUUGCAUCAAAUUAGCUCUCUAGAAUCAAACGGUAAACUGAUAGAGCUGAAGCAGCAAACCGAUUACAUCAAAUUAGCUCUUUGGAAUCAAACAGUAAACCAAUAGAGUUGAAGCAGCAAACUGAUUGCAUCAAAUUAGCUCUCUUGAAUCAAAUGGUAAACCGAUAAAGCUGAAGAGACAAGCUGAUUCCAUCAAGAUGACUUACUAGACUCAAAGAACAAACUAUUAUCUGCAAGUGGCAAACCAAUUCCAUCAAGAUGACUUACUGGACUCAGACAACAAAUUGUUAUCUGCAAGCGGCAAACCAAAUCCAUCAAGAUGACUCUCUGGAAUCAAGCGGCAAACUACUUUCUUGAAGCAAAAAAUCGUGAAGCAAAAAUUUCAAAUUACAACCAUAAGGAUAAGUGCCAUAUAAGCAAACUAUAGACUGUUUUCUUGAAAGGGCAAAUCGAUUAUGCCUAGAAAGUCAACAACAACUAUUUUUGUCGUUCAAUCUAUAAAUAGCCAAGAGAAACACUUUUGAAAUAGGAAUUUUUUGGCCAUUUUUUUAAGAGUCUUGAGCUUUUACUUGCUUAUAUACAUUCAUUGAAUUUAUAAUUGAGCUAUCAUUUGUAACAUACACUUGUGAGAGUGCAUUCUUUGUAAUUUCCAUUUCACUAUCAACAUUGAAUGAUUGUAAGUGUAGGGAAACACUUGGUGAAGAAGGUGUGGGAUCAUCUCAAAUUGUAAAUGUUUAUUGACACCCUAAAAGUCAAUUGCAAACUUCCUGAAGCCUUGGAUUGUAAUGCUUGAAUAGUGGAACAAUCAAGUUCAGUUUGCUUGGAGGCAUGGAUGUGAGCGGGUUUUGCCGAACCACGUAAAAAUUUCGUGUUCGCUUUCUGAUAGAGAUACAUCAGAAUCAAUCUCUUGACCAAUUCUCUCCUAAUCUUGUGCUUACCGUUUAUAGAUAAUAUCUGUUGUAAAUGCUCCUUUAUUUACUCCUUCUUUCUCUCCUUGACUUAUUCUCUUUAAUUCAAAUUGUAAUCAAAUCUAGGAUAGUUAUUACCCUUUGUAUUCCAACUACAGUCUGUAUAUAUAUAUACGACUAACAUCAAUAAUAAUAUAGCUUCAUUUUCAUUCACAAUUGAUAUUAUUUCCCUUUAUAUGGUAUCCAGAGCAUAGAUCCAUUUUUUUUUCUUUUCUUUUUCCACGGUUCUUCACCCUCCCUCUUCAAUGGCAUCCAAUGAUCAAUCUCUUCUACCCAACAAUGCUGAACCGACCAAGCCUUUCAUCAUCAUCUCCCUUUCUCACAUCCUGAAACUCACUCCAACAAAUUAUAUCUCAUGGAAAACUCAACUUGAAGCUACCUUCCUUGGCCAUGAUCUACAUAAAUUCAUAGAUGGUUCUCAUCCUGCCCCAUCUAAAACAAUUACCCAAAAUAACACCACCACUACUAAUCCUGCCUACAUCACAUGGUUCCGUCAAGACAAGCUCAUUCUUGGAGCUCUUGCUGGCACGCUUUCCAACCCACUUUUCCCUCUAAUUUCACAAUGCUCCACUACCCAUGACGCUUGGCAAACUCUUGCUAAGACAUAUGCCAAUCCCUCGAAAGGCCAUCUCAAAUAAAUAAAAGAUCACCUUAAAAAUAUUACCAAAGGUCCUCGUUCCAUUUCUGACUACAUGCAGGAAAUUAAGUGUUGUACCGAUCAACUAGCCUCUCUUGGUCGUCCCCUUGAUCCCGAAGAUAUCGUUGACAAAGUCCUUGACCAACUCAAUGAUCCCGACUAUGAGAGUGUCAUCAAUGGCGCCCAAAACCGUGAAACUCCUAUCACGUUUGAUGAGUUACAUGAAAAACUCAUCAAUCAUGAACUCUCCCUCAAACACAAAGCCAAAUCCUCCAACAGUUUCCAUGCCACUGUUAACUAUGCGGCCAAACAACAAAACAGAAACUAUCAAUAUCGUCCUUUCUCUUCCAAUGCAAGCCUUCUUCCCACUCCAAACCACUCCAACUCUCAGCCUCCUACUCGUUCUUCUCAACCCUUCAAAGGACGGUGUCAAUGGUGCUGAAACCAAGGUCAUUAUGUCUCCCAAUGCCCCAUUUUCCGCAACCACUAUCCAAAUGCAAUACUACCUUCCCAACAAUCCAACCCAUCCAUGGUUCCUUCUCAUGCAACACCUCACCCUAUUGCCAAAGGCUAUCAAUCCUCGUUUUCUCGUGCCUACGCUGCCACUGCUACCGACCCCUCCUCUAAUGGUUGGCUUCUCGACAGUGGUGCCACUCAUCACGUCACCCAUGAUCUUGAAAAUCUUGCUCUUCACUCCUUGUAUGAUGGUACUGAGGAACUAAUUAUUGGAGAUGGCUCGGGCCUCGCCAUCUCAAACACUUGUUCCACUUCACUUUUUACCCCUACUACUACAUUUAAUCUUAAUCAUAUUCUUCAUGUGCCUUCCGUUUCUCGUAAUAUUAUUUCUAUCUCUAAAUUUUGUCAUGAUAAUACUACUUCUAUCACUUUCUUACCUAAUUCCUAUAUUGUGAAGGAUCUUCGCACAAGGGUACCCCUUCUUCAAGGUCCAACUAAAUCUGGAAUCUAUGAAUGGCAUCCCACUCGUCCUGCCAUUCACUCAGUCAAAUUGACAUCUACUACCGAUUGGCAUCACAGAUUAGGCCAUCCAUCUUAUUCUAUUCUACGUCAUAUUAGCAAUGCUUUUAAUUUAAAUAUUCCAAAAACAAUAUCUUUUCAUUGUAAUUCAUGUGAUUGUAAUAAGAGCCACAAAUUACCAUUCUAUCAAAAUACCAUUCAAUCUCAUGGUCCUCUUGAUGUUCUUUAUAGUGAUGUUUGGACUUCUCCCACUCUUUCUUAUGAUGGCUACAAAUAUUAUCUUAUUUUCGUUGACCAUUAUUCCAAAUAUAUAUGCUUUUACCCUCUCAAACACAAAAAUGAUGCCACUGCCACUUUUCAUAAAUUCAAACUCUUGGUUGAAUUUUUUUUUAAACGCCCCAUCAUUACAAUCUAUAGUGAUAAUGGUGGUGAAUAUAUUGGUUUAGAUCCAACACUUGAGUCUCAUGGUAUAACUCACCUCACCUCUCCUCCUCAUACGCCUGAGCACAAUGGCUAUUCGGAGUGUCGUCAUCGCCAUAUCGUUGAAACAGGUCUUUCCCUCCUCACUCAUUCCUCUAUGCCACGAAAAUAUUGCCCUCUUGCUUUUGCUACUGCUUGCUAUUUAAUUAAUCGUCUGCCUACUCCUACGCUUCACCUUUAAUCUCCUUACUCUAAACUACAUGGCCACACGCCUAAUUAUCUCAAACUUUGUAGCUUUGGAUGUCUUUGUUAUCCAUGGCUACGUCCCUAUACCUCAAAUAAACUUGAUCCCCGCUCAUCUCAUUAUGUCUUUGUUGGUUAUUUUGCUAUCCAAAACGCCUAUUACUGCCUUGCUCCUCACGCCAAUAAAAUCUAUGUUUCUCGACAUGUCAAAUUCAUUGAGCAUGAAUUCCCUUUUUCUUCCUCUUCCAUGACGACAUCACCGCACACGUCCAUCGAAACGGAUGAAUGGUGUGCACUUCCUCUUCCUAUUAUCUCUGCUGCAUCAUCCACACCAGCUAUUCGCCUCCAACCCCCUCCCAGACCUCGGCUACCUCAAACACCCCCACUCCUCCUCCCCCACCACCUCCACCAUGCCCUCUCACUCGGCUACAAAAUAAUAUUCAUAAACCCAUUACUAAAAUGAAUCUACAUGUCUCUCUCUAACCUUCUUCUACCGAACCUACCACAAUCACUCAAGCUAUCAAAAGCUCUAUUUGGCGUGAUGCUAUGCAAACUGAAUACGAUGCCUUGCUCAAAAAUAAAACAUGGGACCUUGUUCCCUCUUCUCCAUCACAAAAUCUCAUUGGUUGUAAGUGGAUCUUUCGGACUAAGUAUAACCCAGAUGGCUCCAUAGCCCGUCACAAGGCUCGCCUAGUAACUAAAGGGUUCCACCAACGUCCCGACCUCGACUACACUGAAAGUUUCAGCCCCGUAGUUAAACCCGCUAUUGUCCGCAUUGUUCUUUCUCUUGCCAUAAUCUAUGGGUGGUCUCUUCGUCAAAUUGACAUUAAUAAUGCUUUUCUCCAAGGUUCUCUCAUGGAGGACGUGUUUAUAGUCCAACCCCCUGGUUUUAUUAGUCAAUCUCAUCCUGCUCAUGUUUGCAAACUUCACCAAGCUCUCUAUGGUCUUAAACAAGCUCCUCGAGCUUGGUAUAAUGAACUCAAAUCCUAUCUUCUUACUCUUGGGUUCAAAAAUUUCAUCUCAGACACAUCCUUAUUUGUUCUACAUAAUACUCAGGGUCUCAUCUACCUCCUCGUGUAUGUUGAUGAUAUUAUUAUCACUGGCUCAAAUUCAUCUUUUCUAAGCACAUUCAUCUCUCAAUUCUCCUCUCGUUUCCCUCUUAAAGAUCUUGGUAACCUCUUCUAUUUUCUUAGCGUUGAGGUGUUACCUCAUCCUCAAGGUCUCUUUCUUAGCCAACAUAAAUAUCUCCAAGACCUUCUAACCCGUGCCCAUAUGUCAAAUGCCAAACCCGUACCCACUCCUAUGGUCAUGCAUCCCCCUCUAUCCACACAAACUGGAGCUCCUUUAGCCAACCCAACUGAAUACAGAGCACUUGUGGGAAGCCUUCAAUAUCUCUCUUUAACUAGACUUGACAUCUCCUUUGCUGUAAACAGGUUAUCUCAAUACAUGCACAAACCUACUGAAGAUCAUUGGGCCGCUCUCAAACGCUUAUUACACUAUCUCGCAGGAACUACUUCACACGGUUUACUACUUCGCCAAGACUCGCCGACCACUCUUCAUGCUUUUACAGACGCCGACUGGGCAGGUGAUAAAGACGACUAUAUUUCUACAACUGGUUACAUUGUCUAUUUGGGUUGAAAUCCUAUAUCUUGGAGUUCCCGCAAACAACGAACUCUUGCUUGCUCUUCCACCGAAGCCGAGUACCGCGCUGUUGCCGCGACUACUGCCGAGGUCCUAUGGGUUCAAAACUUACUACGUGAGCUAGGAUACCUACCCACCAACAAACCAGUCAUCUACUGUGAUAAUAUGGGAGCUACAUAUGUUGCCGCCAAUCCAAAGUUCCACUAAAAAAUGAAACAUUUAGGACUUGACUAUCAUUUUGUUCGUGAAAAUGUUCAACAUCAAAUCCUACGUGUGUCAUACAUUUUUGGUAACGAUUAACUCGUCGAUGCUUUUACAAAGCCGCUUGCUCGCACCCGGUUCCAUGAACUUAUGUCCAAGAUUGGUCUCACUUACCGAUCGUCCAUCUUGCGUGUGUCAUACAUUUUUGGUAACGAUCAACUCGUCGAUGCUUUUACAAAGCCGUUUUCUCGCACCCGGUUCCAUGAACUUAUGUCCAAGAUUGGUCUCACUUACCGAUCGUCCAUCUUGCGUGUGUCAUACAUUUUUGGUAACGAUCAACUCGUCGAUGCUUUUACAAAGCCGUUUUCUCGCACCCGGUUCCAUGAACUUAUGUCCAAGAUUGGUCUCACUUACCGAUCGUCCAUCUUGCGUGUGUCAUACAUUUUUGGUAACGAUCAACUCGUCGAUGCUUUUACAAAGCCGUUUUCUCGCACCCGGUUCCAUGAACUUAUGUCCAAGAUUGGUCUCACUUACCGAUCGUCCAUCUUGCGUGUGUCAUACAUUUUUGGUAACGAUCAACUCGUCGAUGCUUUUACAAAGCCGUUUUCUCGCACCCGGUUCCAUGAACUUAUGUCCAAGAUUGGUCUCACUUACCGAUCGUCCAUCUUGCGGGGGCAUGAUAGAGAUACAUCAUAAUCAAUCUCUUGACAAAUUCUCUCCUAAUCUUGUGCUUACCGUUUAUAGAUAAUAUCUGUUGUAAAUGCUCCUUUAUUUACUCCUUCUUUCUCUCCUUGACUUAUUCUCUUUAAUUCAAAUUGUAAUCAAAUCUAGGAUAGUUAUUACCCUUUGUAUUCCAACUACAGUCUGUAUAUAUAUAUAUGACUAACAUCAAUAAUAAUAUAUAGCUUCAUUUUCAUUCACAAUUGAUAUUAUUUCCCGUUAUACUUUCUUCUCCCAUAUCUCUUUAAACUUAUUCAUUGUUAUAUUUACUGUUAUUGAAUCUCUUAAGGCAUUAGUUUAAAUUAUUUUGUAAUUUAAUUUGUUUAAUUUUUAAAAACCCAAUUCACCCUUCUCUUGGGUUACUUAGCUAGAAUUUCAGCAUAGCUUGUCAUGCGUUCACAUACCGUACAAUGAAUUACGAGGUCCAAUUCCUAACAACACAAGAUUCUAGUUGAUUGGAAUGAUUUUUAGAAGAAUUAAGAGGGCUUCUAGAGAAAACAAAGAAAGUUCUGUGGGCGAUCAAGGAGUGCUUUCGAUAUUAAUUUUUAAAACGUAAGUGGCAUAUUAAAAAAUCAUCAGUGCAGGGAAUAAAUUUGAUGCUGAGCAAUGCAUUUGGCAACCUAUCAUCUGGGAGAUCAUAGCGAUUGGCAAAUUUCAUCACCACUUCCAAGUGAAAUUUUAGUUCUACAAGAAUUCCUGAAUGAAAUCAAGGCAUUGCCAGAAUUAUGGUAUCAAAAUAUUGUGAAAUUUUAUAGCUUCUGUAACAUCCUGGUACUCUUUUUCAGUCUAUGAAUAUCUUGAAAAGGGUAGUUUGGCUACAAUUCCAAGCAAUGAUGCAACAAUAGAAGAAUUCAUGAGCUGGACUCUGAGAAUGUAUAUGAUAUAAAGUGUAGCUAAGGCCAUGAGUUAUAUGCAUCAUGAUUGCUUCCCACCAAUUGACAAUCAAGACUUAUGAAGCAAGAAUGUGUUGCUCGGUUUAGAUUAUGAAGCUCAUGUUUCAGAUUCCGGAAUCGCAAAAUUUCUCAAGCCAGACUUGUCCUAUUGGACUGAUUUUGCAGGCGCAUUUGGAUAUGUUGCUCCACAUAUGCAUUCUCAAAUUAAUCCAUUGAUCACUUUUUACAUUAAUAAACGUCAUAUCUAACUGAUCAUUUUCAUCUUUCAGUUUUUGUAGAGCUUGUUUACACGAUGAAGAUUAUCGAAAAAUGCAACGUGUAUAGCUUUCCGAGAAUUAGCAUUAGAAGUGAUAAAGGGGAAUUAUCCAAGAGAUUUUAUGUCCUUCCAUCGGGGACAUAUCACUGAAUGAAAUUUCGGACACUCGGCUUUCAACAUCAUCAUGAAAUGUUCAAGACACGCUGAUAUCAAUCAUGGAGGUUGUCUUAUUCGAUGUGGGCCCAGAAUCAAGACCCGCGAUGUACACAAUAUGUCAUUUAAAAAAAAAAAAAGAACUCCAGAAAGUCAAAUGUUUCUUUUUUCUUCUGUAUUUUUUUUUCAUUUUUCGUUUUUGUUGGAUUAAAUAUGACUUUUGAAACUUUUGAUGGUUGUAAAAGAUUUUACACUUUAAUUAAGUACGUGAAUUACACAUUUCAAGCAUCAUUUGACUUUACCCCCAAUCUCUGCCGUAAUGUCAUUUGGCUUUUCUGUGCCUUACUUUGGAUAUGCAUAUUUUGUCAAAGGACAAAAAACUGAAAUUGAAAAAUAGAAGUUGUCAUAAAGUAAAUUAAUAUAUUCCAUAACAUUAUGAACAUCUACGUGCGAAAGCAACAGCGAUACUUUCAACACAUUGUAGGAACUGCCUCUAAGUAAGCCCAAUGGGUGUAAAUUUACAGAUCACCGAAAAACCUUAGGUCAAAGUAAAAUGAUCGGCUUCCUAUGAUUUUUUUCUGUUUUUAAUGGCUGCCUAUCACAAAUUUAGUAACUUCAGCAAAAUUCUACUGCUUAUAUCUUUUACUUUAAUAUUAUAAUCACGAUCGGCUUCUUAUGCCUACUUUUUUUUCAACUCAAAUAUUUUUCUCAACUUCAAGUCUUCAAGCAACUAUUUGGAAGAACAAAUCCAGAGGCCGACCCAUCAGCGUUGGUACAGGAAGCUUCAGCUGGUUGAUUCUUGUAAAUGAGCUUCACAUCCUCCAAGCUAAUUCCAGUGCAUGGAUUCUUUGAACUGCAAUCGAGCUUUACUCCAACUUCCGUUGCCGAUGUUCCAUGAAUAUCUUGAUAGAUCACAUCACUGAUUUUAACCCCGGAAGCCUAUUGAAGAAUAAAAAAUAAUAAUUUUUAUUGAGUUGAAUAUUAAUCGCAUCAACAUUUACGUAAUCACAUCUACAGACAUGUGAUAAGUGAGUAUCGUACCUGUCCAGGACAAUUCCCGUUGUCAGGGCAGUAAUUUUGAUCAAUUAUGAUUGGAUUAUCGACAUUGUUCAUAAGAGCAUGUUGGAAAAGAAUGUUCCUGGCAAAUCCACCGCUUGUUCUGCCCCAGGACUUAAUCCUCACUCCAUUUUGAGUGCCUGUAAAUGUCACAGAUGUUACUGUCACAUUUUGCACUCCAGCCUCUUGUUGCUCUUUGCCUAAGCUGCCAAUGCUACAACAAAAUCAGAAUAUUCAAUUUAAUUAGCACUAAAUAUUUAUACGUACCACCAAAAAUAAAGAGAAAAACAAAUCAUCAUGUUUUUUAAUUUUACCUGAUCCCAUGGCCAGGGCCACAAGCAACAUUUUCAAUCCAUAAGUUGGUGGCGCCAGGCCCAACUGAUACACAGUCAUCACCAGUCCCAAUUUUGCUGUCCAAAAUUGUGACACCACUUGAUGAUUGAACGUGAAUGCCAUCGGUGUUUGGGCUGUCACCGGCGGCCGAAACUUUGACCCCCUGUACUUUCACAUCGUUACAUCCAUUGAUGACAAUAUGAAACAUCUGGCUAUCUACGGAUGCUAAUCCGUUAAUCACAACGUUGUCUGAGUUGCUAAAGCGAAGUGUCUGCUCAUGUAUAUACAAAAGAAGGAACAUUAAUUAUUAUAACUAAAGCAGGAAGCCAAUCAAUAUAAAAAGCAAAAAGCCACUAAAUUAACGACUAUACAGAUAUAAAAAGGAUAUUUCAACUUAAUUACCGUAGCGCCACUGGGGCAAUUACUAUUGUCCGACUUUUUACAAGCCCACAAACCAGCACCUUGGCCAUCAAGAACGCCACCAUUAAUAGAAACCCCACUAACAUGCUCAAAUAAAAUCCAGUUUUCGGCAUUUCCGAUAACAUGAUAAUCAGCUGGAGCCACCAGAGUCCCGUCAAUACGUAUGGUAAUAUCAUUGUUCUUGCAUUGGCCUUGAAACACAACAUUGCUUAGUAAGUACCUCCCCGGUGGCACGUAAAUGGUUGCGGCCUCGGCCGAGCCACAGGCUUGAGCCCAUGCAGCAAGAAAGGAUUUUACUGAGUCAGUCUGGCCAUCGGGUCUGGCUCCGAAGCUCAGCACAUUGUAACUCAAAGGAAUUGCUAAAGAUGAACUAAAGAAGAGAAUCAAAAGAAAUGGUAAAAAUUUAAUAGGCAAAGACAUUGAUGUUGACAUGGUUUCAAAGCUUAAAUUUACUGAUAGAAAUGAGAGAAAUAAAUUUGCGACGUUGAGGAGUUGGGGUGGAAUUGAGAAGAUUUAAAUGGGUAUUUAUAGGAUUUGAAUGAACUGUAGAAAUGGCAAUAGCACUAACAGUGAAUGCAAUCUGCGCCGAAUUUUGGGAGUGAUUUUUGCCUUAACUGAUACGAUCUUAGUUUACCAAAAUACCCUUUAACUUAAAUUUGGAUGACGUUUGAUGACAGAAGCAACAAAUACAUACAUAAGACAAGGGCACGUCCACAUAUGGUUUCGUAAGAUGAGAGAUUUCAAAGGUAGUUAAUAAAUUAACAGAUAAAAAGUGUUAAAUCUUAUCCAUUAGAAUAUUAUUAAGAACUAAGAUUCAGUUGGGUUAAUAUUAAAAUACAGUUUAAAAAAUUCAGAAGUUUGGAUAGAUAUAACUGUUUUUUUUUUUAAAUCUUUAAAUAAACGUUUAAUUUGUUUGAUAACCGGUUAAUUAAAACUUUAAAGUAUUAAAAUCAAAACAUUGUACUAUCUAACUUCUAAUCUUACAGGUCAUUGAUUAAAUCGAACGGUUCAUGCUUAUGCAACUAUUAAUAUUGUAAUUUUUAUAGCAGCAUCAUAGAAUGAGCCUUGUUUUAUAAUUUUUUUUUGCUUUUUUCUUAAAGUAAAUAAGAAUAUUGAAAUUUCCUGAAUUCUGAAUGGCCAUUUCUUCUAAAUACAGAUUGUUGUUUUGGUGUGUAUGAAGAUAGCUCAUUAUGCAGAAGUGAAGAAGAAGAAUCAACCCGGUGUUAAGCUUUGUAUCAAGAGUGUCAAGUUACCAGCUGUCAUUAGUUUCACGUCAGAAGAUCCAAGUCAGCAGCAGUGAACAGCCUAACUAACUUCACAAUACACACUCUGUAUUUGGUUAUGUGUUAGCUAAGUGAGAUUCGUUUUAAUAAUUAGUUAGUGAGCAAUCAGUUAGAGUAUGUAAAGCAUGUAUAAAUAGCUACAUAUUCUAGAUUGUCAUUAUGUACAAAAUAUCAGUUCAUUAACGAAAUAAUAACAUUUCCUCUGUUUUCUCAGUUGCCAAACAACAACACUUUAUCAAUUUUACAAAUUCUUCAGUGUCGGAAGGCUAAAUUCAUAAAUAAAGUUUCCCUUGUUUUACAUCCGCCUUGGCCGUACAGCAGUUUGUUUUUUCCAGCUUUUUUUUUAUUAAUAAAGUUAAUUUGUUGAUCUAAAUUAGGCACACAAUAAAUGUACAGUAUUCAAAUUUCAGCUCUAGUCAUAUCUGGAAAAUGAAUCCAGAGCGCAGUUCCAGCAACAUCAACUAUUGAUUUUAAGAAAAAAAUUAAGAAAGCCACGUGAAAGAAAAAAAAAAAAGAAUUUGAUGCAUAUUGCUUAUGAAGCCACGUGAAAAUUUCGUUGAAAGUUGAUAAAAUGUGUUUCGCAUAUUGCUUAUAAAGGUUGAUGCAUCGGUGUUGACAUUUUGCUAUACUAAAAUGGAAAUAUCAUAAAGUUUUAAAGAAAACAAAUCAGUGGAGAGUAAACAAAGUUCGUUAUCAAGUGGGAAAAGUUUCAGUCUUAUAACCAGCCGCAAUUACUGAUUGACAUAUUCUUCGAAAGAGAUGUUUUGACAUAAAGCUCAACUCUUUUCCUUUUCUUUUUAGUGGUUACAAUUUUUGUGCAUAUUACUGAUUGACUUGUUUCAAUUACUCAGAUUAAGCAAACAAUCAAGCCAUAUUACUAGGUUAUCAAGAAAGAGCAGUUAUCAGUUAGGUCCCUCUGCACGCCAAAUUCACCACAUGCGGAUUUCUUCUUCAACCGCCCAACUGAAAAAAGGUUUAUGAGUGUUGACCAAAUGAUUUUUUUAUACAUUACUAGUUGUUUAAGGGAUUUACUUUCACACAGUACCAUUAAUUGUUGGAAGAGCUUGACUGCCAAAUUUGUUUAUUUAUUUUUCAGAAAAAAAUUGUUUUACAAAACAAAAAAAGAAUAUGUUAUUAAGGAAGCUCACAUCAGUAGCAUAGACGGUAAAGCAGAGGAUAGCUGCAGCUCCAGCUUACGGUUGAGAGUUGAUGACAUGGCAUGCCAGCUGGCACCUGGUGGUUAUGUAAUCACUUGUACACGUGAUAAUCAGCGGAAGUUGUUAUAGUUAGUUAGAAUUAGCAGUAGUUUGUAAACCAAUCGAGCUGAGCAUCAGCUGUGUAUAUAAACAAUCUCUGUGUGCAUAUUUCAUUCAAUUUUUUUUUGUGAUGAAUAAAAUCGAAUGAUCUAGAUGUUUCCAUUUCUUUAAUUUUCUUUCACUUUCUUAGCUUCCAAACAUCCUUAGAUUGAUUUUCAACUUAUGUAAUGUAGAAUAAAAGAAGAUUAGAUAAUGGGGGGCGUAAUGAACAAUUAAAGAUAAGUUAGCACAACUUAUAAUCUGAUUUGAGUCAUGUGAUUAUGCAGGCCAGAUUUUGAUUAUAAAUCUGAACUUUUGUUCAGAUUUGAGUCAUGGGAUUAUGUAGGCCAUGAUUUUGAUUUGUUACAGUGCCCUUUGCCAUCGCCAAGAGUAUAAACCCAAAGAAAAGAAAAAUAAUAAUAAUAAAUAAAUAAAUAAAAUAAAAUUGCUUGAAGCCUUUAUAAUUAAUAAAGUAAAAGGCUUUAAAAGAAUUGUCCAACCAAUGCUUUAAAUAAAGACAUGAAAUGAAUAUGGAGCCCUUGUAUUACUAAUACUGUCUUGACCGUGCUUCCUUGAGCAUGCGUGGUCCAAUAAUCAUAUAUUUGAAGGAAAACUUGAAAAAAAAAAUAAAAAAGAGAAAAUUUUUACGCUAUUUUAUUUUGAACUAAAAAUAUGUUAAUCAUAUAGAAGUUAUUAGGAGCAGAUGUCCCUAUUUUAUAAAAAUCUAAACCUAAACUAUGAUCGUAGAUGUAUAUCAUAAUAUCGCUACCUUGGAUAAUUUAAAAAUGAUGUCUAAGUAAUGAAGUAAUAACGGAGAUAAAAACUGAUCAACUAUAAAAACAGAUCAACUAACAGUCAAAAUUAUGUUGAUAUAUGCCACCUGGAAUAUCAUAUCAUACCAUUAAAACUCCAACCAGCCCACUAUUAUUACCAGUACUCGACUAACCUGAUGCAUGUGGAAUAUAAAAUUUAGUUUAGAUGAAUUAAAUUAUGUUGGAUUUCUUUAGGUGUUGAAAACUUGUUUAAUUUUUUCUGUACAUACAAUAAUAUCCUUUCGAAAAUUUAAUUAAGAGUAAUUGCCAGAAUUCAACAAAUCACAUCUAUCUUUAAAUUUUCUUUUAAAAAAAGAGAAAAACAAACUAAAAAAAACAAAGAAAAGAAAAAUACACCUUUGUCUGCGCAUGUGAGUGUUCAAGACAUGAAUUAAUGGACUCUUGAAGUAAUUUAUAUUUACUGUCUCUGCUGUUAAUCUAAAACCAAAAACAAAAUAUUGCCAUGAAUUUAGGGCUUAAAUAAUUAUUGCUGUUUUUAAAGAAUAUGAAGGAAUCAAUAUUUAUAUAACCUACAGAACAUGUGAGCUUAGCAAAAAUGGAGGAACGGUGCGAGAUGAAACGAUUUUUUCAUUAAAACAUCAUGCAAUGCUUUAAAUGGAGAUGCACGUUUGAAAUAAAAAAAAAUAAAAACAACAUAAAGAAGGAGGAGGGUUGAUUGUAUGGGGAUUUGUGCUUAUAAUUUAGGCUCGCAUAGCUUCCCUUGAUUGAAGAACAUACGUGCAAGCAAACUCACAAAUGGUAUUGUGCCACUUAGAAAGAGAAGCACAUCAAUCAUAGAACUUCUUUUUUUUUUUUUUUUUUUUGUGAAUCAAUUGUGACGGUGGCUUAGUUCGGCCGCGUUUGUUAUAUCAGGAUAGGGACCAAAUCCUUUUGUUUAUUUCUAAUUUUCGACGUAUAAUGUGUCGCCUUUACCUUUCCCAAGAGACAUAAUUCUACUUUUGGGUUGAUCCGGACCUUUUUCUUUUCUCAUUCCUAAUUUUUAAGCACUUUAACCCUAGUUCACUUUAUGCACAAGUGGAAAUUAACCUCUUUGAAAUUGUGGGUGAGAGAGAUGAUAAUUUUAUUUUUCGAAAUUAAAAUUUGAUUCGACAAAGGUUAUUAAGGAGAAAUAACAAACUUAAAGAGACCGUAACAAAAAAUGACAAAGUGAUACAAGCUCUUAAAAUAAUUAAAAUUAUUUAUUUUAUUUAUUCAAUUUUAUGGUAUUAGUUAAUUUUGAUCUAGUCAAAAGUAGUUACUUGAACUAGUCAAAAGUAGUUACACUUAUUUUGUGGAACUACAUGUAAGUAGUGGAGCAUUAUGUGAGAACAUUCUUAGUGUUACUAAUUUUUAGGUUGUAAUCUUAAAUAAGCUUUAUUCUACAAAGUUUGAUAUUAUUCAACAAAAAGCAUCAUGAGUUUAUUAUUUUGGCAACAUAAAAGUUGUAAUUGGGAGUUUAUUAGUUUUUCGAAUAACCAAUACUUAUUUGGAGGCUUGGGUUUCCUCGAUUUAAACCCAUUUUGUUGGUAAAUUCGGUGGGUGAAGCAGACACACAGCUAAAGUGAAAUUGAGAAAUAAUGAUCACACAGGGACACCAAAAUUUACGUGAUUCGACUUUUAGCCUACGUCCAUGGGCAAAAAUAGAAGGAAAAUUACAAGUAUUGUAAUGUUUUGUCUCACAACCCAAAAUCCAAUUACACCCAAACUCUCAAAAACACUAGAACUAGAGCUCAAAGCUCUAACACUCUUAAUUUACACCUCUUAGCACUCUCACUUGAAUUGGAGAAAAUGGGAUGAAUGGAGAGGACAAAUGAAGCCGCUAAUUAUAGGUCAGGCAAUGCCCAAAAAUCAACAAUGGUGGGCACUAAAAUAAUAUAAAUUUCUCUUAAAUUUCCACUUUGGUGCUUAAGUCAAAAGUUGCAUGCCUCCCACUUACUCAACAAAUUUAUGCCAAGAGUCAAAAGUUGCAUGUUAGCCACAUGCAAUUGUUUGCCACAUGCAUGCACAUGUUCAACACAUUUGUAUCUAAUUUUUCUAUUUCAUUUGAUUUCUUCUUAUAAACAUUAGUGUUUGUAUCAUUUGGUAUAAGAGCUUGGUAAUAAAAAAGGAGUAAAUCCUUACAGUGGAGCAGAGAAUUGAGAGCAUUCAGAUAAUGAUGGAGGGUAUAAUUCUUUAGCAGAAGGAACUUACCAAGAAAUUAUUGUGCAAAAUGGAUGAAAUAUCAAGAACAUGGGAUGCAAGGUUGAACUCAGGUAGCUCUCAUAUCAAACAUGUGAAAGAAAAUUCUACGUCUUUGGUUGAAGUUCAAUGUCUCCAAGAAAGUGAAAAUUUGGCAAAUGCAACGCAUGAUGGAGGUGUUAAACAAUGCAGCAAAGUAGUGCAUCAUUGAAGAAAAUUCCAUAAAUCAACAUUCAAAAGGUUUGUCUUACAAGUCAAAGGUGCAGAGUGUUUAUUUUAAGGACAAAGCCAAAUUGCCUAGCCACCAUGAUGAGAAAUUAUUCAUCGGUAAAGUGCCAAAAAUUGAGAUGAAGAAUAUGGUUGGAUCAAUGGAGGAUUUUCAAAAGAGCUUCAAGGUAUCAUUAUAUCUAAUUAUGAAUUGGAAACGGAAGAGAAAGCAAAUUAUUUCAAAAAAAUCUACCCUUGAGGACAACGGUAUUUUCAAGCGGGACAGAAUGAUACAAACUCUUAAAAUAAUUAAAAUUAUUUAUUUUAUUUUAUGGUAUUAAUUAAUUUUGAACUAGUCAAAAGUAGUUGCACUUAUUUUGUGGAACUACAGGAAAGUAGCGGAGCAUUAUGUGAGAAAAUUACCUAUUAAUAAACCAUAGGUAAUUUUCCAUUUCUAGGUAAUAUAUAUGUUUGUGAAUAGAAUUUUAUUUUAAUUAAAUGAUAAAUAUUAUCUUAAUCACUAACAAAAAAAAAUAUUAAACAUGCAAAUAUACAUAUUAAUUUAGAUUUAUGUGUAAUAAAUAUUGAAAUAUUAUUUAAACUUCACCAACACAUAUUAACAGUGAUCUCUUUUUAUUAUUUAUAAUUGGAACAAUACAAUUUUAAUUUCUUGGCGUUAUAUUUAUUAAUCUACUAACUUUUUGGUGAGAAAGAAAGACUAUUAUUAAAAAUAAUAUUCAAUUAUGUUAGUAUUAAACAAUAGUUUAAAAAUAUAUAUAAUUUUAGAUAGAUUGUAACUUUUUUUUUAAUCUUUAAAUAGAUUGGUCUGAUAGCCUGUUAAUUUUAAAUUAUUAAAAUUAAAAUAUUUCACUAACUGGCUUCUAAUUUUAUAAGCCAUUGAUUAAAUCCAACAAUUCAUAUUUAUGCGACUAUUAAUACUUAACAGCAUCAUAGCAUGACCCUUGUAUUGUAAUUCUUUUUCUUUUUUCUGAAAGUAACUGAAUUAUUGUUUGACCCACAAUUUUAGAAAAUGCCUAAUAAGAAUAUUGAAAUUCCUGAAUUCUUAAUGACCAUAUCUUCAAAACACAGAUAGUGGUUUUGGGUCGGAAUAGAGCUGGCAAAAUUUGACACAACCCGAUUACCCAACACAAAGACGACAUAAAUAAAUGGGUAUGGGUCGUCAAAUUUAACACGAUUAUUAAAUGGGUCGGGUCUAGGUCGACACAAUUUUUUUCCGUGUCGGGUUAGGAUUAAAAUUCUUGACCCAUUUAUCCGAUCAAUGACCCAAUUAUAUUUUCUAUUUUAAAAUAAUUUACAAGUUCUUGUCAUCAAAACUCAAAUAUUAGAGAUGAUUUUCUCUUUUAUUUUUAUUCUUUAAAAGGAUGAAUAUAAACAUAGUGUUUUAUUUAUAAAAUUUUAAAUACAUUUAGAGAUUCAAUAAUGUAAAUGCGUAAAAUAUUGGUAGACAUAUAUAUUUUAUCAAAUUGAUAUAUAAUAUUAUUUACAUACAUAUAAUUAAAACUUCAAUAGUGUAAAUAUGUAAUAUUUUGGUAGAUAUGUAUAUUUUAUAAUAUUGAUAAAUUAUGUAUGUAUGUAUGUAUGUAUGUAUGUAUGUUGUUAAUUUGGGAGCACUGUCUGGUGUUGUAUUUGAUGUAAUGCCAUGGAUAGGCAAAUUCUGACUAGGUGGUCAUCCGCAGGUUUACAUAAAGGCCACCGGAGAAAAGAGUGCUGAGAUGGUGACCGAUGAAGGUGCAAUAUAUAUUACAUCGAAUAGAGGCUAUAACUGGAGAGCAGCUGUUCAAGAGACUGUUUCUGCAACUCUUAACAGGUAAAUUUCUUCUUAAAGAUCUAGUCUUAUUGAUGCUCUUUAAUGAAGGAAUCUAUUGGUGGACUGUGCAGUAGAAAAUAGUUAAAUCCUACUGAUGAAGAAGUUUAUGGUUUACAAAAUUGUUCUAAUUAUUUAUUGUUGGCUAACUUUUGUCUGGCAUUUAGAAAAUGUUGUUGCACUGCAUUUUAUUUGAAAUUACAGCUCAUCAUUUCAAACAAGCAAGAGAUUGACACAGCUUCAUUGUUUCUGCAGAACAGUUUCUAGUGGUAUUAGUGGCGCAAGCUACUACACAGGAACUUUUAAUACUGUUAAUCGCUCUCCAGAUGGAAGCUAUGUUGCUGUAUCAAGCCGUGGUAACUUCUAUCUUACUUGUUUCAAUUACUCAGAUUAAGCAAACAAUCAAGCCACAUUACUAGGUUAUCAAGAAAGCGUAGUCACCAGUUAGGUCCUUCUUCAUACCAAAUUCUGCACCGAAAGGACAAAGCUUAGGUCUCAAGUCAAAGACGUGACUUAUUUUAGUCAUUUGCUUUUUGUUAAACAGAAUUUAGGGGAAGUUAAUUAAUCGAUAACAUGUUCACCACAUGGGGAUUUCUUCUACAACUGCUCAACUGAAAAAGGUUUACGACUGUUGACCAAAUGAUUUUUUUAUGCAUUACUAGUCAUUUAAGGAAUUUAGUUUCGCAUAGUACCAUUAAUUGUUAAGAGUUAUUAGCUAACCCACCGGUAACUUCUAUUGAUGGUAUCACCACAAAGUUUGUUUUAUAAUUAGUUAAAUAGGUAUACGAUGAGCUCGAAAGCAAUUUGUUUUUUUAUUUUUCAGAAAAGAUUGUUUUACUAGAAAAAAUGUAAUAUAGAACAAAAGAAGAUUAGACAAUCGGGGGUGUAAUGAACCCUAAUUAAAGAUAGUUACCAUAGAAUUAACUAAUUAAUGAAGUGAUAAAGGAGAUAAAACUGAUCGACUAACAGUCAAAAUUAUGUUGAUAUAUGCUACCAUCCUUAUAAAAGAAAUGGUAUUUAGUACCAUAUCAUACAAUUUCUUAUAUAAUUUGUUUUUAAAAAUAAAAGUCUAUAAUGAAUUAGAAAUCUCACCCAUGAAACUCCAAUUAUCACCCUGUAUUAUUACUCGUACUCGACUAACCACAGUUGCAAAAAUUCAAAGUCAGUGGUGUUGUGCCAAGGGAGCCAAACAAUUCCCCCCACCACCCCCCACCUUUUUGUACAUUAUAAUCAUAGAUCUCACCUUAAUGGUACAUGUGGAAUAUAAAAUUUAGUUUAGAUUAAUUACGAAUCUCAGCCACACAUGUAAAUUGAUAAAUUACUGUGAAUGUUAGUAUAAUUAUUUUAAUAUUAUUAUAAUGUAAAAUAUAUUCUAUUAUUAUUAAAAGAAUAUGACAGAUUAAUAAUGUUAGAAUAAUUUUUCUAACAUUCAAAAUAUUUUAAAAAUUUUAUCUUAUUUUAUAAAUUAUAUGAUUUUAGGUUUAAUUUAUAUUUAUCAUACAUGUUUAUUUAAAGUCAAUUAUUGAGUUGUUGUAAUUAAGUAUAUAAUAGUUCAAAAAGAGUCUAUGUAACAAUUUAUGAUAUUAAGGGGAUAUGUUUGAUCAUUUAACAAUUUUUAAUUUUUUUUAAAGCAACCUUGCUAAAGUGAGAAAUCCAUUAAAUAAAGAAGAAAGAGAAAAAUAUUUUAGAGGAUAUAGUGAGCCUUACCUGUUAAAAAGUACCACAUCGUUCUAGAAUAAGAAAAUAUACAUAAAAUAUAAUAGAAAAAAGUACAUUAAUGUAAAAUUACCAUCCUAAAUGAAACAAGCCAAUUAACAGAAUCUAUAAUUGGAGAAGCCAUCAGUCUAUAAAGAAAGAAACUUCCGAAUGACCAUAGGAGGAUCUCCCAAAUUCGCAAGACAAUCAGUAACACUGUAAUUCUUCCUAGAAGUGUGAUAACAUUGGAACAACAUGGGAGAAUAAAUUAAGUUUUGCAGUUGAUCAAGGGGCAGGCGAAGACAAUGAACAACAACCAAAUAGCUACAUUCUAACCAAAGCCAAAAACAAAUUAAUUAUAUAAUCGCUCCCCCCGAUUGGUAUGUAGAGGCUUAUAUACCUUGUGGUUUUAGCUCCACGCUUUAUCUUUAUUGAGUUCGAGCAUUUGGAUCAACCCCAUGCGUGUUAUGGGAGUAGAAUUUGUCAUUAUUGUGAGUAGAUCUUUUCUUCCAUGAAGAAAUUAAAAUUUUAGGUGGAUAGCCAUAAGCUUUCAGAUGGGCACUAACAAAGCAAGUCUUUGACGGACUUCUACUUGUGCGACUUCGAAUAGAUUUCUAUUUGGCCGUUCAACAUAAUCAACAAUUACAGUAAACCCCUGCCCUUAAUGUAAGGUUUUAAAAGAGCAGUGUAAUAAUUUAUAAUUACAUCAACAUCGGGGAAAAACAAGUAAUGAGGUAGGGUUUAUCUCAUUUGGGUGGCCUAAAUCCAAUUUUCAUUCAUUUAAGUAUUUAAAUAAUUAAAGAAAGAUUGAGGGGCUAAGUGAAGUUUUACAAUAAAAUUCGGUUUGUAGAACGUGGCUUUAGAAGAGUAAGUGGAAGCGGCUGAAAAAAAGAGAAAAAGUACAGAAAGAAGAGAGAAGAAAAGGAGCAAGUGGCUGACUAUUACAAUUUUGGGGUAAGAUUUUUAAUUUUUGAUUAGACGAUCAGAAGGUGAAAUUAACUCCGUUUUCUCCCAAAUUUUAAGGGUAAGUUCCUAGCAUCGCCCUCUACAAUCUUACUGGUCUUGAUUUUUAUUUUAUUCUCUCUUGACUAUUAUUUGAGAUACUCACUUAUUAGAGAGACAUAUAUUAAGAUGUUACUGUAAGCCAACAAUAUUGAGAUUUUUUUAUGUUGUUAGUCUCUAGUAUUAUCUAGAGAAGAAUUUUUAUUGUAAUUCCAUUAAUAUAGUGGAAGACUAUCAGACUACGGUCCCGUGAUUUUUCCUACUUUGGGUUUUCACGUAAAAAUUUGUGUCUCUUGUGAUUGAUUUAUUGCUUUGGAUUUUGUUGGUUUAUUUUUCUGCCUAUUUAUUUGUGAUACACAUCCUAUUUUAAUCACAUAAAGAGGGAAAUAGUUUUAUUUUCACUUAAUUUACAAUUGUUUGUGUGAGUCCCUUUCCUAAUAAAGUGUCUCGGAGUUUCAGGUUUUGUAUUUUUAUUACUUGUGUGGUUUAGAUGGAGAAGUCCUCGGCGUGCAAGAUUAAAUUAAAGUCAUAGAAUUAUAGUAUUUGAAAGUCUUGGAUUGAAGAUUUGUUGUACAUGAAAGGCUUACAUGAACCCAUUAAAGGCAAAGAAGCUAGACGCACCGAUUUAGAUUAUAAGAAAUGGGCUCAAUUAAACCAGAAAGGUCAUGAGUACUAUUAGAUCAUGGAUUGAUCAGAGUGUGUACCAUCAUGUCGUGAAGGAAUCCAGGGUUGAUGUUCUUUGGAGAAAAUUAGAGAUGAUUUAUGAGCAGCCGAUAGCAUAGAACAAAGCCAAAUUGAUGAAAAUGUUUGUUAAUUUGAAACACAAGAAACGGGGUAGUAUAAUUGAACACACUAGCGAGUUUUAGGGCUUGGUUGAUCAGUUGAUUACUAUGAAAAUUAUGAAAAUUAUAUGAGCUAAUGAGUUACAAGGAUUGUUGUUACUUAGUUCUUUACCUGACAGUUGGAAGAUAUUAGUGGUGUUAGUGAAUAAAUCAAAGCUGAAUAGGAAAUUAACCUUGGAUAUAGUUACAGAUAGGCUGCGGAAUGAAGAAUCUAAAAUAAAUUUUAAAAAAGUGUUGAAUGUUGUGCAAAUUUUAUUGAACUCACAACUGCACGAAUCUAUUGUAGAAUAGAUCAACGGUAAUGAGUGUCGAUCCCACAAGGAGGUGGAUUUUAAUUGCGUGCAGAGUUAAUUUUCUAUGUGGGUGGUUGGAUUUGCAUUGAAAGUGAUUUAGACUGUCCUAAAAUUUAAAUUAGAAAGGCGAGAACAACUUACGAUGAAAACUAUUAAAAUGAAGUGCUUGUGUAACAUAUGUGAAUUAAAAAAUGAAUAAAUAAAAAGAAGCCAUUAAGAAGUUAGUAAAAGCAAAAUAAUAAGCUGGAAACAGGGGAACAUAUGCACGUGUGACAGAGUCAGAGAGAAGCUGUCAAUCCGACCCAAAAACCCGACCCGACCGGCGAACGUGACCCGGCCGUAUCUCCUAUUUUCAGCCACCGUCAUUCCCCUGCCAUUCUCGCCACCGAAAAGCAGCCAGAACGCCGGCGAUCGAAGCUUGAAAACCCGCGAAUGUUUCGCUUUCUUCCGCCGGGAUUUUCGCCGGUUUUGGGUGACACCACCAGUUGGAUUUUGUUCCUCACGACUCCCUCUUCCAUUUCUGACCAUCCAUAGGCACCGGGAGUCAUUGUUUUUCCGUCGGCCAAUUGUUGGAAUUCACGGCUGUCGAGCUAGAUUCCGGCGUCGUUGCCACGCGUUGGAGCUCACCGCCGGUACCAUUGAACUUAGCGUGAUUGGAACUUUCAGACUUGAGCUUCUUAGCCAUCGUUGACAGGCAAGGGCAUUUCGGUAAUUUCACACUAUGAGGGCAAUUUUGUAAUUUAUGAGCUUGUGGAUAUUUUAGUAAUUCCUAGAAUUGAGGAUUGUGUGUAAUUAUGAUUCUGAGGGUAAUUCGGUGAUUUAUAAUUUCAAAAUAUUUUAAUGAUUUACGGACUCGAGGGCAUUUUAGUAAUUUUACCGACACGGGAGUUGUGAAUUAUGGAUAGAUGUUCGUUUCGAGUUUAUUGCAUAAAUUAAGUCCUAAUUCUGAUUUACAGAAAAUAAUUAUGUCGUUUCCUUGAUUUAGGAGGAUCCGCGAGAGAGAACCGAUCCGUGGACGUGGACGAUAACCGAGCGUGAACACCGUUACUGUGAGUGGAAUAUAUAAAACUUAUGUUCAUAGUUGAUUAUAAUAGUAAAGCAUGUUUGCGAAAUAAGUAUUUUAAAUGUUCUGAUUUAAUGAUUUCCUCAAAAUGGAUUUUAUUCACGCAUUGGUGUUUUAUUAAAAUGUUUGGUUAAUGAUUUUGCGUAUCGACUUUGAAUAAGCAUGAUAGUAUUUUAAAGAUAAGAAAAGUGGAUUCAAAUGUAGUAUGAUUUAAAGUAUGGUUAAAAGAUAUGAGAAUAUGAGUAUAGUGAUUGUUUUUGAAAUCAUUAGGCAGUACCCUUCCCACCAGAUAUAGUGAUAUAAAUGAGAUGAGAUGAGAGGUUUUUGGGGCCCGUCUGAAUACACAUAGAGGCUUUGGGUCGUGUGUUUGGGCGCUUUUGCCUUUUGGGGGCAUAUGCAUGCGGUAUGAUGAUUACAGAGAUACAAAUAUGAGAUACAGACAAAUAUUGAGCUACAGAUGAUACAGAUGAGAUACAGGCCUUUGUGGCCCGUCUGAGUACACACAGAGGUUUUAGGUCGUGUGCUUGGGCGCUUUUGUCCUUUGGGGACUAGAUUAUGGAUGCACAUAUAUGAUGAGAUAUGAUGAGAUAUGAGAUGGUAUUUCCCUGUCUAUCCGUGUAGCUCCGGGGCGUGACGGUACCCAGAUAGUACGUCAUUGCCUGUCCGUUGAGGUCCGGAUAUGACGAGAUUAUUUCCUUGGGUACUUGUUUGUGAUGAUUUUCAGAUUUGUGUAUUUUAUAUGAUAUUGUGAUAUGAUUUCCAUAGUUAUUUAGUACGAUAUUAUAUAUGCUUUUCAUGGUUAGUAAUCUGAUUUAAAUGUUAAAUGAUUUAUUACUGGUUUCUCGCAUAUGGUUUGAUGAAAUCGUGUUUGGAAAUGAUAUGAUUAUUUCUUUUAAAGUAAGAAUUAAUUUUCAAAAACUACUAUCCACUCUCGCCGGUUUUGGGUGACACCACCAGUUGGAUUUUGUUCCUCACGACUCCCUCUUCCAUUUCUGACCAUCCAUAGGCACCGGGAGUCAUUGUUUUUCCGUCGGCCAAUUGUUGGAAUUCACGGCUGUCGAGCUAGAUUCCGGCGUCGUUGCCACGCGUUGGAGCUCACCGCCGGUACCAUUGAACUUAGCGUGAUUGGAACUUUCAGACUUGAGCUUCUUAGCCAUCGUUGACAGGCAAGGGCAUUUCGGUAAUUUCACACUAUGAGGGCAAUUUUGUAAUUUAUGAGCUUGUGGAUAUUUUAGUAAUUCCUAGAAUUGAGGAUUGUGUGUAAUUAUGAUUCUGAGGGUAAUUCGGUGAUUUAUAAUUUCAAAAUAUUUUAAUGAUUUACGGACUCGAGGGCAUUUUAGUAAUUUUACCGACACGGGAGUUGUGAAUUAUGGAUAGAUGUUCGUUUCGAGUUUAUUGCAUAAAUUAAGUCCUAAUUCUGAUUUACAGAAAAUAAUUAUGUCGUUUCCUUGAUUUAGGAGGAUCCGCGAGAGAGAACCGAUCCGUGGACGUGGACGAUAACCGAGCGUGAACACCGUUACUGUGAGUGGAAUAUAUAAAACUUAUGUUCAUAGUUGAUUAUAAUAGUAAAGCAUGUUUGCGAAAUAAGUAUUUUAAAUGUUCUGAUUUAAUGAUUUCCUCAAAAUGGAUUUUAUUCACGCAUUGGUGUUUUAUUAAAAUGUUUGGUUAAUGAUUUUGCGUAUCGACUUUGAAUAAGCAUGAUAGUAUUUUAAAGAUAAGAAAAGUGGAUUCAAAUGUAGUAUGAUUUAAAGUAUGGUUAAAAGAUAUGAGAAUAUGAGUAUAGUGAUUGUUUUUGAAAUCAUUAGGCAGUACCCUUCCCACCAGAUAUAGUGAUAUAAAUGAGAUGAGAUGAGAGGUUUUUGGGGCCCGUCUGAAUACACAUAGAGGCUUUGGGUCGUGUGUUUGGGCGCUUUUGCCUUUUGGGGGCAUAUGCAUGCGGUAUGAUGAUUACAGAGAUACAAAUAUGAGAUACAGACAAAUAUUGAGCUACAGAUGAUACAGAUGAGAUACAGGCCUUUGUGGCCCGUCUGAGUACACACAGAGGUUUUAGGUCGUGUGCUUGGGCGCUUUUGUCCUUUGGGGACUAGAUUAUGGAUGCACAUAUAUGAUGAGAUAUGAUGAGAUAUGAGAUGGUAUUUCCCUGUCUAUCCGUGUAGCUCCGGGGCGUGACGGUACCCAGAUAGUACGUCAUUGCCUGUCCGUUGAGGUCCGGAUAUGACGAGAUUAUUUCCUUGGGUACUUGUUUGUGAUGAUUUUCAGAUUUGUGUAUUUUAUAUGAUAUUGUGAUAUGAUUUCCAUAGUUAUUUAGUACGAUAUUAUAUAUGCUUUUCAUGGUUAGUAAUCUGAUUUAAAUGUUAAAUGAUUUAUUACUGGUUUCUCGCAUAUGGUUUGAUGAAAUCGUGUUUGGAAAUGAUAUGAUUAUUUCUUUUAAAGUAAGAAUUAAUUUUCAAAAACUACUAUCCACUCACUGAUCUCACUGAGUUUUAAACUCACCCCAUUUUUAUUAUAUUUUUCCCCUCCCACCAGGAGGUUGCAGGUAUGCCAGAUCGACCCAGCGACUGUAAAUCUAUUUUGAGUCUUGGCCGCGUGAUGAUGUUAGAAGCCGCCUUGGCCGUACAGCCCCCCCACCAGGAGGUUGCAGGUAUACCAGACCGACCCAACGACUGUAAAUAUAUAUUGAGUCUUGGCCACAUGAUGGUGUUAGAAGAUAUAAAUGUUUUUAUUAUGACAUCUUGGUUAUCUCGUUCUUUGGGAUUGUAUAAUUUUGUUAUAUUAUUCUUUUGGGAUUAAGAAUUAACUGAGAUAUUAAUAUUAGUUAUAAUAUUAUCUUUUGAUACUCUUGAGAUAUCUUGAGUGAAACUCAUCAUUUUGGUUGAGGAUGUUGAUCACUGGAGUUUGUUGUAUAUUGAAUUAUAUUGGGAGUGCUUGUUUUACAUAUUUUCAGAUUGGGAGUGUUAUAUAUAUAUAUAUAUAUAGAAGCCUCUGCCGAAUUUUCGGCAGAAUCCUUACUAAUUAGAUUAUUAUCAAGUCCGUUUUGAUGAGACUAGAUUGUCUCACCCGGGGGGAUUCGGGGCGGGUCAUUUCAGCUUGGGUUUAUGGAUCUGCACUCAACAUGCAUUACGGGCUUAAUAUUCUUUAUUAGUGCCAAUUAAAUCAUGAGGGAGGGUUUCCACUCUUCAUGAACCUCACUCCAACAAAUAUGGUGCUAAGUGCUUAUCGUGCCAAAUAGUAAUAACCUUGCAUUGGGAAGACAGUUAUACCAGUGUAAUAUUUAGACAAUAUUAUUAUUAUUUGUUGAUAAAAAGUCAAAUCAUCCACAAAAAUUAAAGGGGAAGAGAAAGUAAAUUUGCCAAAUUAAGCCCAUGGAACAUGUUGAGACUUCAUCUUCAACCCAAGCUUGAAAGAAAAUUAGCUACUCAUAAUUAACCUAGGGGUAAAAUAGAAAUUUAUUAAAAUAUGUAGAAAAUACAAGACAUAGAAGGAAUUAUAGAAAAUGAGCUCAAAAAUGGAUUCAGGGGUGUCAAAUUAGGGGGGGAGCCCCCUAUUUAUAGAUACAAUAAGUAAAUCACAGUCAUUGGAUUAAAACAAUUUGGACGCUCAGGAUUGUGACAUGUGACAAGUUCUGAUUGGAUAGAACACAUCAUCUGGGCUAUCAUUCCGUGUAUAUGCAUGUAUCAUACGCACAUUUUUCGGUCCACUAACAUACUGCCACAUCAUCAGUCAAUGCCACAUUAACAUUUUAGUUCAAUAGGAUCGUGAAACAUUAUUGGUCAAGCCACGUCAUCAGUCAACACCACUCAAUGCCACAUCAUUCGUCCAAUCGAAUGUUGCCACGUCAUCGAUCAAUGCCACAUCAUCGGUCAACGUCAACAGUCAAUGCCACGUCAUCAUACUGUAUAUGUGAAUAGUAUUGUGAACAGUAUAAUGAAUAGUACCGUAUAUGUGAACAAUGUCGUUUAUCCUUUUAUACUCUUCCUAAGGUUUUUCGACUGUCCUGAGUUCAAAAUUGCUGUCCAUUUUGCUAUCUGAUCUCUCGUUCACUGUGAAAUGACUAUGAUGCCCCAUAAAAUACAUAAAAUACUUAAUUAUAAUAAAACACACAUAAUUAAAUCACAAGGGACUUAAAUACAUAAAAGUAGAGAUGUUAGAGAGACAUAUAUUAGGCUAUUACUGCAGCCAAAAAUAUUGAGAUUGUUGAUGUUGUUAGCCUUCAAUAUUAUUUAGAGAAAAACUUGUAUUGUAAUCUCAUUAAUAUAGUGGAAGAUUGUAUUGGACUAUGGCCCCGUACUCUUUCUUGCUUUGGGUUUUCCACGUAAAAAUUUGUGUCUUUUGUAGUUGAUUUAUUAUUUUAGAUUCAGUUGAUUGAUUUUUUUUUUUUGCCUAUUAUUUAUGGUACACAUCCUAUUUUAAUAACACAAAGAGGAAAAGAGUUUUAUUUCCGCUUAAUUUGCAAUUGCUUGUGUGAGUCCUUUUCCCAACAAAUUCUUUAAGAAUUAAACUACUCAGUUCAGUUUCUGAUUGAUGUAGGACGGUUUAGUAGGAUAACCAGGGUACUUUUCAGAGUCAUAACUUAGGCUACAAUUGUUCAUUUUUUUUUCAUAUAAUAUAUCAUUUCGAAACUUGUGACAAGAUGCCGUCGAACCAAUAAUUUUGUUUCUUUCCCAAUCUUUUUUCAAUUUUAAAAUAUUUUCCUAUUUUUUCUAUUACUUUCAAGAUUUUUAUCUCUUUUCAAAUAUCAUAUUUAAGUGCUUUUUGUUUUGGUUUCCUUAUUUAGAUUACAAGAAUUUUAUUAUAAAAUAAUAUUUUAAAUUUGUCUAUUUCGAUAAAUUAGCGAUAUUCAAGAUUAUUAUAAAAGGGGCCAAAAAAUUUGAUUUUGUUCGUUCAAACUUUUCCUAAUAAAAUUUCGUUAUUCAAAAAUCUAGUUUCUCUUAUCUUUCAAUCUUUAUAUUUCUACAUCGUCAGAGGCCUAUUAACUAAAGACUUUCCUUUAGAGGUAACUCCAUUAUUUUAUGGUAAACUAUAAGCCUCACAAUAUACUUGUGAUUUCUCGAAUUCCACUGUGUGUGCUGGUCAGUACUCGAUCAAUCACUUGCUAUCCGUACCAAACAAAAAUUGUAUUAAACAGGGGAUCACCAAAAACUUGGCAAUUCACCCAUGCAUGUAGCCCUCGGUACACUAAUAAAAGCAUGAAUAAUUGCAGUCGUUGUCUUUGUGAUGAGUGUACAUUGUGACAUUAACUCGUGUUAACAGUACUUCUAAGCACGUCUGUGUCCAUGGCCCAUUAAUUGGGCUCAUUAUAUAUUAAUAUUAAUUCCUUUAUAUCCUUGUAAGAACUCAUAUAUAUCGAAAUGAGCGACAUGGCAGAAGUAUCAUGAUUAAAUCCUGAAGAUCAAUCCGCAUUAUUUGUUUUCUUUUUUUCAUUGGGAAAUCUUCGUAGAGGAGCGGAAAUCGGUCUAAAGGAUAGUAUUUUGUGCACGCCUUGACAAAUUUUGUAGUUGUUGGUGGAUGAACAGUAUUGUAAAUAGUAUCUGAUAAACAAUAUCUGUGAACAGUGACAUAAACAGUAUCAAUAGCUACUACUUAUGGAGUUCUUUUCCAUGUUGAAAUUGAUGUUUCGGCAGGUUUUGAAAUUCAAAGAAGCAAUAUUAAUUCGUAUUUCCAACACCAAAAACUUGGUAAUGCACCAUGCAUGUAGCCCUUGGUAAAUCAAUUAAAGCACGAAUAAUUGCAGCUUUCGUCUGUGCGAUGAGUGUACAUUGAUGACAUUAACUCGUGCUAAAAGUACUUCUAAAUACGUCUGUGGCCAGUGCCCAUGAAUUGGCUCAUUGUAUAUUAAUAUUGAUCCCUUUAUAUCCUUAUGAGAACCAAGAAACAUCAUUUAUUAAAAUGAGCGAUGUGGCAACAUAGCUAACCCAAUAAAAUAUGAUAUAAUUAUUUCCUUAAUUUUCUGUAAAAUAGUAAAAACAACGAACAAUCAUUGAAAUUGAAAUUGAAAUUAAUUGAGGUAAUUACUAUGUUAUUGUGCUAAAAAUGUCCUACAUACCUUUUUACCAUGAAGAUUUUAGAAUACGUCUCUUGCUGUCGUAAAACAAUGUCUAAAACAUAUAUUAUUGCAACAAUUAAACUUUCUAAUUAUUGCAACAUCUCUUGCUGUCGUAAAACAAUGUCUAAAACAUAUAUUAUUGCAACAAUUAAACUUUCUAUUUUAUCAUUACACGACCAUUUUCAGAAUAAAUAAAAACUGCUUUCUAUCAUUAAACUCACUUGCUUUCAAUCAUUAAACUCACUUGGCUUGCUGUGCUGUGACUGAUUAACUGGUAAGCUAACUCGCAAAUGAUAUUUUGCCACAUGUCUAUAUUGCGUAAUGGUAUGGGGUUGGGGGUGGGGGUGGCCCCGGUGGGGAAACUCUUUUCUUAAAAGUUUAUUCAUUUUUUAUACUAAUCCAUUACAAGCAACAAUUAUGACGGCGAUGUAAUUGAUUAAUUACUAUGGAAUGCUUUCAGCAGAAAGGAGUGAAAAGCAAUUAAGUAAUGAACAUAUAGAGACUGGAGGGCCUUUUUCUUCUUCUUCAUCCUUUUUUUUUUUUUCUUUUUUCUCCCUCUGUUGAAACUGUUAUUAUAAUUAAAAAGAACCGCCGAUUACUUCUCCAUUUUUCGCUCCACAUAUGAAGUCCUAGCCUCCGAGUCAUGUUACAGUUUCUAAAAUUUUAAAGUGUUUGUUGUAACUUUUCGCAGAGUGUCACAAUCCUUUUUCUAUUUAUUAAAUAUCUUAAUUGAAUUUGUUACACACAUAUUAUUCUUGCUAAAAAGACCAAAUAACAAUACAAUAAAAUUGCAUCCAUCACGCCAUGCCCAUUGCCCUGAAAGAGUCAGUAGUACAGACAAAACCCAUAAAACCAGCGAAACUUGAUAGCGUAAUUAAUAAUUUUAACAACAUAUAACAGGGAACUUAGAGGAUACUGCUGUACCGUACAUCCGCCUUGGCCGUACAGCAGAUUACUGUGAAUGUUAGUAUAAUUAUUUUAAUAUUAUUAUAAUGUAAAAUAUAUUUUAUUAUUAUUAAAAGAAUAUGACAGAUUAAUAAUGUUAGAAUAAUUUUUCUAACAUUCAAAAUAUUUUAAAAAUUUUAUCUUAUUUUAUAAAUUAUAUGAAUUUAGGUUUAAUUUAUAUUUAUCAUACAUGUUUAUUUAAAGUCAAUUAUUGAGUUGUUGUAAUUAAGUAUAUAAUAGUUCAAAAAGAGUCUAUGUAACAAUUUAUGAUAUUAAGGGGAUAUGUUUGAUCAUUUAACAAUUUUUAAUUUUUUUUAAAGCAACCUUGCUAAAGUGAGAAAUCUAUUAAAUAAAGAAGAAAGAGAAAAAUAUUUUAGAGGAUAUAGUGAGCCUUACCUCUUAAAAAGUACCACAUCGUUCUAGAAUAAGAAAAUAUACAUAAAAUAUAAUAGAAAAAAGUACAUUAAUGUAAAAUUACCAUCCUAAAUGAAACAAGCCAAUUAACAGAAUCUAUAAUUGGAGAAGCCAUCAGUCUAUAAAGAAAGAAACUUCCGAAUGACCAUAGGAGGAUCUCCCAAAUUCGCAAGACAAUCAGUAACACUGUAAUUCUUCCUAGAAGUGUGAUAACAUUGGAACAACAUGGGAGAAUAAAUUAAGUUUUGCAGUUGAUCAAGGGGCAGGCGAAGACAAUGAACAACAACCAAAUAGCUACAUUCUAACCAAAGCCAAAAACAAAUUAAUUUAUAAUUAAAAAGAACCGCCGAUUACUUCUCCAUUUUUCGCUCCACAUAUUAAAGAAGUCCCAGCCUCCGAGUCAUGUUGCAACAGUUUCUAAAAUUUUAAAGUGUUUGUUGUAACUUUUCGCAGAGUGUCACAAUCCUUUUUCUAUUUAUUAAAUAUCUUAAUUGAAUUUGUUACACACAUAUUAUUCUUGCUAAAAAGACCAAAUAACAAUACAAUAAAAUUGCAUCCAUCACGCCAUGCCCAUUGCCCUGAAAGAGUCAGUAGUACAGACAAAACCCAUAAAACCAGCGAAACUUGAUAGCGUAAUUAAUAAUUUUAACAACAUAUAACAGGGAACUUAGAGGAUAUGCUUAUGCAGAUUCAAAUAACGAAAAAGUUUUAAAAAAUUAGAAAAUUAACAAUAAUAACAUGACAGUAAUAUAACAAUGCCACGUAUGUUUGUGAGAAUUUAUACUGGUGGUCUUACUCAGUUAAUAAGAUAUUUAACGAACUAAUAUAUAACUCUUUUAAUAAUUACAGCUUUUUAAUGAUUAGUUGUGUAUAUGCUACAUUCUUUGAUAUAGCAAUUUGAAAUUUAGCUGUUGCCACAAAAUGUUAAUCUCUAGUGAUUUUUUGGCAUGAUGGACAAAACCAAAAUUAUGGAAAGGCUGCAAUUUGAAGCAACGAUCACAAAUAGUUCACAAAUGAAUAGAUUGAUCCACAUGAAUUGAGGAAACAAAAUGUCAAAACGAAGAAUAGGUUGCCAUUUCAAGCAAUAAGGGGAAAUAGUUCAGAAAUGUGUUCCACGGGAAUUGCCUGAUCUUGUGCUUAAAGCAAACAUAAGGGCAUAAUUUUAUAUAGCAACCGACAAUCACAAUUUUGAACGCUAGAAUUGGGACUGGAGAUGACUGUGUAUCAGUUGGCCCUGGCACCACCAAUUUAUGGAUUGAAAACGUUGUUUGUGGCCCUGGCCAUGGCAUCAGGUAGAAAAUAAAGAACAUGCAUGAUGAUUUAUUUAUAGCAUUUUUUUUUAUGUCAUAAUAUUUAGUGCUACUAUUGUGAAUUCGUUGCAGCAUUGGUAGCUUAGGCAAAGAGCUGCAUGAGGCUGGAGUGCAAAAUGUGACAGUAAAAAUUGUGACAUUUACAGGAACUGAAAAUGGAUUGAGGAUUAAGUCCUGGGGAAGACCAAGCACUGGAUUUGCUCGGAACAUUCUUUUCCAACAUGCUCUUAUGAAGAAUGUCGAUAAUCCCAUCGUAAUUGAUCAAAAUUACUGCCCCGACAACAAGAAUUGCCCUGGAAAGGUAUUUUAUUUAUCACAAGUUUGUAUGUGAGAAUGUUAGACGUUUAUGUGAAUAAAAUUCAAAUUAAUAAUUAUAUUUUUUAUAUUCAACAGUCAUCAGGGGUUAAAAUCAGUGAUGUAACAUACCAAGAUAUUCAUGGAGCAUCUACAACGGAAAUUGCUGUAAAGUUUGAUUGUAGUCCAAAGUAUCCAUGCUCUGGCAUAAACUUGGAGGAUGUGAAGCUCAUUUACAAGAAUCAACCAGCUGAAGCAUCGUGUAGGAAUGCUGAUGGAUCGGCCUCUGGUUUUGUUCAGCCAAAUAGUUGCUUGAAAUUGUGAAAAAUAAAAUUAAUUCUUGCGUUAAAUUGCGUUUUUUUUUUUUUUUUUCAUUUCCUUUUUAAUGAGCCUAGGAAUGUUCCAUGGGCCUAUCUGAGAAAACCCAUUGGGCUUCUUGGAGGAUGCUUACACUAAUUGCCGUAUAAGACAAAAUCAAAACUUCACUCUUUUGUACUCAAAGAAAUGGAGUCAUAUAUUUUGGGUAACAUUAUCUUAUUGCAGUACUAAUGUUUGUUCCGAAAUUCUGCCUAUUGAAACUAUUAAAAUUAACAUUUUCUAUUAAAAUCAAAUUGAAAUCGGGGAACGGCCUUUCACCACCAACUCUGUUUGGGCCAUAGCCCAUUGCCCGGGUUGAGAGAUGGCUAUCGCCCAACCAUCGCUCGAAAAAAAAUAAAAAAAUCAAUGAAUUCGAUUUAAUGGAUUUUAUGGUAAAAAUUAUUUUUCAUCUUAUUGUCGAGUCUGAUAUAUAAUGUUACUUUUGUACGUUAUUUUUUUUUAAAUCGUAAAGUUAAAUGAUUAAAUAAUAAGUAACGUCGUGGUGAAUAUGAAAAGUAUUAAAGAACAAAAGAAAUUCUCCUUUCCAAUCAAAUAUCCUUUUUCUUUUACCUUAGUAAUAUAUCAUUCAUUCAUAAUAUACAUGGGUAUGAUCGAAUAAGAAAUUAAUAUGAAACAACUGUCAAAAAUGAUAGGUAGCAUAUAAUUUAAACUGCAAGAUAUUUAAGAAGUGCAGUAAAUAUAUAAGAAUUAUGUAUCCUUCAGUGGCACAUAAUUUAAUUACUUAUUUAAGAAUUUAGAAGUAAUGUAUGUGUGGUAAAAUAGUAUUUAAAAUAUAAGCACAAUUAAAAUCAGCGUACUGGAUUUAAAUUUCAUGGAAACAGAGAAAUCUAAGAUCUAUCUAAGAAUUUGUUUUUUAACUAAAGUUACUAAUUAAGUAAACCAACAAUUGUUUUAUUUUUAAUACAUAGUUUAAUAAUUAUUAAAGUAAAUAAUAUGUUUUCUUAAUCUAAUUUCUCCACCGUUUCUCAUUUUCUCCGGACUCUUCAAAUCGCCCUCUUUUGCUUUAGUUUGAAAAAAUCCGGUCAUACUUUUAGUCAAGAUUAGGUGGCAAGCUAGCAGUCAUCAAGCACAAGUAAAACAACGUACCAUACUACACCAUGAAAAAUGAAACAGAAACAACAACAACAAUAAUAAUAAUAAUAAGAGGAAUAAAAUAAAACGAAAUAUAAAAUAUACCAACUCGAGCCACAAUAAACUUUCUGUUUGAUCAUUACACGAUCAUUUUCAACAUAAAUAAAAGCUUAAGAAAGGAGGGAAAUUAUUAGCCAUCCACUAAAAAUAUUUCGUUAUUAAAAAUACUACAAAAGCUUGAAUUUAUUUGAUUUAACUCUUCUUGUUUCUAGUUUGUAUCAGUUAUCCACUAAAAUGUUAAGUUAUUAUAAUUGAUGGCAUCACAACGAUAAUUUAAAGAUUUAACAUACUAAAUUCAUAAAUGAAAUAAUAUUUUAAGAUAUAAAAAUUAAAAUAAAAACUAUUUUUAUCUAAUCCUUCAUACUUCAUAUACCUCAAAUGACACAUUAUAACAUAAAAUAAACAUUUUAUUGCAAAUCAAAGAAUAAAAUCAACGAUGAACAAGAAUAAAAACAAUUAGACCUAACUUCAUCUUCUUCUAAUUAUGAAGGAUUUGGUAAGAACGAAGGACAGCCCCAGAAAUUCCAGCAUCAAACAUUCAUCGAAGUGGGGCAUGUUCAUCAUAGCCACUGCUGCUGCUGCCCGUCACUGCCUAUUCUGUCGGCCUUACGGACAGUUGCGACCUCCCAAAGACUCCUGAAUGGCCGGCCUUCAAAGUCCAAGGCAAGUUAUUCCUAAUGAGAUUUAGUUGAUGAAUCGUGAAAAAUUAUUUUAUUGAUAUCCUUUGAUUGUAAUUAUAAAAUUUUAUUUUAUUAAGAGUCAUUACUUCUGCUGUACGGCCAAUAAAAUUUUAUUUUAUUAAGAGUCAUUACUUUUGUUAUGAUAAUUAAUAGUGACAAUAAAUAAAAUAUUGCCUCCAAUAAUAUUUACGUGGGAAAAAAAUGAAAGAAAAUCAUUUGUAUUUUUAGAUUUUUAUUGACAUGGUAGGAAAUUAUCUCAGCCUUAUAAAAUUUAACUUUCACAAGCUUGUUUUCAUUUUAUUUUCAAAUGUCACUUUGUUAAUUUCAUAAAAGUUAAAUCUAACAUAUAUUCCUAAUUAACUUUAGUUUAUGAAUCAUUAAAGAUUAUUUUAUUGUUAUUCUUUGAUAGUAAUUAUAAAAUUUUUAUGCUACGAAGAGUCAUUACUUUUAUUAUGAUAAUUAAUAGUGACAAUAAAUAAAAUAUUACAUCAAAUAAUAUUUAAUGGACAAAAUGAGGAAAAAAAAUCAUUGUAUGUUUUUAUAUUUACAUUAUAAAGAUUAAAAUUUUAGCACAAUAGUUGAUCCACUAAUAUCUCAUAGUCUAAUGGUUGAUAUUGAAAGUCAAAGCAACAUUUCAUAAUGUUAUAUCCUCCACCAUUGAAUUGCAUGAAAUAAAUAGUNNNNNNNNNNNNNNNNNNNNNNNNNNNNNNNNNNNNNNNNNNNNNNNNNNNNNNNNNNNNNNNNNNNNNNNNNNNNNNNNNNNNNNNNNNNNNNNNNNNNNNNNNNNNNNNNNNNNNNNNNNNNNNNNNNNNNNNNNNNNNNNNNNNNNNNNNNNNNNNNNNNNNNNNNNNNNNNNNNNNNNNNNNNNNNNNNNNNNNNNNNNNNNNNNNNNNNNNNNNNNNNNNNNNNNNNNNNNNNNNNNNNNNNNNNNNNNNNNNNNNNNNNNNNNNNNNNNNNNNNNNNNNNNNNNNNNNNNNNNNNNNNNNNNNNNNNNNNNNNNNNNNNNNNNNNNNNNNNNNNNNNNNNNNNNNNNNNNNNNNNNNNNNNNNNNNNNNNNNNNNNNNNNNNNNNNNNNNNNNNNNNNNNNNNNNNNNNNNNNNNNNUAAAAUAUAACAACUACGUAAGCAUAAAGACCAACUCGAGCCACAAUAAACUUUCUGUUUGAUCAUUACACGAUCAUUUUCAACAUAAAUAAAAGCUUAAGAAAGGAGGGAAAUUAUUAGCCAUCCACUAAAAAUAUUUCGUUAUUAAAAAUACUACAAAAGCUUGAAUUUAUUUGAUUUAACUCUUCUUGUUUCUAGUUUGUAUCAGUUAUCCACUAAAAUGUUAAGUUAUUAUAAUUGAUGGCAUCACAACGAUAAUUUAAAGAUUUAACAUACUAAAUUCAUAAAUGAAAUAAUAUUUUAAGAUAUAAAAAUUAAAAUAAAAACUAUUUUUAUCUAAUCCUUCAUUCUUCAUAUACCUCAAAUGACACAUUAUAACAUAAAAUAAACUUUUUAUUGCAAAUCAAAGAAUAAAAUCAACGAUGAACAAGAAUAAUAAGUAAAAUGUUUUUUAAUCGUAAAGUUAAAUGAUUAAAUAAUAAGUAACGUCGCGGUGAAUAUGAAAAGUAUUAAAGAACAAAAGAAAUUCUCCUUUCCAAUCAAAUAUCCUUUUUCUUUUAUCUUAGUAAUAUAUCAUUCAUUCAUCAUAUACAUGGGUAUGAUCGAAUAAGAAAUUAAUAUGAAACAACUGUCAAAAAUGAUAGGUAGCAUAUAAUUUAAACUGCAAGAUAUUUAAGAAGUGCAGUAAAUAUAUAAGAAUUAUGUAUCCUUCAGUGGCACAUAAUUUAAUUACUUAUUUAAGAAUUUAGAAGUAAUGUAUGUUUGGUAACAUAGUAUUUAAAAAAUAAGCACAAUUAAAAUCAGCGUACUGGAUUUAAAUUUCAUGCAAACAGAGAAAUCUAAGAUCUAUCUAAGAAUUUGUUUUUUAACUAAAGUUACUAAUUAAGUAAACCAACAAUUGUUUUAUUUUUAAUACAUAGUUUAAUAAUUAUUAAAGUAAAUAAUAUGUUUUCUUAAUCUAGUUUCUCCACCGUUUCUCAUUUUCUCCGGACUCUUCAAUUCGUCCUCUUUUUGCUUUAGUUUGAAAAAAUCCGGUCAUACUUUUAGUCAAGAUUAGGUGGCAAGCUAGCAGUCAUCAAGCACAAGUAAAACAACGUACCAUACUACACCAUGAAAAAUGAAACAGAAACAACAACAACAAUAAUAAUAAGAGGAAUAAAAUAAAACGAAAUAUAAAAUAUAACAACUACGUAAGCAUAAAGACCAACUUGAGCCACAAUAAACUUUCUAUUUGAUCAUUACACGACCAUUUUCAGCAUAAAUAAAAGCUUAAGAAAGGAGGGAAAUUAUUUGCCAUCCACUAAAAAUAUUUCGUUAUUAAAAAUACUACAAAAGCUUGAAUUUAUUUGAUUUAACUCUUCUUGUUUCUAGUUUGUAUCAGUUAUCCACUAAAAUGUUAAGUUAUUAUAAUUGAUGGCAUCACAACGAUAAUUUAAAGAUUUAACAUACUAAAUUCAUAAAUGAAAUAAUAUUUUAAGAUAUAAAAAUUAAAAUAAAAACUAUUUUUAUCUAAUCCUUCAUACUUCAUAUACCUCAAAUGACACAUUAUAACAUAAAAUAAACAUUUUAUUGCAAAUCAAAGAAUAAAAUCAACGAUGAACAAGAAUAAAAACAAUUAGACCUAACUUCAUCUUCUUCUAAUUAUGAAGGAUUUGGUAAGAACGAAGGACAGCCCCAGAAAUUCCAGCAUCAAACAUUCAUCGAAGUGGGGCAUGUUCAUCAUAGCCACUGCUGCUGCUGCCCGUCACUGCCUAUUCUGUCGGCCUUACGGACAGUUGCGACCUCCCAAAGACUCCUGAAUGGCCGGCCUUCAAAGUCCAAGGCAAGUUAUUGUCAAUUAUCACAAGUGGUUGAAGGAUUUGGUGGGAAAGGAUAUUGGCAAAUGAAGGAUUUGACACAAAUUGUAUAUUUAUUUCGUGAAUACUAAAAUUUAGAGAGAUAUGACAAGGAAGAAGAUGGCAAGAUGUUUUACAUUUUAUUUUUGUUUUUAAUUUAAUUAAGUUAAAAAUGGUAAAAUAGUCAUUUUGCUUAGAUCAUCUUAAGUACUCUAGCAGAGUUAAUAUUUUUGUGGACGGUUGAUAUAAAUUGAAAACAAUGAGUGUAAAAUUGAACAAAUUUAAACUUUUUUGGUAUUUUUGAUAACGAAAUAUUCUUUGGAUGGAUGAUUGAUAAUUUUCCAAAAAAAGAAUAUAUGUGUUAUGUGUCCUAAAAUAAGUUUAUAUAACUAUUUCUUAAAAUUUGAGGAAGUGUAUGCUAAAUCUUUUAAUUUCGCCAGACCACGCAAUGUCACAUGUUCUUUUCCCUAAUAAACAAAAUAUUUAUUUAAAAAAAUCAAUUAAACAUAGACACAUACAAUAUGAGACACAAACCUAAGACCUAGAUCUUGGUAAGGUUGCCUACUAACCAGAGGAGCUAGACCUUAGUAUGUAAUAAUGAAAACAUGUUAAUUGAAUCUGUUACACACACACACACACAUGGGCGGACCCAAUUAAGGCCCAGGAGGGCCUUCAGCCCCCCCUGGGCCAUUAAGUUUUCUUUUAAAUGUACCCCAAACUCUUUCUGAAAAAGUUAGAUAAAAAACUUUGGACACAUUUGUUAUAUAUUAAAUGACUUGUAGUUCAAUGGUAAGAGUGUUAUUUAAUGGUUUCAAAACCUUGGUUCAAAUCCCAUUAGCCACAUUAUUUUUUUUUUAAAAUAUUUUGUGGAAACUACUUUGGAAAAUGAUAUUUUCACGCAUUUAAAAUACUACUUCAAAAAAUGAUAUUUUCAUGCAUUUAAAAAUAAUAAUUUAUUACUAUUAUUAUUUAGAAUUUAAAAAAGUAAUAAAAUUUGAGUUUAUAAGACUUAAUAUGUAUUCAAGUGAACAUUAAAAAAAUCUAAGUUAAAUUAAUUUUUUUGAACUAAGCCCCUCGUCAUUUUAGUUUCUGGGUCUGCCACUGCACACACACACACAUAUUCUUGCUAAAAAUGCAACAAACUAACAACACAAUAAAAUUAUACCCAUCAUGUAAUCCAGGGUUGGCUUUAAGGGAUUCAGGGCCUUAGGCGAAUUUCUUUUUAGGUAUUUGUACAUUGAACAACAUCAACUUUUGAAGGAUAUAUAAAAUAACUUAAAAUCUAAAUUCUUUUGGAUUACACAAGCCCUAUACCAAUAUAAAAAUUAAAAAUAAAUUAAAUUGGUAAAAGAAAAGAAUAAUAAUAAUUUAAAAAAAAAGAAGAAUAGCACAUAGAAGUUGUCCAGUUGAGAUGAAUAUGAUGAUUAGUUGAUAGCAAUAUAUUUCUUAGAGAAUAAUUUUCUUUGUAGAGAAGAGAGAAAGAAAUAUUUUAGCUAAGAUUAUUGUUGAUUCAAUGUCUAUUGGUUUUGAGGUUUUUAAUAGGGUUUAAAGGAAACAUAAAAGUCAAAUCUAAUGCUGGUAAUUUUAAUAGAGUAUUCUUUUCGAAAAGUGAAAGUAUUUAUUUUUUUCCUUGGAAACGUUAAUAAAAUAAAUAAUUAACUGUAAAACUAUUAAUCCUACCACAUGUGAAGAUUAUCAAAUAUACAAUUUUUAUUGAGAAAACAAAUCUUAUUUUUGGAUAAUUAUAAAUGGGAGUAAUAAUAGGAACACAUCUAAAAGUUAGGCUUUCUUAUAUACAUAACUUAAAUAAAAUCUUUGAAAUCUUAGAAGGAUAAUUAUUUAUUAGCGUAUUAAUUAAACAAAUGUCAAAUAUUGGGCCUCUCUAAAAUUUGGGGCCUUAGGAGACCACCUAAUGGGCUUAGUGCUAAAGCCGUCUCCAAUGCAUGCCCUAAAAGAGUCAAGAGUACAAACAAAACCAAUAAAACCAACAAAACUUGAUAGUGAAAUUAAUAAUUUUCCACAAUUUAUGAUAGGAAACUUAGAGCAGAUGUUCACAUAGAUUUAAAUUCAAUCAUAAAAAACUGAUAUGAGUUAUAAACAGUGAAAAGGUUUUUUUUUUAAAAAAAAAAUCGAAAUUCGAAAUUAAUAACACGGAGUAAGAUAACAAUGUCACAUAUGUUUGUGAGAAUUUAUAAUUUAUGUGCUGCAUACAUGCCUCUUCUGAUAAACACAAAUUCUUGAUGAUUAGUUGUGUCUAUGCCAUGUAUAUUCUUUUAAAUAUAAGAAUCUGUUAUGAAUUUACAUGUUCAUUUGCAUAUUUAUAUAAAUGAUUUAUAACGAAAGAAAAAAGCAUGCAACAAAGAAACGAGAAAUCAAGGCAUUGCCAGAAUUAUGGUAUCGAAAUAUUGUGAAAUUUUAUGGCCUCUGUUCACAUUGCGGCACUCGUAUUUAGUCUAAAUAUAUUGAAACGGGUAGUGUGACCACAAUUCUAAGCAAUGAUGCAACAAUAGAAGAAUUCAUGAGCUGGACUGUGAGAAUGUAUAUGAUGAAAGGUGUAACUAAUGCCUUGACUUAUAUGCAUCAUGACUGCUUCCCACCAAUUAUCCAUCGAGACUUAUCAAGCAAGAAUGUGUUGCUGGUUUAGAUUAUGAAGCUCUGUUUGAAUCGCAAAAUUCCUCAAGCCAGAUUCGUCCAAUUGGACUCAAUUUGGGGGCCAUUUGGAUAUGUUGUUCCAGGUAUGCGUUCUUAAAUAAACUCAGUGAUCACUUUUACAUUAAUAGGCGUCAUAUCCAAAUGAUGAUUUUGAUCAUUCACUUUUGCUGAGCUUGCCAACACAAUGAUGGUUACCAAAAAAUGCAAUGUGUAUAGCUUUGGAGUACUGGCAUUAGAAGUGAUAAAGGAAAAUCAUCCAAGAGAUUUUAUUUCUUCAAUUUCGUCAUCAUCUUUCAUCAGGAGCAUAUCACUUAAUGAAAUUUUGGACCCUCGGCUUUCAACAGCAUCAUGAAAUGUUCAAGACACGCUGAUAUCAAUCAUGGAGGUUGUCUUUUUACGAUUAGAUGUGAGUCCAAAAUCAGGACCCACAAUGCACACAAUGUGUCAAUCAUCGUUUUUAUUUUCUUUUUUCUUUUGUAUUUUUUUUUCAUUUUUCGUUUUUGCUGAAUUAAACAUGACUUUUGAAACUUAUGAUGUUAGAAACCCCAUGCCUUAACAUUAAGAAACAGAAAUUGGAAAAUAGAGGUUGUCAUAAGAUAAAUUAAUAUUCAUUAACAUUAUGAGUUUCUACGUGCGAAAAGAGACGGCAAUACUUUCGGCGCAUUGUAAGAGCUGCCACUAGCAAGCCCAAUGGGCGUAGUUUUACAAAAUCGAACAACCUUAGUACUAAGUAUAUUGAACGGCUUCUUAUGCCCUUUUUUUGUUCAUUUUCUUUUUAAUUCUGCGUACUACUAACUAUAUAAUCAUGAUCGGCUUCCUAUGCCUUUUUUUUCCUACUCAAAUACUUUUCACAACUCCAAGUCUUCAAGUCUUCAAGCAACUAUUUGGCAGAAUAAAUCCAGAGGCCGAUCCAUCAGCGUUGGCGCAGGAAGCUUCAGCUGGUUGAUUCUUGUAAAUGAGCUUCACAUCCUCCAAGCUAAUUCCAGUGCAUGGAUUCUUCGAACUGCAAUCGAGCUUUACUCCAACUUCCGUUGCCGAAGUUCCAUGAAUAUCUUGAUAUAUAACAUCACUGAUUUUAACCCCUGAAGCCUAUUGAACAAGGGAAAAAAAAAAUUUAUUGAGUUGAAUUUUAUUCACAUCAACGUUCAAAUAAUUACAUUUACAAACUUUAGAUAAAUAAAUAUCGUACCUGUCCAGGGCAAUUGUUGUUGUCAGGGCAGUAAUUUUGAUCAAUUAUGAUUGGAUUAUCGACAUUGUUCAUAAGAGCAUGUUGGAAAAGAAUGUUCCUGGCAAAUCCAUUGCUUGGUCUCCCCCAGGACUUAAUCCUCACUCCAUUUUUAGUGCCUGUAAAUGUCACAGCUGUUACUGUCACAUUUUGCACUCCAGCCUCUUGUUGCUCUUUGCCUAAGCUGCCAAUGCUGC
rnacentral:lncRNA from 1 species